rnacentral:lncRNA from 1 species
AUCCUCUCUUGCCUCUCAUGCCUUUUGUCCUGCUCUUGAUCUGAACCAUCCAUCAAUUAAUUUGUGUUGUUGAUUGCUCAUAGUUGACUGAAAUUAAUGGUCCAGAUCGCGCAUCACCGUCAUGCGGCAGCAGAGAAUCCGGGUCCGUCUAAUGUAAUAGUAUGCACUUUGUAUAUCUAACCAAACAAAAAUCUUACAAGUUUCAAAUUACAAUACAUUUGAGCAUCAAUAGGACCAGAUACGUAACAGAAUUCACGGAAGUUGUCACCAAUUUCUCUUUACUUUCAUGUACAAGUACAUCUCUAAGUUUAAGCUAAACCACACAAUACAUCUCAGUACAAACAAGUAUGAAUCAACUUUUUGGUUGGUAAACUAGGUAUCUUUGACGUACAAAUGUAAAUGCCAAUUCUUCGAGAUAAUUGAGAUCCAUUUAAAGAACUGACUACUUCCAACACAUGUUUUUCCAUGCGUAUCGACCAAAGAUCGAACUUUGAAUCAAAUGGUGAAACGAUUCAAGCCUCUACCAUUUGUGUCACACAAUGUUGGCAAUAUAAAUCACUUAAAACGCGUAUUUCGUUCGAUUAAUCAUGGUGGUGAAAAAUAAACUAAAUCUAUUGGGUGAGUAUUUGCCUCUUACCUAAUACUCGAACUUCUCGAAUUAGCCCUACAACUACUAGUCAUGGGGAUAAAUCCUUGACAUGGAUUUAAAUUGCGGUCUACAACCGCAGUUGCAAUAUAAAUGAUUCUGAAUUUUCCGCAAUAGUAACACAACUGCAAUUUCAACCGUAUCGACCAUGUUUUUCGACAAAUUAAAAUCAUCAUCCCGGAUAAUACAAUACACAUGUAUAUCAUGCAUGCUAUGUAGUAUGCUAGUAGCAAUUCUUGAUUUUCAUGUGUUUCCUUUGAGCUGCUUAUGUAACUGUUUCUUCCCUUAAAAGUGCCUCAAAAGUAUCCCAAAAUGAAGGGAAAAUAAUACACAAAAAUUUAAACCAAAAUUAAUCAAGAUUGAGGACAAAAAGAAAAACACUAAUUACAUGUACAUUUUCUAUGUUGGUAGAAAGAAGUAUGAUAAUUCUCUAUGGUUUCCCCUUUGAGUUGUGUAAUUCAAUACCAUUAUGCUCCCUUGAAGGACCUGAAGGUGGCCUUGACAUUGCUUUUGGCUUUGAGUCUAAGAAACUUUGAUGUAAACCUUGAGACUUAGCCUUCACAUAUAAAGCUUGAGUGUGUCUAGCACAAUUGCUAGGACCAACAAAAUAUAUAAGCAAAAAAAGUAGAAUUAGCAAUACAUGAAGAUACUUCCUACCCAUUUAGCACAACUAAUGGCUUGUUUGGAUUGGUGUCUGGUGAUAUAUUCUUGCGUCCUUAUGCAAGUUCAAAGUGAUUUUAAGAAGCUGGUAUUCCUAGUUUCACUGCAAAUGCAGAUUGUUGCCAAGUGAGCAAGCCUUUUACCCUAAGAAAAUACCACAAGAAGAGAAAGAUAGGAUGAAGAGAAAAAAAGUGAGAGAAAGAGAGAGAAGAGGGUUGUGUGAAAAGAACAAUGAAUGAUGCAAAGUAGAAGUUAUAGGGUGCUUUUUAGGGGUAAGAGUGAGUGACUUAAUUUUUGUGACAGUUAUAAAUUAUUGGAAGAAUUUAAAGGAUACCGGUAAUGAAGGAAGAGUGUAUGCGGAACACACGGGGAAAAUAAAUGCAAGAUCAUGCGAUUUAAGAUUUGGAGGUAGGAAUCAAAUUUGUGUGUAAUGUUUUUUUUUGGCUUCUACCAUUAAAUGAGACAACAUGAGUCAAUAGUUCUUUUGUCUAUAGAGACAAGGAAAGCCUGUUUAAGAGGACUUAAAUGGGUCAUUAGGAUAAUGAUUUUAUGCACUUAGGGUACCCUAAUUUCAAUCUUGGUGUUUUGGAUAUUUAUUUUCGUCUAUAGAUGAAGUGGUAAUGACCACCGAAGCUUAUACAUGCGUUACAAGAUCUCACGUUUAAACUCGGAUGAAGGUGUUCAACCUAACGAUUUUGACAUUGUCAGUUGAGAUACUGGUAGGUUUUACGGGCGGUAUUUUAAAUUUUAAUUGAUCAUCACAUUAUAUAAAAACUAUGAUUUUUAAUAUCUCAAAAUAAUUACAUAUUGUCUCUUAUUAUCAUUUGCAAGUUUUUUUUUUUGGCACAAGGAUUCUCAAUUGAGGAAGAAUCGCAAACCAAAAAAGUUCAUCAUUUAUCACUAUUUGUGUUUUAAAGUUGUUGAAAGACUAUUAACGAUGAAUUUCUAAUAUCAUUGAUAAACCGACAUGCCUUGAACGAGUCACAGACGAUCAAGAUUUUCUUCAAUUAGAAUAUGUUUAAUCUAUGUCGUCAUAAGUCAUCAUUAUAUAAAGAUAAGAAGGUCCAAAUUUCAAACACAUUAUUUUAGAUAUUUCAACUAUAUGGUAUCAAUUUUCAAGCAUUAGAGAGUGUCUUCGGUUGAAAUUUGGGGCCUAACUCAUCCUUACAAAAUCAGCUUGUAAGAUGAGGAGUGUCUCAAUCUUAUCAAUAGUCUCAUCUAUCUGAUGUGGGACUUAGGUUUUUCCCAAUACAUCCUUUCACGCCCAACACUCUUUGGGCUUGUGCGUGAAUAGGUAGGUGGCCCUUGAAUUCGACAUGCUCUGAUAUCAUGCUGAAAUUUGGGGCCUAACUUAUCCUUACAAAACCGACUUGUAAGGUGAUGAGUGUCUCACUGUUAUCAAGAGUUUCAUCUAUCCGAUGUGUAAUUUGGAUUUUUCCCAAUAACUUCAUAGUCAUAAAAGUGAUGAUGAAUACACAUAGCAGACAAGAGGAUAUUGCCAAGUUAAUGAGUUAGAAAUUAGAAAAUGAAGAAAAAGGAGAGAAAUUGUACCUUCUUAUUUAAAAUAUUUGUUGUGCAAUAGUAUCUUGAGAGCAAAAAAUGGAAGUUGUCGUUUGGUUAGGUGAGUUUGUGGGCCAGCAUGGAAAAUAAUGGAUGAGUAAAGAAAGUCUAAAACUAUAGUGCAAAGUCUUACUGCAAGAUUGAAAUUUAUUACUAUAUUAAAAGCUCUGUGCACUCUAGAUAAAAUGCUCUUUUUAUGCUCAACUAUAAUCCAAUUUACUAUCUAUAAACAUCAAGAUUGGUCUAACUGACAAACAACGUAAGAUUUAGUGAAAAUUUCGUACUCAUAGUAUGAUAAAAAUAAUGAUGUCUGUGAACAAAUUAUGAAUUCUAAUUAGUUAAGUUAAUUUAACUUUCAUAAAUUCAUAACUCAUUUAGGCUAACCUAGUUGGUUUUAACCGUGAUCUUAAAAUGUACUUCUCUUAGAGUCUAAUGUUUGAUUCUCCAAAUCAUCAUGUUAUUAGUGAUUGGAUUGAAUGAGAUUGUCCAAUUUUUAAACUCGUUAUUAUUUUUUAUAAUCAAAACAUGCCCUAACAUCUAGAUUGUACGAUUCACACGGGGUUGCAAUGGAUGGUUAUGCUUCAAUGAUAAUGUGAUUUUUGCUCUUAAUUCUAAAGGAGUCGUAGAUUAUUUUAAGUCAAAAAUAGUUGAUUAUAGUGAAUUUGGUUGAUUAUGUCUGCUUGUAGGCAGUUGUUUAUCGAUAGUUUUCAGAAUUCUCAUGUUCAAUUCAAUAUGAGGCAAGCUAAUGAAGUGGCUCAUGAAUUAGCACAUGUAGCCUCAUCUCAUGCUAGCUUCCAUGUCUAUGAUGAUGUACCGUCAUGUAUCCAAUGUUUGAUUACAAAUCCAAAUCUAAUAUUUAUAUGUAUUUUUUAACAAAUAAUAUUUUGUGACACUAUGAUAUGUUUAAAUCAUUUUGUAUGUUGUAUAUUUACUUAGUGUAUGUUUGGUUGUUCCCCUUUUAGAGGGAUCAAAAUUGAUUUUGAAGGUGUAAAAUUGAUUCUAACAUGUUUGAUUAGUGUCAUGCAGAGUUGAUUCACCUUUCAGAAAUGAUUUUAUUUGAAGCUGAAAUUUGCAGCUUUUGAUUUUAGAAUUGAUUUUCAUACAAAAAUUUACAGAUCAACUAACUUUUACAUAUUCAAAUACAAAUAACUUACAAUUAUAAUUACUUUUAACCAAAUCAAUUCCACAAAAUCAAUUCUAUCAAAACCUAUUAUCUCUGACGCACAACCAAACAAACCCUAAGGUGUUAAAAAGAAAGAGCAUAUUUUGAAAUAAAUGGUGAGAAAGGAGAUGGGGGGAAACAUUCCCAUUAUAUUAAUAUUAAAACUACUUUAUACAUUAAAAUUGAAAGCUUGAAUCCAACCCUACUACUCGGUCCACACAUAACAACAGAGAAUUGAUGAAUGAGGCGUGUACUGCAUGAGUGAGUGGAUAGACCAUAUAACGUAAGGUUUUCAUGACAUAAUUAAUAGUUGGGUAUAGUAGAUAGGGUCCCAUGAAAUUACAUAUCUAACAUUUUUAUUUUAUUGUAUUUUUGGUGAAAUCAUAUCUAACACUUUGAGACAUGUAAAUUUGGUCCCCACGUUGUGUAUGGACAUUGAGACAGAUAUGAUUGAUGCAUGAGAGGAUAGGUUAGAUUUUAUGUUGUAAAUGUAGGAAAAAUCUAUGUUCUAGUUUAUGGAAGAAUGGAAACAAAGUUGAACUCAAAGUUCAAACAUUGAAGUGGUAAGAACACGUGAAGUGUAACUAUCUAGAGUGUUAGUUUAUUAAGUACUUUGGCUUUUGUAAAAAAAAAAAAAGAAAAGAAACUUAGGUCUUUCUUUCUUCUAUGCAAUUUCUUUCAUUGCACCAUUAAUUCAAGAAUGAUUAAACCUCCAAAAUUCUUGAUCUUUGUAAGAUUACGAAUUUUUAAUUUAAUCCAUACAAAAAAAUUAAUUCAAUUUUAAUUCUUAGUUUUAUUAAUUUUUAUAAAAAUAUAAAAUAAAAUUUGUUUAGUCUUCUGCAUUUAUUCUCUAUAAAAGCUAAAUAACAACUAAAAUUGAAUAUAGUUUUUGUAGGAAUUAAAUUUAAAAAUUCAUAAAGACCAAAAACUACAUGUCUAGAACCACAGAAUGAAUAAGAGAGUUUCUAAUUUGUAGGGGUGGGUAUGGUUUGGUUCGGGAUGAAAACUUAACCGAACUAAACUGAACUGUUUGCGAAAUUCAAAAUAACUAAACCAAAUCAAAUUGUUUACAUUUUGAAUCGAACUGAACUGUUUUAAACUGAACCGAAUUGUAAUUAUUGGCACCAUUGAAAAAAUAUAUAUAAAAACAAACAAAAUUAAAUUUUAGAACUUUUAAAACAAAACCGAACUGUUUUGAACCGAACCAAACUGUUUCGAACAAAAUUGAACUGAACCGAACCGAAUUGUUUAGUUCAGUUUCAGAAUUGUUAGUAAUGGUUCGGUUUCUUUCUUAGUUCAGUUCAACUUUUUUGCCCACCCCUACUAAUUUCACCAUACUUGUUUCUAGCGCGUCCUAUGACAUUUUAGAUUAUAUAAUCUGAGUGGUACGUAAAAACAUUAAAAGAAAACUCUUUAUAAACCCUCCAUUGUUUAGAUUCUAGAAUCAGAAAUCGAACAAGCGAGAAGUUUGGGAAGGUGAGAAAACAAAUAUACAUUUGAAGAAAAGGCAGACCGUUUUGAAGGAAGUGUUUGUUUGAGUGUAUAGAUCAACAUUUUGAAGGAACAAAGGCACUAAGGCAGACCAUCGGAUUGUUAUGUUUUUUUUUUAGUCAGGUAGUCUAGUGGCUAGAAUUCACCUUAUAAGGUGAAUAAGUGGCGUGUCCGGGGUUCGAAUUCCGACCCCUGCAUAUAAUAAUGCAUUGUCCUACCAACUGAGCUAUGCUCACGAGACCAGAUUGUUAUGUUUCUAAUUAAUCUCAUUCUUGUAAAAACGAGCAUAUUAUAAUGACCAUACUAACAAUAUACAUUUGGACCGUCGUACACUCAAUGCCUCUAGUUUAGAGAUAUUAAUUAUUAAUGGUAAAAUAGUACGAGGACAUUUUGGCAUAUUAGGAACACACUCUGUAAAUCACACAAGGACUCAUGUGAAUCAUACAAUAAUUGGCAAAACCAUAUGCAUAUGCAUGCAAUGUACCAACAAUAGUCAUAUUUGUGCCCUAAAGGAAUAUUUCUCAAGACUAUGACUAGAAGACUUGCAUCACUAAAGAAAUGUUGCUCACUUCAAAAGUUCUUACAAGGCUUGCUAAAAUUCUCAAAUAACAAAAUGCAUUGUGCAACCUAUCAAGUUUUGAGAAUAUGUUCGAAGAGCCAAGGAACGUGUUUUAACUUCUAUGCUCUUUCUUUUGAAAGUUACUUACUUGAAUUUUGAACUUCAGUUUUAUAUUAUCUUAUAGAGAGAUAAACACUUGUAUUUCACAAACUUUUAUAAAUCUUAUCCCCUUUGUCGUCGGUCUUUGGUCGACGGUGUCCUUUAGGUCUGUAAAGGGCCGUGCAGUUGUGGUGGAUCCAGUCUCUGGAUGAUUUAAGAUUUUUCUCUUCCAUGUAGAAAGACGGUGGACCGUCAUAAUAUUCCUAAAAGCCUAAGAGACCCUCAGAAGCACUCUUAGGCCCUCUUUAAGGCCUCAACGCCCUUAUUAAAGCCUAAAACGCUCUUCAGAUGAGCUUUUAGGCCCAAAACGCGUUCCCUUCAGGACGGCGCCUUAGGCUGCUUCUAGAAGCCGCCUAAUUACCUAAAUAACCUCAUUACCUGCUGACCAAGUAACCAUAAAUCAGGCCCAUAUAUGGCUAUAAAUACAACCCUUGAGAGCCUUCUCAAGCAUGAGCAAUACAAUACAAACCCUAAUACGAUUAUUGUACUUUUAGCUAGUACAGUUGGUACAGUGGUCCUGAGGGUGGCGCUGGUAAGGUGUUCGGGGCAGUGCUUGUGGUGGUUGAGCUUGUGGCUUGUUUUGAUUUGUUUUUGUUCGAGCUGGUUUGAUUUGCGCCACUGUUCCACCUUUUCUCCGUCUUCGAAUUUGGCAUCGGGAUAAUGGUGGGCCGAGUUUGGACAAGUUUAGGUGUCUUCUCUGGUGGGUCGUGAGUUGAUGGGUGCCUUAUUAAUUUGUGUCAGAGUCUGAUGGUCCGAUCACUUUUGAUUCGAGAUCGGGGACUACUUUUUUUAUGCAAGUUCUUUUAGACUUUUUUGGUGACUCCUCUGACUUAUCGGAAGUUGAGUGGUGGGCGAUUCUGAUCGUUUGAUGCAACUUAUCAUCAUCGACUGCUUUUUUUAUCUCCGUUGGUGGUGUUGAAAAAUUGAUUGUUGUUAAUUUUUUGGUGUAUUUUUAUUUUCUUUUCGGUGUAAUACUUGGGAUCUAAUCCCCUAUUUAUAAUAUAUUUUGCAAUUAAAAAAAAAGAAAAAUAACUUCCCCUAAUAAUGACGUGAUUUUUAAAGGUUUGAGUGUACCUUGACAGUUGUUGGUCAUUGAGACCAUUUAGUAGAAAUUCUUCGGAUUAAAAGGAUUGAAUUAGUUAUCAGAUUAACUUUGAACUAGUAUAAAUUUUCUAUGCUUGUCUUUUUUUCCCUUAAUUAGUAGAAAAUCCAAAUCAAGUCCUCUUUUUUUUUUUUUUUUUUUGGUUACAGGUCCUCUUUCUUUUGUUUUUCACUACGUUAAUUUAUAUUUUCUCUCUUUUUAAUUUAAUAAUCCCCUCCCAAUUUUCUCUAAACCUCAUGGUGAUGUGACAUAAUUAUUGACAUUAGACUCAAAAUUAUCCAAUAAAUGAGAGAGAAAGAGAGAGUUGUAAUUCAAGUUUUCAACUUUUUGAUGUUUUUAAUUUUUAAUUUUAAAGAAAAGCCAUGUUGACCAUGAGAGUAGAGUUAGAUACCGCAUCAAUAAAUAAUGUCACCCUGCAUCAAUAAACAGUGUCAUCACAUAAAUUUAAUAUUGACACAAUACAAUAACCGUCUUUCUGCUAGUGCUUACAAUUUCAUGAAGUUAAUUUAAAAUGCAUUUUUGUAGAUAAAACUAGUGAAAGUUAAAUUAUAUUUUUAUUUUGGUUGAAUCAAGGGGGAUAUGCUUCUUAGAAUCUUUCAAACAUUCCAACUAGGUUGGCACCUCUGAAAAUCCAUGUUCUCUGUUGCCGACUUCAUAAAAUAUUAAAAAGAGGAAAAGUGUGUACACAGGAGAGGGACCUGACCCUCAAAGCAAAAAGAAAAAAAAAUCGGGGAAAUCGAUAGAUAGGCCAACCAAAAUGGUAUAUAGAGAAAGGCUCAAGAAACUGACCACCAACACAUUGAAUCGAGUGUCCAUGAUUCACAGGUUUAUCAGCACAAUCAUCACUGCCUUCACGAAAAAUAUAACUUAAAUAUUUUUCUUAAAUUAAGGCUGUGUUUGGUAACACAAAAAAGUUAGCUUAUAGCUUGUUGGAUUAGCUUAUAAAUUUGUUAGAUGAAAACGUGGCGUGUUUGGUAACAAACUUUUUUCAUGAGCUUAUAGCGUUUUUUGAAAAGCUAUUUCAAGUAGCUUUUUAGCUUAUAGCUGGUAGCUUUUUAUAUUUUCUUCCAACUUUAACCCUAUUAAUUUAAAUUAAUUAUUUUUUAAUUAAACAACUAUCCAUAUUCAUCUUUAUAACUGCCCCAUUUUGUCCCUUAAAAAAAAUGCCACGUUGUUUUUUUUUAAGGAGUACUAUAUAUAUAUAUAUAUAUAUUUUUUUUUUUUUUAAGGAAAUGCUUUAUAUUUUGCUAUAACUAACCUGCCGUACACCACAAAAAAAAUAACUAGCCUAUUUUUUUUUAAAGGAAAAAAUAACUAAUCUAUUGUACGUUGUAAAAUUUUAUAUAUUCUAGCUCACAUUUUGUUUCCACCUUUCUCUUAUUUUUAGGAUUCAUAAAGCAGAGAUUAAAAUGGUCGGUGAAUAUUUUUUUAGGGUUAAAGGUCGAAGAAUUUUUUUAUGGAGACUAAGACCAAAAGUUUGAAUAUUUAUAGGGACCAAAAACAUAUUUAACUAUAAUUAAAAAUAUUAAAAAAUAAAUACAUUACAAAAAAAAAUGUGUGUGUCUAUAUGUAUAUUAAAAAAAAAAAAACAUGUUCUUUUAUGUCAUUUUAUACUUAUCAGCCACUUCAACAACUAAUUUUACCAAACACAUUAUUUUUAAUAAACAAGUUUUUCAGCUAUAAACUAUCAGCUAUCAAUCAUCAGCUAUCAGCUUACUUAUCAGCUAUCAACUAGCUUAUAGCUUAUUUUUAUCAAACAGAGCCUUUUAGAUUUUUCUCUAAUUUCUUAAAUGUUUUUAUUUUAUUUGGACUCUUAAUUUUUUUCCCUUGCACUUUAGUCACUUAGCUUACAAACAUUAUUUAAGUUACCAACUUUAUACACUUUAGCCAUUCAUCAAAGACCAACAUAUCUUUUUUUUUUGAGGGAAGAUCAACAUAUCUUUCAAAUGGUUAAAAUGUUCAAAUAAUAUACGUAUAGCUUGAAGAAAUUAAAAACUUUUUUUGAAAUAUUCAUAACGUUAUCGAUCUAUUUAAAAUAUAAUUUGACGAAAUUAAUAACCUUUUUGAAGUAUUUAUAACAACAUCGACCUAUUUAAAGUAUAAUUUGACAAAAUUAAAAAUCUUUUUAAAAUAUUCAUAAAAUCAUCGACCUAUCUAAAACGCUCUAUAAAAGAAGGUUUACUCCAAACAAAAAAAAUUAAGUGACUAAAACUAAAGAUAACUUUUUUUAUCCCAUCAAUUGGCAAGUAACUAUAUUAAUCCGAAGUUUGAUUGUAAGAUAAAUAUACCGACGUAAAUCCUCUGAUCAAGAGAUCCAAUUGAGGUGGUGUUAGCAGCAAGUCCUCGAGUGAAGUAAGCAUCAGUGGCACAACAGCAAACCACCAUCAGUCGUCACCACCACCAACAUCAAAUUAGGGUUUCUCCGAUUUCCCAAAUUUUCAAAUUAGGGUUUCUACUCGCCAUGGCAGAUGGCUACUGGAACCGCCAGCAGUCUCUUCUCCCCCAUUCCGGCCUGCACAAACGUCCCCGCCCUGACUACGGUUCGUUUCCCCCUUUUCUUCCCAAUCAAUCAAUUUCAUGCUUAAUUGUUGUUUGUUUCGUGCAAUUUAUUAUCUUUCUCUUUCAUCAUGAUUAUUGUUGCUAUUUUUGAUGCAAAUUCAUGGAGGUGUGUGAAUAAUUCGAUGCUUCAAGAGUCUUGCUUUUUGUUUGUUUUUUUUUUACUGAAUUUUGGUUUAGGGUAUGUUUGGAUUAGUGGGUUUAAUGGAAGUGAAUUAUUAUGUUGUUGAUGAUGAUGCAAAUUAAUGUGCCGAAAUAAUUUGAUGCCUCAAUCUGCUGUUGUUGUUUUGAAUGAAGAUUUUUUGUUUGAAAUUUGGGUUUAAGGCAUGUUUGGAUUCAUUGGUUUAGUGGAGAUGAAGUAUUAUAAGGCUCUGGGGCACUCUUGAAGCAUUCUAUAUUAUGAAAAUAUUCUUUAAAAACGUCAAAUAAUUCAAUUUUCAAUGCAUUUAAUACACAAAUUUUCAUAGAAACUUACCUUUAAAGGUGUUUAAAGAGUGCCCCGGGGCACUCAUUAGCAUUUUCCAUAUUACCUUUAAAGGUGUUAAUAAUUUUAUUUUGGAUAUAUUUAGCUGUCACUAACGCCAAUUCCAUUUUUAAAAUUGAGGAAAUUGAUUACUUUACCGUUGAACACUAGGGUUUAAUGUUGUGGCGUUAGAUCUUAUUAUCCUAACUGUGGUACAUGAUUCUUCUUUUUGUUUGUUUUUUGAUUAAAUUUUGCUUUAGGGUCUGUAUGGAUUGAUGGGUUUAGAGGAAGUGGUAUGUUGAGUGGAAUGAAAUGUUACCCUAAGAUGUUCUUAGGAGAUUGGUGAUUCCCUUUUUUGGCUUGAUUUGGGAUAAUAAGAUCUAAGAUGCUUAAUUUUGCAUUAGGGAAUGUUUGGAUUGAAGGGUUUAGAGAAAAUGAAAUGCUGAGUGGAUAUGAAAUGUUAUACUAAGCUUUUUUACCCUAAAAUGUUCUUAGGAGAUUGCUAAUCCUCAUUUUGUGGAUAGAUUUAGCUGUCACUAACACCAUAGUUUUGAUUGUUUAUACAUAUGUUUGACAUUUGUGCUGCAAUGAUUUUGGAAUUAUCAUUUGGUGAUUUUGUUUGAGAGAAGCAAUGUUUCCAACUGUUUUAUAAGCCUAAAUUAAGGAAGCUGAUUACUUCAACUUUUAAUGCUAGGGUUUAGUGUUUUGGUGUUAGAUCUUAUUAUCCUAAUAAUCAUGGUAGCUAAAAUCGUGAUCGAUGUAUGAUCUUAAAUUCUUACAAUCUUUCACAUUGCAAAAGACCGUGAUCACAAGCAUGGUUGUUGGGAUUGCGUGACCAAUUUUAUCGAAUAUCGGCCAUGGCGGAAAUCCGUGCCGGUUUUUGGGCUCUCCACCAUGCCUAAUUUUUUCCUAUAUGACGGGAUCCACCAUAAUCCAAUAUGACAAUAAAACCUGUGAAAUUGUCAUGUGCGUGACAAGCAAAUUAUGGCUGAGAGCCAUACUGUGUGUGACAGAUUGUUGGUUGAGGUGGCGCGACAAGCAAACAUGUGAAAUUGUAGGCACGACACCCUUCUCUUGCGCCGUUCAUGAAGGUUUGAUACCCGCCAUGGCUCGAUUCUGUCCAUCACAAUAAUUGUUUCCGGGUCCAGCCUGUGACCUGCUUCCUUGAAAGCGGCAGCUUGGCAUUAAGAAACCCUAAAAAGGGACAUUAUGAUACGUUGCUGUUUCACUUUGUUUUUUUGGUUUUUCAUUUUCCACUUUGCUUUUUCCUCUAUUCGAGACAAUACAACAACAAACAACAACAACCAAGCCUUUUCUCACUAAGUGGGGUCGGCUACAUGGAUCAGAUUAUGCCAUAAUGUUCUAUUAUGAAUCACAUUUCGAUCCAACUCAUUAAUUUCUAAACUUUCCUAAUAUUUUAUAUUAUAGUUUUUGUAGGUCUUCCUAUGCCUCUAGUGAUCUGACUAUCCUAUACCUGAUUUGCUCUCCUUAUUACGGAAUUUAUAGUUCUUUUCUCUACGUGCCGAAACCCCGUAAGCCUAUUUUCCACCAUCUUUUCUACUAUAGGUCGUACCUCAAUUCUCUCUCUAAUAUUGUCAUUUCUAAUUCUAUAUCAUCUUGUCUUGCCACACAUCCAACACAACAUUCUCAUCUCUGCUAUGCUUAGUUUAUUCUCGUGUUAGUUCUUCGCUGCCCAACACUUCGUUCCAUACAUCAUCACUGGUCUUACCUCUGUUCGAUAAAAUUUCCCUUUCAACUUAGUGGUACUUUCGUAUCACUUAAAACACUCGAGGCUCCUCUCCAUUUCAACCACCUAGAAAUUACAUUUGAUAUAUAUGUUCUUUUUGGUUUUACAUACAAUAACUGUUGAAAUUUGGGGCCUAACUCAUCCUUACAAAACCGGUUUGUAAGGUUAGGAGUGUCUCCUCUUUAUAAACUCUUCUCAAGAGUGCUAUCUAUCCGAUGUGGGACUAAGUCCACCCCGUCAAAGCCAACACAAUGAAGGUAUUGGAGGCUGCAAUGAAGGCAAACCAAAGGCCGCAAUUUAGGUGACUAGGGGCGGACCAGAAUAAAGGCGGAAUUUCCAACAACUUUGCUUCCCCCUUUAUUUUUUAAUAAUAAUAAUAAUAAUAAUAAUAACAACCACAACAACAACAAUAACAACAACAACAACAUUAAAAGGAGAUAUAUUAUGCUAUAUUAUUUUUCAAUUAAUAGGUAUAAAAUUAUUUGUUUAUUUUUUUUAAAACAACCAACCAGCAAUCAGUCACCACCUCCCAGCUAGGGUUUCUUCUGUUUUUCGAUUCUAUCUCCUUUAAUUAGGGUUUCUCGUUCGCCUUUCACCUUACCAUGGCAGACAGAUCCUGGAAUCGGAAGCGAACACUUCGCCCUCUCUCCAGAGUUCCGAAACGACCGCUUUCCAGAACACUUCCCCCUCUCUCCUUCCUUCAGAAACGACCGCUUUCCGGAACACUUCCCCCUCUCUCCAGCCUUCCGAAACGACCGCUUUCUGCACACAGUUAGUUUCCCCUUUUCUUCUGGAUCAAUUUAUUUCAUGCUUAAAUAUUUAUUGAUUUGUUCAAUACGUCAUCUUGUUCUCUCAUUUUUUUUUUUUUUUUUUUGUUGUUGUUGUGGUUGUGUGUUUAAUGCAAAUAAAUGGAAAUGGCCAAAUAAGUCUAUGCGUCACUUUCUUCUUGUUUUGAUUUAAGAUUUUUGCUUUAUGUUUGCUUUUUGAUGAAGUCUUGCUUUAUCUCGAUCACGUUGAUUUAUGAUUCUUGCUUUAUGUUUGUCUUUUUGGUUAAAUCUUUCUUUAUCUCGAUCACAAGAAAAGAUAUCAAUCUCACGUGUUAUUCACCCUCAACUCUGGAGAAGCGGUGAAAAGAUCUCUAGAUGGGUCGGCGGGGUUGUGCGACGUUCAAGAUCACAAGAUUGUAGAAACGACGCUCUUCUCCGCACAAGUCGUGAAGGUUUUUUUACUCAUGGUGCUGGCAGCCAUGGUUGAAAAUCUUUGAAAACCCUAUAGAACGAGGGUUUUACCACUUGACCCGACCCGGAAAACUAAGGCUCAUUAGCCAAAACCCUUAAAAUGAGUGGUAGGCACAGUAACCUGGUUCACUAAAAGGGUUAUAUGUCAUGUGACCCGAUCCGGAGACUAAGUCCCAAAUGGUAAAAACCCUAAAAUAAGUUGCAUCGCAGCCUUCACGUCGCUUUCUUUUUCAUUUUUUUAAAUACUCUUGUUCUUUUUCAUACUUUUAUUCUUUUUUAUAGUAAGAAUUAUAUUUUAAUUCUUUCUUAAAAAUUCCCAAUCGCCUUAAUUAUGACAUGUAAUUAUGAUAUAUAAAUAAUCAAAUAUAAUUGUCUGGUGUGAUCUUCCAAUCCAUGCUACAAUCACAAUUUACUAUUUGCCUAUGCCCAAAUGAUCUUAAGUGGGAUCUCGAGUUUGACAACCAUGGUCAGGGUUACGUGUACCUGAGUUCGACUUUAAUCGGUUAUCCGAGUUCAAUUUCGACUGCUGCACCCGUCUUAUGAUCCGACUGCUGCAACUAUUUGAGUUCGAAUGUAUGAUUUAGACCUAUUCUUUCUGUCGCUCGGCCAGGUGCCACUGUUCUGUGAUCUACUGAUUUCUCUGCUGCAACAACCCUAUGAGCAUAUAUAACAAUAGCAUGGGUUCUCUCUGCCUCCUAUGCUGAGAGUAUUUUGAUUCUCUCUAUCCUUGUUCUUUGCUGGUCACUGCUUCACCUCUUCAGGAGGCUUUUUUAUGUGUCUGGCAUGAUACUCUCCGGAUGCUGCUUCAUCUUUUUGAAUGUAUUUUUUUCCCCCAAAACAUGUCAACCAAAUUGGGUUGGGUGCUUUUGAAACUUACUUGAUGGGCUUUGUUGAAAUACACCAACCCUUUGAUCCUAUGCUUCUCUGUUAAUUAACUGAUCUAUUGGUUAAUUGUCACAAUAAUCACUAUUAAUAUAAAAUAACUAAAUUGUGUAUCAUAAAAUAACCACAGUUACAUACCUACAUUCUCACUUGAACUUUAUAUUUGAUGUUUAUCAGUCUAUGGAUAUGAAUGAUAUACACUGUAUAAGAUAUGGCACGAAUGUGAGUUCUAGUUCUGUGUUCUGCACUUUUGAUAAAAAAAAGAUAUGCAUAUAUUUUUUUUGUCUAUUGUUAUCCAGCUUCAGUGCUCUUUGCCAGAGAUGCUAAUGGUCAUUAUUUACAAUUUUAUUACAGAAAUGCCAGCUUCUGGUCUUCCUUCAGGCAAUGAGAUGCAUUAUCUUUCUCGUGAAGAGGACCGUUCUGGUCACCCAAUGGUCAAGGACUCAAAAACAAUUGGAUCUGCGUAUGAUCGCUACCUUCAGGGGGUAACACUUCAUCCUUUUAUGCUUGCGUAAUUAUAUUACUAUUAUUUUUUUGGGUAUUUUCACUGCUUGUUAGCUGAAAGCAUCCAUCUUGUUUGGUUUUAUAGCAAGUUCCUUCAUUUACUUCUGGGGAAGCCAGUACAGUUGGUGCUCUUGGAUUGCAAAGAGGUAUUGGUGGAUUACCGAACCAUUCACUAAGCGAUCCUUCUGCCAUGAUAGGGCGUCAUGGGGGUGGUGGUCCUGAUCUUGCACCAAAUGGACGGGGUAUGAAUUAUGGUUUUCAACCACCGAUGGAUCCAGUUUCCAGGCAUGGACCUGAGCCAGCACUUCUACCCCCAGAUGCUUCACCAACUCUAUAUAUUGAAGGUCUGCCUUCUGAUUGUACAAGAAGAGAAGUGGCUCGUAUCCUUUUUGUUAUGAUGCAAUGCUUUGGAAUUUUUUCAUUUUCUCUUUCAUCCAUGUGUCUUGAGCUUUGUUUAUUUUAAUUCUGUUAUACAUAUUCCUUAACGUCGUCUUUAGACAUUUUCCGUCCGUUUGUUGGAUAUAGAGAAGUGAGACUUGUUAGCAAAGAAGCUAAACAUGUAAGUCUAUCGUUUGUUAAAGUUGUCUUCUUAUGUUGAAAGCUAAAAUGUCCCCUUUAUGCUAAAAAGCCUUUUUAUUGCAGCGUGGAGAUCCUCUGAUCCUUUGUUUUGUGGACUUUGCAAAUCCAGCUUGUGCAGCCACUGCUUUGAGUGCCUUGCAAGGUAUUAUUUCUAUAACUACCUGCUUAUAGAUAGCAAGUCAGUUUAUGAUUCAAAUAGCAUGAAAAUGACAGUAAUCUGCGUCUAAAGGUAAUUAGUUGUUGUUCAAUAGAAAUCUGUUACGAUUCAAAGGAAAUACAUGUCAUAUAUGUAUUAUUCUAUUAUUAUUAUGCAGAUUUUGAGUAUGGGUCAGAAGCGAUAUUUUGAGUCGCAUCACAUCGUUACAUGUCAUAUAUGUAUUAUUCUAUUAUUAUUAUUAUGCAGAUUUUCUUUCCAUUUUCUCUUUCCGUACCAAUAAUUUCAACAAAAUAUUUUUGUCAUUACUAUCAUUGAUAUCUUGAAAUAUCGAUUUUCCAUUUUACAACCAUAUAGUUACAUCCUUGUUUUUACCCCCUUAUAUUCUGUGAAUUUAAGUUCCCAUUUUAUAACAAAACAGAUCGUCCAUAUUGGUGCAAACAAAUUUGUUAUUUAGUGAUUAAUGGAAAUUCAGGUUCAGAAAACGAAAGAUGAUUCACUUUUACUGUUUAAUCUACAAUGGGAACCUCAUCGUUCCAGACAUGAUAUGCUUAUUGCCCUGUACUGUGCUCCCAUGGUUGGCAAAGCUAACAACCAUAUCCAUUAUUUUCAUAUUCAUUCAUAAAACUUAUUUAUGAGCUCGAUGCUUAGUGACAUUUUGAGAUACUUACUCGUCUUAUGCUAACUUUGUGGUUUGUACACAGGCUAUAAAGUCGAUGAAAUCAAUCCCGAGUCUAGUCAUUUGCGGCUUCAGUUUUCUCGAUAUCCAGGUCCAAGAAGUGGAGGUGGUCCAAGAAGUAGUGGACCUCCCAGAGGUGGACAUGGAUCUCGUGGUAGGAGGUGACUCACAUAGCCCAGUUAGGAUUUACGCUCAUAGGAAACGUGGAUGGUCCGUUUUAUGGGCUUGAAUGUUCGCUGGUCAUUUUACUACACAAACGCUUAAUUUUAUUUUACUUAUGGCUACAUUCCUUGUUUAGAGCCCUUGAGAUGCACAAAUUAUUACCAGGCAGAGAUCAAAUAGCAAUUUCGUUUUAGCAAAACUAGCAAAAUGGAGAUUUUUGGUUGUGUAUUAUUAUUAUUUGCUAAAUUGAGUAUGAUCCUGAAGUUUAAUUUAUGUUAGAGUUUACUUUGUGCUGACCAAUUGUAUUGUUCAGUUAUGAUAUUUUUUUGGUUUUUUUUUUCUUCCAAUAUUAUCUAUUUACUUGGUAUGUGCUACAGAGAUAAUGUUGUAGGUUGAAGGACCUAGUUUAUAGGGAACCAUUGUCCCCUGAGAAUCAGGAUAGGGAUUGCUUCGGGGUGCCAACCUAGUUGUGAUGUCGACGUUUCUCCUCGAUGCCUGUCCUUUCUCUUGGCUUAUAAAAAAAAAAAUUUCCACCGAGAAUCUGAGAUGUUGUUGAUAAAGGAUGAUUGUGCAAGAUGUUCUCGAUUCAUGUUGAGUUUAGUGGUUAAUUGCAUAGAAGAAAUAUGAAUUUGUUCUUGAUCCAUACUCUGAUUACAAGAAGAAACUCAUUUUGUUACACUGAAAGCUAAGGACAUGCUUGCUUGUUAUUUUUCAUAAAAUCAUAUUUUUAGUAAAAAAAUGAAAGGAAAAAAAAGAUUCAUCAAGCUUUUUGAAAAUUUUCCAACUUUCACUUAGUGUUUUCAUUUUUCCAACAAGUCAAUAAAUAAUAUUUCUUGUCGAUUUCUUAAACUCUUUGUUGUCAAUAUGUGUGUGUGGAACUCUAAGUUUAUGUUUUGCUAGUUUUUUUAUAUUUUUCUUGCAGCCCUUUCUGAAACUUCAUUGCACAAAAAUGAAGGAUUACAUGAUUUUUUUUUACAAUACACCCCAAAAAUAUCUGUAAUCUAAGUUUAUGUAUGUCUCAAAAUUCAAAUUUUAAAGAUAUAUGUUAAUUGAUUUUGCAUAGAGUAUGUAAACUGAGUUUAUGCUACAUUCCUUAGAUUACGCAUGCUACGUAAACUUAGUUUAAGUAAACUAUACAGAUUCAGUUUACGUACAAAGAAUAUAUAAACUCAGUUUACAAACAUAAAUUUAAUUUGUAAAUUUUGUUACAAGAGUAUUUUGAUUAUUUUGAGGUGUAAUCAGGAUUUUUGUGUCACUAGAAAUUAUCAUAAAACUUCUUCAAGCCGAAGGCAGCACCCUGCUGUCAAGCUCCAAAAAAACCCCACUGCUACUUCCAGAAGCGCAAAAACCACGAAAACAAUUGCAGGAACAACCUGCAAUCCCACUGCCGAACAGAAAUAGGAGAAUGACAGCACCCUAAAACCUGCGCAGCAGGAGGAAUAGCAGCAGAACAUCAUGGUAAAACCAUCAGUCAUCUCAACAAACAAUCCUGUGGACUCCAUUCCCACUCGUAGAACAUAUAAGUCGUAACAUUUAGCCUUCCCAACAACCACCUCCAAGACAACACCUUUAUAACCUCAAUAAAAUUCAAUUUUCAUAAGGGCUCUGUUUGGUAAAAAUAGCGGAUAACUGAUAAACUAGCUGAUAGCUGAUAGCUUAUAACUGAUAGCUGAUGACUGAUGGCUGAUAGCUUAUAGCUGAUGAUCGUUAGCUGAUAAGCUAACUAAAGUGUUUGGUAAAAUUAACGGUUCAACUAGCUGAUAAUGGUAAAUUUACAUAAAAGGACAUUUUUUAUUCAUAAUAAUUUUUUUAAGAGUUUAUAAUACAAUCUAUACCAAUUAAUAUUUAAGAUGUUUAGUCAUUUAAAUUUUUUAUUAUAACCAAUACAUAUUUUCUCUAAAAAAUUGUUUUAAGUUUAUUUCAUUCAAUUUUUAUAAUUUAUGAAUGAUUAAAGUAUAAUUUUUUUUUCUAUAAACAAAGUAAAAAAUAAUCAUCGACAAGAUUAAAAAAAAGUGUUAGAAGAAUAAAAAAAAAAAAACAAAAUAAGUAGUUAGUAUAUACUAAUAUACCCAUAAACAUGGAACUUUUUUAAUAAGUUAGGAAAUAGGAGUAUAAAAAAUUGUAUGUGUCAUUACAUGAAAUGAAAUGGCGUUGUUGCACUGCAAUAUAUUGAACGAGUGCUAAAGAGAAGCAUGCAUACUUGAGAUAUAAAAAAUACGUCGUACAGUAGUGUUCUUUUAGUUUUAAAGUAUAAUAAAUUAUAAAGGGUAAAUAUGAAUUUUAGUUAAAAUAAUAAGGGUAAAAAAGGAACAAAAGAUAAUAAGCUAUAAGCUAUAAGUUCAAACGCUACUUGAAAUAGCUUCUGAAAAAUAGCUUAUAAGCUCGUGAAAUAAACUAUAAGCUCAUGGUGAAAAAGCAUUACUAAACAAAGUUUUUUUGUCAUACGAGCUUAUAAGCUAUGCGUAGGCAUGGCAAUGGGGCGGGGUGGGGACGAGUUUUACCUUCCCCGUCCCCAUACCCGAUUCUCAUAUACUUACCCGUUACUCUACCCAUACCCAACGGGGAUGAGAAAUUGAAUCUCAUCGCCGUCCCCGACGGGUUUGGGUAUCCCCGUCCCCGCAUUGAAUAUUUUUUUAAUAAAAAAUAGAAGUUUUUUUGCAUCCCCAAGAGCAACGUAGUAAUACAUUAUUCAACAAUAAACUCACUUUCACAUUUGUUAGACAAAAUGAUUUAGUUGAUCCUUUAAAUAUCAAUGUUAGUUUUUAUUAAGAUGACAAUUAUCAAACAAAAUAACAUAACGUAUCAACAUAAAAUAAUUUUUUACAUUUGGGACGGGUUUGGGUAUGGGUUCGGGGUGGGUACCUAUAUACCCGUCACCCGUCCCAUAUCCGUGUUUUGAGAUUGGGGAAAACCCAUACCCGUACCCAAACCCAGUCAAAACGGGGAAAACCCGUCAAAUUGAAUUUGGUUCGGGCGGGUAACCAUAGGUAUGGGUUUUGUUGCCAUGCCUAGCUAUGAGCUCAUUGAUGUGUCUUACCAAACAGACCCAAGAUACUUGCAAAUUUUUUUUUCACUGUUAUGAAUAUUAUUAAUUUUCUCAUUCCCAGAUUUUUAAAUGCUAUAAUAAUAAAAGGGUCAUGUUAACUUGUGCAUUUAAGACACAUGUUAAACAUUAAUUUCAUUCCAUUAAUGAUAAAAAUUUAAUAAAAGAGAAUUAAUAUAUUAAUUCUAUCGGUGAAAAUCUUAAUAUGUGCCAUGAGGACACAAGUUAACAUCAAAUUAAUACAUUUAAUUGAAAAUCUUACACAACAUGAAUACAAAAGAUGUGGAUUAGUGUCUUUGUAUCCAAGAAUGUCUCUCUUGACAAAACAUGUAAAAAGUAGUUAUUCAUCAAUGCAGAACCAAUCCACUUAAUUGAAAACGCAACAAUCCAGUCAUUAAGUUGAUCAUAAUUUUUUCCUUAAAAAAAAAAAAAAAAAAUUGAUCAUAAUUUUAACAUAGAUCGUGAGACACUUAAAUCAUAAAUCAUUGGACAACACUGUGGAUUCGACUUCUGUAACAUAGUGGCGGGCUAUGUUACAUGACAUAGCCAGUAAUAUUGUGCCACAUGUCACUUCUUUUUUAAAUAAAAAAAUCAAAUAAAAUAAAAGAAAAGGAACAAUAACAUUACAUUCGCUCAUACUUCUUCUUCAAAAGCGUUUCCUCACUUCUCCUUGUGCUACCCAUCCACAAUCAUCAUAUGUGCACAGACCGCCUUCACUUCUACACCAUUUGCCGCCUUCUCCCUCCGUCGCCGGAAUCAUCUAUGCACAGGUCACUGUCAUGGACUGAUGGAUUGACCAAUGUUCUGUCAAAGGAUUCAGUAUUGUAUUGUGUAGCUGUGUUUUCAUUUUCAAAUUUGUUGAAUUUAUUUGAAAUUGACUAGAGAUUGAGAGUUAUUAUCUCAGAAAAUUGAUUUUGAAUUUGAAAUUGCUUAAUAAAAAAAAAAAACAAUGUUUCUACUUGUUAUGUGAAUCCAAGACUGUGUUGGCACGAUGGAGGAGUGAUUGUGACCUCUGAGAUGUGUUAGCAUUCUGUUAAAAUUGCGGCAUCGGAUUCUGGUUUGAACUGUUUAAAUUGCGGCAUCAGAUAUUGGUUUGAAGCUGUGGUUUUUGGUGUUAAUGGAGUAUAUGGUUGCAGUGUGUGCUACUAGUGUUAAAGGAGGCAGUGGCGACUGACGGUGGCGACCGAUGGUGGAGGAUAAACAAAUGAUGAUGGUGGCGACCGGUAUUGUUUUAAUGUUGCCUAUGGAUAUUACAUUUUGAUUGGUUGAAAUCAUGAGAGAGUAAUUAUCCCCUAAACAAGAGAGGGUAACGUAGGCCUCACCCAAAUCAUUGGACAACACUGUGGAUUCGACUUCUGUAACAUAGUGGCGGGCUAUGUUACAUGACAUAGCCAGUAAUAUUGUGCCACGUGUCACUUCUUUUUUAAAUAAAAAAAAUAAAAUAAAGAAAAGAAAAGGAACAACAACAGUACAUACGCACAUACUUCUUCUUCAAAAGCGUCUCCUCACUUCUUCUUGUGCUACCCACCCACAAUCAUCAUCUGUGCACAGACCGCCUUCACUUCUCCACCAUUCGCCGCCUUAUUCCUCCGCUGCCGGAAUCAUCUAUGCACAGAUCUCUGUCAUGGACUGAUGAAUUGACCAAUGUUCUGUCAAAGGGAUUCAAUAUUGUAUUGUGUAGUUGUGUUUUCAUUUUCAAAUUUGUUGAAUUUAUUUGAAAUUGACUAGAGAUUGAGAGUUAUUAUCUCAGAAAAUUGAUUUGGAAUUUGAAAAUGCUCAAUAAAAAAAAUGUUUCUACUUGUUAUGUGAAUCCAAGACUGUGUUGGCACGAUGGAGGAGUGAUUGUGACCUCUGAGAUGUGUUAGCAUUCUGUUAAAAUUGCGGCAUCAGAUUCUAGUUUGAACUGUUUAAAUUGCGGCAUCGGAUUCUGGUUUGACACGUGGCACAAUAUUAUUGGCUAUGUCAUGUGACAUAGCCCGUCACUCUGUUACAGAAGUCGAAUCCUAACAGUGUCAUGUAACAUUGACCAACUACAGUGUACCAUGUGUCACCCUUUACUUAAAAAAUACUCGAAAAACCAAAAAAUAUCAAAACCAAUGCAAUCAUUAAUUAAUGUAACUUUUUGAAUAUUUUUACAAAUACACCCUCAUAAAAAAUUGUGAAGCAUUAAAUAUACUAACUAAUACUCCCUCCGUCCCUAAUUAUAAGACACUUUUAAGAGUUUUUUUUGUCCCUUUUUAUAAAACCCCUUUGCUAUUUUCAACUAUAUUAAUUAUUUCUUUACAUGCAUGCCCCUAUUUAUUAUACAUAAUUUUCUUUAAUCAGCAAUAAAUAUCAUGUUGAAAACAUAAACCAAUUCUCUCUUAAAGGAUAAAAUUGUAAAAACAAUAGCAAUUACAAACAUAUUUAAUACAAAUAUCCACUAUCUUAAUUCCCGUUAUUUUUUUAAAAGGGUCUUAUAAUUAGGGACGGAGGGAGUAUUAAAUAAAGGGUAUAAAAGUCUUUUAAAUAAUAAUUACACCUUAAAAAUUGUGACAUUUUUUUUAUAAAUAGGACGAUUUUUUUUUUUUUUUGAAUAUUUUCUUAUAUAUAAGACCGGAAGGAGUAUAAGAAAAACUAAAAAAUUCUUAUGAAAGCAAGAGAAGAAAACCACUUAUUACAUUGUAGUUGAUCAAUAUCACAUGAAAUUGACACCACAAUGUCACAUAAGUGUUGUCCCAAAUCAUCAAACUAUGAAGUAUGUAUGGAUUAAAACAUCAUAUGCAAAUAUUUAGAUCAUGAUUCACCAUUUCUAAUAGAUUGUAUGCUAUGUCAAAUCCUUAACUAUACCACUAGAUAAAAUGGAUGUAAGAGCGAGUUUAAAAGGCCAAUCGUGUAUAAUAUUAACUAGGAUACGAAGAAUGUAUAUUAAACAAUUUAUUCCUAUCCUAACUAAUAUACAUGAAUCACUAUCACAUUAAUAUCUAUAUGAAACUUUCAACAAUGCAGUCCCAAGGAUCUGCCAAUCAACCAAACUAUUCAUAGAACAAUGGCCUGCUCUCUUUGACUAGGUCAUGGUAUAAAGACCAAGAGUCCUUGUUCCCCAAUCAUCAACAACAUCAUGAUAUAGUCGCAGCAUUAUCCGAUUUUCAAUAUAAGCAAAUGUCAAAACAUAUUUAGUUCAAGUUAAGACCAAAUACAUUUUAAUUUUUGUUUUUGUUUUUUGUUUUGAGGAAAUACUUAAAUUUUAAACUGGAUUAGUACAUUGUAAGAAAGUAUAUACACUAUUAGUUUGCUUCUUAUAUUAUAUUUUAAAUGAAAUUGAACUUCAUACCGGUUCAACUUAGCUUGAUUUGUUGUCAAUUUAUGAGAGAGAUAAACAUAAAUGAUAAUUUUGUGAGAUCUAUCGAUGGGAUCCGCUAAAUCAUGAUUCUAUCAUUAGUAGUUACACAAUCCUUGUUACUAAUCUAAUCAAUUGAAUUUAUAAUAAAAUGUAUAACUACUCAAAUCACCAAGACAUUACUUUUUAAUUAAUAUAUUAUGGGUCCUGCUAACCGGUGCCUCCGGAGCACUGGUUAAGCAUACUAUAAAAGGAAAUUAUUAUCAUAAAAGGAAACUGUUUUUGACUUUAUUAUAAAUUAAUUACACAAUUUCAAUGCAUUAACUACUAUAUAAUUUCCUUUUUCAUAUCCUUAACAAGUGCACUGGGGGCACCGGUUAGCAUUUCCCAUAUAUUAUCUAGGGUUAAUUAAGUUUUUAGUCCCUAUAAAUAUUCACAGUUUUGUUUUUAGUCCCUACAAAAUAAAAUCACACUUUUUAGUCUCUGUGACAUUUUCCUUAAGCAUUUUAGGGACUAAAAAUGUUGAUGGAAAAAUUUUAUAGGGACUAAAAAUGUUGAUGGAAAAUUUUAUGGGGACUAAAAAUGUUGAUGGAAAAUUUUAUAGGGACUAAAAAAUAUGAUUUUAUUUUGUAGGGACUAAAAACUUAAUUAACCCUAUUAUCUAACUUAACUAAUUAGACCAAUCACCUAAUCAAUUUAGUUGUACCUAAUCGAUCAUCCUAAUUCCUAACGGCCUUAUAUUCAAUUAAAUUAAGCGUAGUAAAAACAUAUUUAUUAAUUCAGUUAAUCAUCAAACAUGAAAUCUAUUUACUAUAGCAACUUAUCACACAGUACGUACAAUAUAUCAAAGUUUGUUCUUAAAAAAAAAAAUCAGAGUUUGAAUUUUAUAUUGAGUUAAAUUCUUCCUCACAAUAUCAAUUUGUAUAAUGAUAAUUAUUGCUCUUUAUAAACUCAUUUCAAACCUUUAUUUUAUGCCAGAUAUAGGUUUUUUUCAAUAGUCACAUCACCCAUUAUUUAUUUAUUUAUUUAUGGCAUAGACAUCACCUAUUGUUUUAAAAUUAGGAUUCUAAGUAAACAAAUAAUAUAGAAGAUUAUCCAUUGUCUAUUUCAGACUACAUGUUAGUACUUCAUUGUUGAUUGUACUAUAAUAUUUUUUUGUAUAUUAUUGUAAUAUUAUUUUUGUCAAUUUGGAUAGGAGCCCCGUACACACUCGUAUUAAGUUCACACUGAUUUUGUACUACUUUUUUUUUUUUGGUAUGGAAGAAAUUAAAGACAUAAGACAUGCUUAAAUUCUGAAAAGCUUGAAUCCGUUUCGAGUUUAAGAGUAGGUUUUAGAAAUUAAGUAUCCAACGCUUCAGCAAGUUACGUGUCAUUCUCAUUUCAAUUCAAGUUUUUCUCUCUCAAUAUCAGAAUAAUUCCUUCGCUUAAAACUCUUAUGUGUUGCAACCGUCUCUCUCUCCCCAACACUUAAGAGUUUUAAGCGGACAAAUUAUUCUGAUGAUGAGAUAGAGAAGCUUAAAUUGGAAUGACAAGGAUAUAUAACUCAAUUAAUUGUCGAAUAUUUUCUUUAAACUUUUUUAUUUAUAGAUAUCUUAUGACCAUACAAGAAUAAUCGAGGUUUGGGUCUCAUUGCCAUACUAGAGGAAUCCCCUUGCAUCCAUGGGUAAAAAGAUUAUUUCACCAUCCUAUCUGUUUUUACACCAUGCAUCUUCAAAAGCAUAUGCCUAAUUCAUAUGACUCAUUAUAUUGCUAUAAUUAACUAUCUUAAUUAUCUCUCAAAAAAAAAAAAAAACUAUCUUAAUUAAUCAAGAAGGUAGCGUGCAAGCAUAAAAUUUGGUUGAAACUAACCAACUUUUUUUAGUAAUAUUCAUUUCAAUGAUAGUAAACUGUUGGUGAUAUUAUUAAAAUAAUAGUAGAAUAAAAUAUAUUAGUAUUUUAUUAGUCAUAAUAUAUAUUAUCUAUCAAUUUGACUUUGAAAGAGUUCAUUCAUUUCUUUUUUAUUUUAUUGGUACAAUUUUAGGGUUGUUUUAAGACAAAUAUUUUGACGGUUGUGACGAUCCCCCUAGGCAGAAGAGAAAACAUUUUGCUAAAAAGUGUGAUUUCUAAAAUUUUCAUAUCUUUCUUCUUCCAAAGUUUUAAGUUAUUUGAGCAGUAUAAGAAUUAUCGUGGAGUGUAGAAUUUCUUCCAAAGUUUUAAGUUAUUUGACUCAGUAUAUAUAUCUAUCAAGUGUUUGAGAAUUAUACCGACAUCUUUUUUUUUUCAUAAUAUAAUAUAUAUCAUAAUUUUAACUAAAAAAAUAUAUGUUCUUUCAAUAUAUAUAUAUAUAUAUAUAUAUAUAUAUAUAUAUAUAUAUAUAUAUAUAUUAAUCAUGUGCGGGAUAUUUUUUUCUCAAUGAUAGAACUUGCUUGCAUGUUAGGAGUACGUGUGUUUACUUAUAUGUAAUUGUCGCAAAUAUUAUAUAGUGAUUUGGGAAAGCAACUUUUAAGUAUGUGUAUGUUUUCUUAAAAAAAAAAAAAAAAUGUGUAUAUUUGUUUCAUUGAACAAAGAAAAAGUAUGUGUUUGGUUUGACGGUGGGGAAUGUUAUCGUACGCUUCAAUAAAUAGUCUUUUGUCAUUUUUAAAUGUUUGGUUAGGAAUUUUAGAAAAAUCUAUUAUGUCAUCUAAAUUAAUACUCAUUAAAAUUCAAGAGGUAACUUUGUAGAAUGACAUGUCUUUUUUCUCAUUGUUAACUUUCUUCUAUGCUUUUGAUUUCUAAAAUUUAUUCAUGUGCUUUAAUUUAAUUCUACUUGCACUUUUAAUUUGCAUAUAUGUUUAUGUUAGAUAUUAUUUUGAAUCACAGAAACUCAAUGAGAAUUAUUUAAGAAUGAUAAAAUCUUAUUCUUUUACAUUUUUUACCAAAGUGAGUUGUUUAUUGGACCAUAUUUUUAGUUUGGUCUUUGUUUAUGAGAACAUUGUUAGAUGAAAAUAAAAUAGUAAUUUUGGAUCAAAUUUGAAACAUUGUUGAAAUUAAGUUAUUUUUAACUUGAUUUUAAUGUUGGAAAUAAAAUUUUGUAUUGUUUCUUAAAAAUCGCAACAACCGAAUCAACCCAGACCACAUAGGUUUGAUUUUUAUUUUAAAAACCAACAAAUCAAACCAAACUAUAUGUUUUUUAUUUUAUUUUACGGUUCGGAUGACUUUUAACUUUUUAUUGAACAAGUUAAAAUGAUAUAUAAACAACUGUGAUUUACCCCGCACAAGGCGUGCAAAAGGCAAACCACACAAGAGUAUUUACAACCUCAAGGUGCAAUCACAAAGGGCGCACCACCAAUGCAAAAAAAUAGAGUUUUCCAAUACAAAGAAGCGAGUUUUCCCACCAAUCAUGAUAACUAUAACUAAAAGUCGCUUGUUUUGAUUUCAGCCAUAAAAAAGAGUUUAGUUUAACCUUUUUGAUGAAAAUAGAAGGAUCAGAAGCUGUGUUUUGGAAUACACGGUGAUUCAUCUCCUUCCAAAUAACCCAAAUAGAGGCAAACCAAAUAGUUGUGAAGAACGAAUGGGUGAAUCUAGACAUACCUGCCGUAUUAUUAAAUUGACCAAAAUGUUGUCGAAGGUCACCAGAAGAAACCGAAGAGAUACCUAACCAAUGCCACACAUGAGACCAAAGAGAACUGAAUAUAUCACAUCCUAAAAAAAGAUGUUGUGUUGUUUUCGCACCAAACUGCAUUGUGAACACCCCUAGUCGAGCCAAUUGGUUGAGCUUAUGUAGUUAACAAAAUUUAGUUAAAAAUAAAUAGAUCGAGAGAAUCCAAAUUUAAUUUUUGUCUGAACUAUCGUUGACGAGACUUUACUUAUCUUCUUUUCGAACUCAUGAUCAACAAUAUAUAUCAUUCUUAUUAGGGGUUAAAUAUGUUUUUGGUCACUAUAAAUAUGUCAACUUUCAUUUUAGUUCCUCUAAAAAAUUUCUUCAAACUUUAGUCGACAAAAAGUUUUUUAUCUUCACUUUUGGUCCCUCAUUUAGAGUAAACUCAUAUGUAGAAUUCAUAUUUUCGAAUAAAAUUUUGCAGAAAAAUUGAUAAUAUUAUAAGAAUCUCUCCAAACAAAAAUUAGAAUUUUUUUAACAAAAUAUGAAUUAAAUAUGUAUUUUUAUAUUUCGGCAGUUAAAAAUUCAUAUUUAAUUUAUGUUUUGUUAAAAAAUUCUAAUUUUUUUAGGGAGAUAAUUUUACAAUAUUCUACAUAAUUUCAUUAAAAAAAAAUACAAAAAUUAAAUUACAAGUAAGGACUAAAAGUAGUGAUUGAAAAUUUUAUAGCGACUAAAAGUUAAAGGAAAACUUUUGAGGGACUAAAACGAAAAGUUUGUAUAUUUGUAAGGAGCAAAAAUAUGUUUAACACUUUUUUUUACAACCGAAGAUUCAAAACAUAAAAAAAAAAAAAAAAAAAAAAAAAAAAAAUUUUUAAACCUUUUUUUUAAAACCAAAAAAAAAAAAAAAAAAAAAAAAAAAAAAAAAAAAAAAAAACAAUGUUUUCAAGUAGUUGGCAACAUAACACGACUCUCCUAGCAAACAUUGGCAAAAAUCUAGAAUUACUUGGCUGGAGGAGGGGGAUGCAAACUCCAGAUUUUUCCAUGGGGUUAUAUCCUCUACGAGACGUUCAAAUGCUAUUGUUUCUAAUUGAGUGAAUGGGGUGCAGAUUGAAAGGGUUAAAGGGGUGAGAAGUUCGGUUUUUGUUCAUUUCAGUCGGUAUUUUAAAAGGGUGGAUGUCGAGAGACCAAGCCUACGGAAGAUGGUGUUUAAAUAUUUUUCUAAUGAGGAGGGGGCUGAUCUUAUAAAACCCUUCUUGUUAAAGGAGAUUAAGGAGGCAAUGUGGGACUGUGAUAACUUUAAGAGUCCUGGGCCGGAUAGCAUUAACCUAAGAUUUUUUGAAUGAUUUUUGGAAUAUGUUGAAGGUGGAGUUACUGAUAUUUUUGCUGAAUUUCAUUGGAAUGACAGGUUGACUAAAGGUUUGAAUAGCACUUUUAUCGCCUUGAUUCCUAAAAUUGAGAACUCGCAGAGAUUGUCAGAUAUUCGACCUAUUUCAUUUGUUAAUAGUUUGUAUAAAAUUCUGUCCAAGAUGCUUGCUAACAAAUCUAUGAUGUCAUUGUUAUUGCUAAUGAGUUGGUGGAUGAUGCCUUCAAGUUAAAGAAAAUAAUUACUUCUGUUUAAGGUUGAUUUUGAAAAAGCAUACGAUUAAGUUGACUGGAGGUAUUUAGAAGAGGUUAUGAGUAAAAUGAAUUUUCCAUUUGCUUGGCGUAAGUGGAUGAUGGAAUGUGUUACUUCAACUUCAGCAUCGGUUCUUGUCAAUGAGAGUCUGACUGAUGAGUUUAUUUUGGAGAGAGGGCUUCGUCAAGGUGAUCCUCUUUCUCGUUUUCUUUUUCUAUUAGCUGUUGAAGGUUUAAAUGUUUUGAUGAAUGCGAUGGUGGAUAAUGGAAUAGUUAGUGGGUACAAUGUUCGGGCGCAAGAUGCUUUGACCGUAACUCAUUUACAAUUUGCUGAUGAUACCCUUUUGAUUGGUGGAAAAAGUUGGGCGAAUGUUUGCGCUUUGAAAAAUGUUUUGCUUUUAUUUUUGAAAAUAUCUGGUUUAAAAAUAAAUUUUCAUAAAAGCAUGUUGUUUGGUAUUAAUGUGGCGGUUUCUUGGCUCCAUGAGGCGGCGGUUGUUAUGAAUUGUAAGCAUGGUUGCUUACCUUUCGUGUACUUGGGGCUCCCGACUGGUGUUGAUCCGAGAAAGCUUUAGUUAUGGAACCCUUUGGUUCAGCGUAUUAGAAGUAGACUUUCUUGUUGGAAAAGCAAAAAUCUUUCGUUGGGGUUCGGAUGAUUCUCCUUAAGUCUGUACUGUCUAUUCCGGUUUAUUUUCUUUCCUUCUUCAAAUCUCCCUCAGGUAUCAUUUCUAUCCCUGACUCUUCAGUUUGGAGGUUUUGGGGAUUUUUCCAACAAGUCUUGUUUGACUUUUAAUAUUAUUUGGAUUUCAACUCUUUUUACUAUAUGGAAGGACCGCAAUAUGAGACAUUUUUACAAUAAAUCGGAACACCUGCUAUCUUUAUUGAAAAAGAUUAAACUACAAGUCUUUUGGUUGUUUAAAUAUAAUCUCAUAAUGCUGUUUUUGAUUUUGAUUAUUCAUUAUGUUUUUAGGUUGUAACAUAAUUUUAUUCUUCUUGGCUACUUUGUGGUAACAUAUGGAUCGUCUUAUUGUAAUUUUUAAAUACUUUAACUUCCUUUUAUACAUCUUGUACUAGAGGAUCCUGUGGUGGUUUUUAUAAUAUUUUGUUUAACUUCUUAAAAAAAACACGACACUCCUAAUAAAAGAUAUAUAUAUUUGAUUUUUGUUUUUAGAUAAAUAUAUUUGAUUUUUGAAGUCGUUUAUUAAGUCGUAUGAAAGACGCUUGUUCAAAAAAGUCGUAUAAAAAACGAAUAUCGCUUUGGGGAUGCUAUAGUAUGUCUUGUAGCUAUAAUUGAAACAUUAGCCAUGGGAGUGGAACCCAAAACUACAAUGAAUUAAUUUUUUUUUGUUUUAAAUAUUUGGGACCAAGGAAAAUGGGCUGAGCUGUCUUUGUGACCUAUUUUUGCUAUAGAAUAGACAAAUGUUCUUUAAAUCAAUUUGUCCACAAACCCUAGCGACAGUGAGUAAGGAAGGAAAAGUCAGCAUUUAAUUGUUACUCCAACACGGUUAAAAUUCUGUGUAGUAAAAAAUAGCGGAUUAUGAAUAAGUUACCUUAUAGCGAAUGACUUAUAAGUUGAUUUAUGUUUGUUAAAGGAUAAAAUAACUGAUUGGGUUUGUAGUAUUUAUUAAAAUUAACGGUUGAUUUUUUUCUUCUUCCAGCAACACCUUAUUAGUAUAAGUAAUGAUAUUUGAACAACUAUUUUGGUACAACUUUGUUGUUCUCUCUUCUUAUUGGUCAAAAACAAUGGAGAGAGAAAAAUGAAGAGAGAGAAUAAGAAGAUAAUGUGAGUAUGAGAGAGAGAGUUAUACAAAAGUUGUACAAAAAUGGUUGUACGAAUAACAUUUGUCUAUUGAGUUAGUAUAUUAAGAAAAAAAAAGUAAAAAAAGAGAGGGGGUGUAGACCAAAACACUCAAAGAAAGAAAUUUAGGAUUAAAAUCAAAGCUUCAAGUCGACACCUUUGGGAGCAACUACACUGAGCGUAAAUUAACUGAUUCUCUGCAUAGUCAAUUUUGAUGGACAAGACCAGAGAAAGCUUCACUUUGACUUUAAAUAAAUGGACAAUGACACAAAGCCUCUUAGAUUAAUUAGACCUUAUAUUAUAUACCUCUCUGAUUAAUUGGCAAGAAUCAAUAUGCGACAUUUGUGAAAGAAAAAAAAAGUAUAAACUGUUUCGUAUUAGCGUGGCAGGUCCUCGCGAGCUUACCUCAGUUGAUAGGGACAAUGCAUAUAUUAUGUAAGGUCCGAGGUUCAAACCUCAAUCUUUACCAAAUAAAUAUUAGCGUGGCAGAAAUCACGGGUUAAGUGGAUCAUUAAUUAUGCAGUCGUGUUAUUUUUGUAUUAAUGCUUUUAUAAUAUUAAGCAUUUUCCAAAAAAAAAUGUAUCUUUCCUUUAAAACCGAAGGUAUGUACGCGAAGAAAACUAUAUGGUUUUCAAGCAGUUAGUUGGUAAAAGUUACAUAACACAGUCUCUCUAACCUAAGUUAUAUAUAUAUAUAUACAAUUUAUGAAGUCGUUUAUUAUGGAAACAAUUAUCCACAAAUCACAAAUGUAUUAUCUAAAAACCUAAAUCCUUAACAAAAUCUGCAGAAAAUGGAUUACCUGCGGAAUUGUUACCAAAUUCUGCGGGUAAAUCUGCAGGAAAGUUGGGAGUUUAUAGUAGUGGCAGUUCAAACCCAUAUAAAAAACGAAUAUCUCUUUGGUGAUUCUAUAGAAUGUCCUGUAGUUAUAAUAGAGAAAACAUUAUCUGUGGAAGUGGAACCCAAUAUACAAUGAGUUAACAAAAUAAAUUAAAUAUCUGGGGACCAAGGAAAUUGGGUUCAGUUGUCCUUGUAACCUAAUUUUCAUAGAAUAGACAAAUGGUCUUUAAAGCAAUUUGUCCACAAAACCAAACCACACUUCAGUAAGGAAGGAAAAGUCAGCCUAUAAUUGUUACUCCACUCAACUUAAUUGAGAUUCUGUUUGAUAAAAAAUAAUGGAUACUUAAGGCAGAUAACUUAUAAGUAUAAAAUAAUAACAUAAAAAGAACUAUUUUUAAUUAUUAUUUAUUUAUUUAUUUUAAUUAAGAUUGCAUGAGCGAAAUUGAGAUAAAUAAUGAUAAUGAUAACUUACUUGAAUUGACUCGUCAAAAACUACUAUAAACUCAUAAAAUAAGCUAUACGCUCAUGAGAAAAUAACGGUUUUUAAAUAAGUCUUUUUUAGUUCAAUUGUGUUUUAUCAAACAUACCCUAAACGACACAUUUGAAUUGUACGUAAUUUUUUUUUAAAAAGUCAAUAAUUGGAUGAAUUGCAUCGGUUUCAAUUGAUAUCAUUUAUUAAAAUAUUUUUAUUAAUUAUAGUUAGUAGUAAUUAGAUAAGUGAAAUUCAAUAAAAUGAGUGUAACUACAGGACAAAAAGUAAGUUAAAGGACCAAAAAGAAACUUUUAAUAGUUAAGGGACCAAAAUGAAACCAAAAAGUAAAUUAAGGGACCAAAACGAAACUUUUAAUAGUUAAGAGACUAAAACGAAACCAAAAAAUAAGUUAAGGGACCAAAAGAGUAAUUAAACCAUUUUUUUUUACAAAACAAUAAAUGAAAGUAUGUUAAUGAAAGUAAAAUGUAAAUGUUGAAAAUGACAAUUGCUUUAGAACAGACAAAAGUUUAAGUAUGAUAUUUUUUACGAGACAAAAAUAGUAACAUUCACAUGUAAAGACUUUUGGGUUUGUUAGGGCAAAUGUCCCACCACCUCGGAACAUUCAGAAGAGGAAAAAAUAAAUAAGGCUAAAUAAUGCAAAGGCUUUGAUUUGAAAUUGAAUUAUUUUGACUCAUUGUGUGGAUUUUAGGUAUGUUUGGUGGGUAACCUACACCAUUCAAUCAUUCCCAUCACAUAAUUAAAUGAAUCUCACUUAAUAAAAUUGAAAAUAAUAUACUCCCUCCGAUCUCAAAAACAAAAGAAGAUUUUAUUCAUGUUCAUUGAAUAGAUACUGUAUAUGGUUUAGAAUACAGAUUAGAUACAUCAUUUAUUCAAUGAAUUUAAAAAAUAAAAUCUUAUUUAUUCAUUUUUUUGAGAGUUUUCUUGUCCGUCCUUUAUUAAAUAAAAAUAAUUAUUAACUUAUUUUUUUAUUGAGCCAAAAAACUGCAUCAGCAACAUAUACUAGCAAGAAAACUCCUUUUUAGGCACCAAAAUGAGUGCCCGAAGAGCAAUUUCCUUCCAGAAAAUCCAUUCAACGAAUAUCAAAUCAAAUGAUAAUCUAUAAAUCGGAUCGAGAAAGAUUCCCUCAACAGAUCAAACAUAUAUUCACCUAUUUCUCCUAAAACCCUAUUUAGAAAAGGAAAUCAGAAAAGGAUAAAGGUACACACAUUCUAAUUCUAUACCAAAAUACCUCUCACCCACUUUAGUGAAAGAUAAACUUGAGUGUUCAAGUGAUUGCAAAUCAACACCUUCAUCGAUGAGCUCAAUCAAUGUCCUUUGUUGUGAUAUUCAAUGUCCUUUGUUGUGAUAAAAAUAACCUUAAGGCAUUAUAGAUUUUCAUACUCUGUCCAAAAAAAGUAAUUUUUGACACUUGCCAAUAUGUGCUGGAAAGCUAAGGAAUAGAGCUACACAUUUAUGUUGAAAAAAAAGCCCAAUUUAAACGUUCUACUUAUCAAAAUUGCGAAUUUCUGAAACAUUAAAGUUGACUAAGAGUUUUUGGACCACUUAAUCCUAUGUAUUGGGCCGAAUAGCCCAUAUCGGGUCAACUUAUGUUAAGACCCAUUUUGAACCGUCAAUAUAUUCCUAAGGGCUUAGAGGCCCUCCAAAAGGGUCGGAAGCCCUCCAAAAGGCUUGGGACGCCCUCGGAAAGGGCCCCAAGGCCUAGGCGUGCCCUUCCAAUGGCGUCGCCUCAAUCAGCUUGUAGAAGCCUCUAGAGCUCGGCAAAAAGACUUAAAAUCCCUCGUUGCUUAGGGCUUAAGUCACAAAAAACCAAGCCCACAAUAGGCUAUAAAAACCUCCCAUUGAGGUCUAUUAGGUGAAAUAUCUUGUCUAAAAUGGGAAGGUUACUUGUCUAAAACUUCUUGUUCAUAAUGGUCAAAUGUUGCAACGACCUCUGCACAUGUCUAUUAGGUGAAAUAUCUACGCGUCUUUUUAUGAGCUACAUAAUUUGGUUGGAAUUAGGAUUUGCUUAGUAGACAAGUAUGAGAUGUUUUUAGGAGUACAUACUUUGUAGUUGUAACCUAUUUUGAAUGUUAAGGAGGAUGAGGUUUCCGACAAGUAUUUUGUGGUUGCAACCUAUAAGAGAACGAAAGAGAAAUACCUAUAUCGAGCAGAUGCAUGAAUUAGAGUUAUGUUAGAACAACAACUAGUAACAAAAAAUUAUAAGAGAACGAAAGAGAAAGACAAUGAACACACAAUAUUUUUUAACACAGUUCGGCAAAUUGUGCCUACGUAUUGAAAAAGGAACAUGGGUCGUAUGAGAAGGAAAGGAACGAGAGCUUAAAUGGAAAAUGAGAGUGGAAAAAGGAACCGAACAAGCUUAAAUGAAGUUUGGGGAAAGCUUCGAUUGAGCCAUGGGUGAUAGAGAUUAAGGUUUCAAUCUGGGGGAAAGUGAGAUUGUGGGUAAGAGUGGUGGAGAUUUUCAUUUCAAUUUGGGGAAAAGUGAAUAAAAUUUGGUUUUAGGGUUUUGAAGCUGUGGGAGAGAGAAUGAAAAUGGAAAAGCUGGGGUGAUAGGUAUUUGGCCAAAAGAUAUAUGGUGAAGCGUGUUUGAAAAAAAAGCAUAAAACCUACGACCCUUAAGACUAACCGUCGCAGUAACAAUCACAAAAGUGUAAUCGCGACAGUUAUAAGCUAAGGGUCGCAAAGUAAGUGUCGCAAAAUGCCAAUUUUCUUGUAGUGUACCUAUGCGACUAUAGGGCAACUAUAGUUCCGUUUCUAUUACUGUGAUAAGAAUUAGGAUUUCAGUGUUACAAACUGUAUAUAUAGUACUAUCAUGAUGUAGUUCACAAUAUUACGCCUUGUCUUCUUCAAUGUCUUCUAUAUAUGAGUCAUACUUCAAAAAUAUCCAUCUUAGCGAAUAUCAAACCCUUAUGAAGACUUCUUGCAUUACAAUCACAUCCUAGCAAAAUUAUCUAUAAUAAAAAAGAUCUUAAAAAUGUGUUGAAUUUUGGUUCAAUUUUGACCCAAAAUCAUCCAUUCAAAUUAUUUUUCCUUCGUUUUUAGUUAAAUAAGUGACGUACACAUAUUUUCAACAUUCUUUCAUUUCUUUUGAUUUUCGUCUUAGUGCGGUAUUUAUUUGAUUCAGGUUGAAAGACUAAGUUUGAACAAGUGCAUAUUCAAUCCUUGACUUUGACUUCGUCAAUAUUGCAGAUCCGGAGACAUGCGUAUUCCAGAGACUUGAAUAUUUGUAAACAUAGAUACUCUGUCGUUUUAUGUUAUUAACAUGCAUGCAUGCAUGCGUGAGAUUGUUUAUAAAUUUAUCCUUUUUAUUUUUAGUAACUCUGAAUUUGUAUUAUAUUGAUGUACUUUAUCAAUUUAACUGAUCAUUUAUUUGUGUUGAAAAAAAACAAUUUUCUUUAUGUGGCCGCCAGAUUAGCUCCCAUAGUGAUUAGAAAGUAAACAAUAAAGAAAGUUACACGCAAUUUCAUGGUUGGUUGUAUAAAGUCUUGUCCAGCUAAGUUGUAACAUAAUUAAAAAAAAAAGACUAUUCAUUAUUCAAAUUUGAAAAAGAUAUAAUGAUAAAGACAUUUUAUCACCUUAUUAGUAUUAAAAAAGCACAGAUAAUCACCUAGACACUGUGGCUAAGUAAUAGUCUUAGUUGGAAAAAGAAAAGUAUUGCAUAUUCUUUUUUUUGGAGAGAAAAGUAUUGCCUAUUCUGUAAGUCAUUGUAUGAGUAAACCUAGCUAGCUACUUGCCGUACAUAUAACAUGAUUUAGAUUUACUGGCUCAAAAUAUGAGAAUGUUCCUUUAGUCAAAGAGAAAAAAGACCUAUUUGUUCUUUUUGCAAAUAGAAUUAAUUCUUACAUCAGUCUUAAAAUAUUUAUAUGUUACGGAUCGUUUUAAAUAUAGGGUCUUAUUAACUAGUACUUUUAAGAUAUUGAUUAAUAAAUCCAAUAACAGAAACUUUGUUUUCGGAAUAUAAAUUUUUACUUUUUACUAAUCAAUAAUCGCAUCACUUUUUUAACGUAAAUUUAUUAAUUUUAACACCAUAACCAAUGCCUCAAAGGCAUUUAUUAUUAUUCCCCUUAAAUAUAAUAUCUUCUUAAGUAAUUUUUUGUCUUUGUUUUAUGACUAUUUUGAUAAUUUUAUGUAAGCAAUAAGUAAAUUAAUAAUAAAUACUAUAACGAAUAAAACACUAGAAAAAGCAAAAUUAAGGAGGGAAAUUAGUGACGGAAAAAAUAAAAUCCCUUACAAAAUCUUUGGUCAUAAAAUUUAGUGACGGAAUUAGAGAAUGAUUUCAUAUUUUUGCUCUCUAAAUUUUCCUCACUAGUUUUUGCUUUUUAGUAGUGAAAGUUUUAUGUGGAGUGUUGCAAGAAAGCUAGCAGUUUGCAACAGGAGCACUAUAUGUUUACGACAACGAGUUGGAGUAUAUGGAGGAGUAGGAAUGCAUCGUUAUGGGAGGAUGUAUUUGCGAGAGUUGUUGAAGUAAUUUAUCGCGGUAAUGUUUUACUUAAGGAGUGGAGGGAGCACAUCAAGAAAAUGGAAAGUUUUGAUUCAAUUUCAACAUUUCUUCACCUUGACUCUAAAUUAGUGAUGAUGAAGAAGAACUCUCUCAGCGCAAAAUUGGGGCCCGAUUUUCGCACAUCAGGGGCCGAAUUUUUACAAGACAAAAGUCUCAAAACACCAUGUCACAAGCGGAGAAGACCGAGAUGGUGGACAAGGCUAGGAGUGACAUUGUCUUAUGCCUCGGGGAAAAAGUUUUGGGGGAUGUCGCUAAGGAACCAAACGCGACAUCGAUGUGGUCAAAGUUGGAGUCAUUGUAUAUGACAAAGUCUUUGGCUCAUUGGCAAUUCCUAAAGCAAGCACUCUACUCAUUCAAGAUGGUGGAGUCAAAGACCACCAUGGAGAAACUUACAGAGUUCAACAAGAUCCUUGAUGAUUUGGAGAACAUUGAGGUGCAUCUUGUGGAUGAAGAUAAAGAUAUACUCUUGUUCUGUGCGCUACCGAGAUUAUUGGAAUCUUUCGAGGAUACAAUGAUUUAUGGCAAAGAAGGCACUGUCACCUUAGAAGAUGUUCAAACGGCUUUGAGAACCAAGGAGUUGACCAAGUCCAAGGAUUUGAUAGCUGAUGAAAACGGUGAAGGUCUAAGUGUUUCAAGAGGGCAUGGUGGAGGUAGAGGUAAUCAGAGAAAGGGCGGUAAAAAGUCAAAAUUUAAGUGCUUUAACUGUCACAUGAUGGGUCACUUCAAGAAGGAUUGUCCGGAGAACAAUGAUAAUUAUCUCCGACGGUUAUGAGGAUUCGGGUGCUUUGGUGGUGUCUCAUUGGGGGUGAAAUGUUGAAAUUGAGUCAAAAUUUGAUGAAUGAAGAAGAUUGUUGCUAAAAAUAUAAAAUAUCGAUGCGUCUAUUUAUGAGCAUCAUAAUUACGUUGGAAUCUUGAUUUGCUUAGUGGACAAGUAUGAGAUGUUUUGGGACAAGUAUGAGAUGUUAAGGAGGGUGAGGUUUCAGCAUAUAUCGAUCGGAUGCAUGAAUUAGAGUUCAACAAAGUUAUCUUUACUUUAGAUUCAAAGAGUGUUGUGGACUCUUUAAACUUACUCACCAAUAAUAGAACCGAUGCAUAUUCCAGUUUAAGUAGAUGUUAUAGUAAUUUAAAUCAUCGUUUUGUAAAAACUCUUUUGCUGAUUGUUUUAGAAGAGAGAGUAAUAUGUUUGCUCCUAACUUUGCUAAGGUGACUAUAGGUCCGUUUGUUAUAGCUUUUUAUUAAAAAAAAUUUAACAAAGAAAUUUUCAAAGAAAACUUCAAAUGAAAAAUUCGUUUGAAUAACUUAUCUUAAAAUGUCAUUUUAAAUAGUUCAUCAUUUUGUUAUAUUCUUUUUUGGAUACUAAAAUUUGGAAAAAAUCUCUAAAAUAUAAACUAUUUCAAAUAGUUUUUUAUAAAAAUAUUUUUCAAAGAUAUCGUUUUGAAAAAAAUAUGAAAGAAUUAAAUUUAGAAGGUUCUCGUUAGUAUUCAUACAAUUUCAAACCUUUGAACUAUAGUACAAUAAUUAAUCCUCAAUAAGCAGAAGCUUCUUAAUAUUAACCAUAAUAUUUUCACUCAAAGGGAUCGUCAUGUUUUUUAAUAUCUUUUUCAUCAAGCAUGCAUUUUUAUGUUAGUACAAUCAAUCGAUAUUGUCUUUUAUUUUUUUAACUCACAGUCCACAUUAUCUAUCCACCUAUAUAUAUAUAUAUAUAUAUAUAUAUAUAUAUAUAUAUACACCCAUGAAGGUGUCUUUUAGCAACCCACACCUCAAGGUGUGAUUUUCACUUUUUAGUUAUAACUUUGCUAAAAGACACCUUCAUAAAAAUUAGUUGGUGUCUUCUAACAAAUGCUAAUAUAAUAACUUGCUAAAAGACACCUUCAUAAAAGGUGUCUUCGACUUCUAGCAAAACUCAUAUAUAUAUAUAUAUAUAUAUAUAUAUAUAUAUAUAUAUAUAUAUAUAUAUUUUGAAGAAUUCCACCUAUAUAUUUAAAAUGACCUUUAAAAUUAUAUAAAAGAGACCUUUCCUAGAAAAAUAUAUAGAAUAAAAAAGACCUUAAAAAUGUGUGGUAUUUUACAUGAUAUAUGGCGGCCAGAUUAGAUUAGUUCCCCUUGGUGAUUAGAUAGUUAACAAUAAAAAAAGUUACAUAAUAUCUUGUAUAAUAUAUUUUUAUUUUUUUUGAAGGAUGGUUGUAUAAUAUCUUGUCCAGCUAAGUUGUAACAUAAUUCAAAAAAAGACUAUUCAUUAUUCAAAUUUGAAAAUGAUGUAAUAAUGAUAAAGACAUUCUAUCAACCUUAUCAGUAUUAAAAAGGAAAAAGAAAAGUAUUGCAUAUUCUGUAAGUCAUUGUAUGAGUAAACCUAGCUAACUACUUGUCUUACAGCAGUCUUAAAAUAUUUAUUUGUUACAGUUCGUCUUUAAGUAUAAUAUCUUCUUAGUAAUUUUUUGUCUUUGUUAUAUGACUAUUUUUGAUAAUUUAAUUGUCUCUAUUAAUUAUUUUUUUCAAAAUUAAUACGUCUAAUUAUUGUAGAUACUUUUUUUUUUUUUUAUGUAAACAAUAAGUAAAAUAAUAAUAAGUACUACAAAAGAUAAAUUUAGGAAAAAAAAAUAGUAUAAUUAGGUAAAAAAAUUGUCUGUUUUAUUGUAAUUUUUAGGAAACAAUAAGUAAAUUUAACUAAAAAUUGUCUAAUGAGGUAAAUUACCUAAAAAUGGCAUAAUGAUAUAUAUCACCUAAACAUGUCUGUCUUAAUAACAAAUGAAGUAGUAAAAUUGAUUAAUGAGAUUUAUAUGAAAAAGUGGUUAGCAACAUAAGUUUCUCAUAUGACUGUAUUUGUGUCAAAUUUUUGUGGUCCAAUAUCAUUGCUCAUAUCUUUUUUGGUUACAAUCAUUGCUAUAUGAUUUUACUUUUUUAGGAGUGCUAAUAUGAUAUAUCUAUCAAGCAAACUAUUUUAUUAUUAUAUAUGACGUAAAUUUUCCAAUAAUUGAUACUCUCUUUUAGGUCACAUUUACAAGCAAUUUUGCUUUAUCAUUUAUUGAAUAACUGAUAUAUUUAGACUAUAAUAUAGUUCAGAUACAUCAGUUGUUUAUAUCUGAUAAAGUAAAAUUUGCUUAUAAAUAUAAGUGGAGGGAGUAUCAUAGUAGCAAUGGUACACUACUAGAAAAAGUAAAAUUAGCGAGGGAAAUUAGUGACGUAAAAAAUGAAAUUCCUCACAAAUUUUUUGAUCGAAAAUUUAGUGACGAAAUUAGAGAGGGAUUUUAUGUUUUCCCUCACUAAAUAUUCCUCACUAAUUUUUGUUUUUUUGGUAGUGGUAAACUAACCUGCUCCAUAUGAACAUAACCUUAGAUAUUGACCAGUUCCAUGCAUAUACUUUUCCACGUUAAUGACAAGACAAAUCAAAUUCCUAAUAGCAAUUUUUAAAUGUCUUUGUCAAAACAAAAAUGUCUUUGUCAUAAUAUAAUAAAUCGUUUUUAAAAUGCCUAUAUCAACGCGUGGAUCAAACAUACAAUAAUAAAAAAACUCAUGGAUCAGACACACUUCAUGAUUGAUGAUUGUGAACACUACCCCACAGUUAAAUUUUGAGAAUUUACUGCUCUAUAUAUUAUAUCUCAUCAUGAAUGUAUUGAGGAGAAAAUCACAUCAUGAUUUACUGACUUUAUGGCAGGAAAACCAUCGUAAGAAUAAUAAUGCUUGUCCAUAUGAUCCAGUUCCAUGCAUAUACUUUCCAAUAGUUGGAAUAACAGUUAAAGGAAAAUUUCAUUAAAAAAAAAUUGUUGAAGGAAGAGUGAUUUUUAUUUGUGUUUAAACACAAGACAAAAGUAGAAAACAGCGAGAGAGAAAGGAAGAGAGAACACAAAAUAAUUUGUUGAUUCAGUUCGGUCCAAAUUAACCUAGUUUAGGGAGAGAACAGCCAUCCAUUUUACUAUAUGAUGAGUAACCUUACAAAAGAGAUAUCAAUGGGUUACAAGAAUAAAUCUCCCACUUAAUUAUACCUAAAGUCUCAAUCUCUUCCCGUAACCAAUAGACUCGAUCUUAAUAGUGUUUCCCAACGUGAAACAACCCUCAAACCCUAGUGUUUGUUCCAGAGACAAACUCUAUACAAACCCUAGUUUUGUUGUUGCAUUUCUAAACCCUUGUUUCAGCCCCUUUAUCUCAAGGUUUACAAUGAUACAAUGUCUAUAUUUAAAGUAAAAGAAUCCUCAAUAAAACUGGAACAAAUCUAGGCCCGAAAAUAUGUUUCUGUUUUAUUUUCUGCUGUCAAAAUCAGUCACCAUGCUCACCAAAUUGGCCACCGAUUUUUGCCGAAUCUGAAGCUCAAAUAAAAUAGUAUUCCAAUUUCUUUAAUUUUGAGGCACUUUCACAACAGAUAACAUGUAAAGUUUUUCAAAGUUUGCUGCUGACAAAGCACAGAUUAAUUUGAUCAUAUACCUAAUAAAUACCGAUUUGAAUUACUUUGAAAUUGUCAAGAAAAGUUUUUUCUUGGUACAAGUAAAUAAAAAACAAAGUUUUUACUUACCUUGAAAUUAGCUGACAAACCCAAAUAAUAAAAUAAUGAUUAAUACAUCUAAACUUCUAUAUUUAUACAUAAAGGAUACAUGACUUUAUAUUGGUUCUUUAUCUUCUAAUUAUUCUAAUAUAUAUACUCUUUAAGAUUAAAAUAAAAUAAGUAUAUGAUUUAGCACAAUAGAAAACUAGGACGAACAUAUAGUACUUAUUAUUAUAAAAUUUUAUUUACCUUCGACCAUACUUCGAUUUAUGAAGAUUCAGAUUCUUAAAGUAUCGAAGGGUUAACACAAUAAUAACUAAAAAUAUAUAUAAAAAAGAUGGGUACAUAGAAUCCAUUUUAACACUAAUACUACUAAAAUAAAAAAAACAAAGGUAGUGUCAACAUUUUCCAGCUAAUAAGCUCACUUACUUUAAAUAAUUUCAUUCAUGAAUAGUUUGCUGUCUUUAUCAAAUACAUAUCCACGUUCCAUGAAUAAACAACUUGUGUCACAUUGGUCCAAAAAGCAUACUGAAUUAUUCAAAGGCAGGCCAUUAUUUGUAUCCUAUGUUUUAAAUUAAUAAUAACCUCAGAUUUGUAAAAAUAAUUUGUUAAAAAAGGAUUACAAGAAUUUUUAUUGUAUUUUUUUUAGAGAGGUUGAAAACUAGGUGAAUUUUAAUAUGUACCAAAUCAAAGUUCAGUAACCAAGAUGAAUAGUUAAGUUAAAGUGGUAAUGAAAAAACUAUAUAAAGGGUGAUGCUGCCUUCAUUACAUCAACAACGAAACCCACUUUGGGAAAAAGAUGGGGUCUCAAAUGGCCUCUAUUACUCUCACUAUUGCAUUGGCAAUAAUCUCUCUUACCUUGCCAUCCCAAACUUCAGCAAACAGCUACAUCUAUUCAUCUCCACCACCACCACCAAAGCCUUACUACUACCACUCUCCACCACCACCGGUGCACUCACCACCUCCUCCUUACCAUUACAGUUCCCCACCACCACCUCCAAAGAAGCCAUACAAAUACGCUUCUCCUCCACCUCCAGUUUACAAGUACAAAUCACCUCCUCCACCAGUGUAUAAGUAUAAGUCUCCUCCUCCACCACCGAAGAAGCCAUAUAAAUAUCCAUCUCCACCACCACCAGUUUACAAGUACAAGUCACCUCCUCCACCAGUUUACAAGUAUAAAUCUCCUCCACCACCAGUUUACAAGUACAAAUCACCUCCUCCACCGGUGUACAAGUAUAAAUCCCCUCCUCCACCAGUGUACAAGUACAAGUCUCCUCCACCACCACCUAAGAAGCCAUAUAAAUACCCAUCUCCACCACCGCCAGUUUACAAGUACAAAUCACCUCCACCACCGGUGUACAAGUACAAAUCUCCUCCACCACCAGUUUACAAGUAUAAAUCCCCUCCUCCACCAGUGUACAAGUACAAGUCUCCUCCACCACCACCAAAAAAGCCAUAUAAAUACCCAUCUCCCCCACCACCAGUUUACAAGUACAAAUCACCUCCUCCUCCAGUUUACAAGUAUAAAUCUCCUCCACCACCAGUUUACAAGUAUAAGUCACCUCCUCCCCCAGUUUACAAGUACAAAUCUCCACCACCACCACCCAAGAAACCAUACAAGUAUCCAUCACCACCACCACCAGUUUACAAGUAUAAGUCUCCCCCUCCACCUGUCUACUCACCACCACCAGUUUACAAGUAUAAGUCUCCUCCUCCACCUGUCUAUUCACCACCUCCACCAUAUAAGUACAAAUCUCCACCACCUCCUCCUUAUAAGUACCCAUCACCACCACCACCAGUUUACAAGUACAAGUCACCUCCUCCCCCAGUUUACAAGUACAAAUCUCCACCACCACCACCCAAGAAACCAUACAAGUAUCCAUCACCACCACCACCAGUUUACAAAUAUAAGUCCCCUCCUCCACCUGUAUACUCACCACCUCCACCAGUUUACAAGUAUAAGUCUCCUCCUCCACCCGUCAAUUCACCACCUCCACCAUAUAAGUACAAAUCUCCACCACCUCCUCCUUAUAAGUACCCAUCACCACCACCGCCAGUUUACAAGUACAAAUCACCUCCUCCUCCAGUUUACAAGUACAAAUCUCCACCACCACCACCCAAGAAACCAUACAAGUACCCAUCACCACCACCACCCGUUUACAAAUAUAAGUCCCCUCCUCCACCAGUUUACAAGUAUAAAUCUCCUCCUCCACCUGUUCACUCACCACCUCCACCACACUAUGUCUACUCUUCACCUCCUCCUCCGGUCUAUUCCCCUCCUCCACCACAUUACAUAUAUUCAUCACCUCCUCCUCCUUACCACUCUUAGAUAACGGUUUACCAUAGUAUCCCAUGGUAUGCUUCUUUUUUAGUACGACCAAUAUCUUUAUGAUUAAAAUGCUUCGAGAAAUACUAAUUUAUAUAUCAACAAAAUAUAUGUAUUUUAUCAACGAAACAAUUAAAUAAGAGAAUCAAAAUUAGUGAUUUGAAUAGUUUUACAUGCCAACACAUGCAAGUCGUUAUAUAGACCUCACAUUCAUUUUAUUCUUAUUAUUCUUAUAGUCUAAAUAGUACAAUUUUCUUGAAACGUCUAAAUUGACAUACAUCUUAUGGUACAGUUUACAAAAAUCAAUCUAAGCCUAUUUUAUUUCUAUUUAUAGUAUUAUAUGUAAAUAGAAAAAAUAUACAAACUAAAAGGAAAGUUGACAGUUAUGUUUCUUAUUAAUGCUUCUCACUCGUAUUGUUCUUUGAGUGCUUAAUUAAUGUGUUUAUGUGUUUGUAUAUACUUUUGUAGGGAUUAAGGAAUAUUGGAAAUAAAGAGAACAUAGUGCAAAGCAGGAAGAUGCAUUUAGCAAUAAGGGAGAAAAACAACGGAAGCAAAGUUUCCAUGCAUUUUGGUCUCAGAAAAAGUCACUUUGUUUUUCUUAUUUGUUUGUAUAUGAAUUAUUAUUCUCAUUAUUGAGUUUGGUUAUUGAAUUUAGACAGGUGUAAUACACUGUGUGUAAUAUCGUGAAUGCAUUUUGUUUUGGAACCUACUCUUUGCAAGGGGUUGGUUGGGAAAAUAAAAUUGAAUAUUUGUUCUACUAAUUCUUUGCAUAUUUAUUGUGAAAUUACAAUAUAAUCAAUGCUCAACUAAUUAUUUUUUUCAACAGAAAACUAAUGCAUUUCAUUAAAAAUUAAAGGACCAAUAUAAAGGAGAAUGUCAAAUUAUAAAGCUAAGAAUUUCUGAAAAAAAAAAUAAAGUUGAGAACUGACGCUGUAUAUGUUUAGCUUAGCAAAGGUGCAUUGUGCAUCCAUAUUAGUCUCUCUCCUACAAAACUCGACAUAAGAAUUAUUACAUAAUAACGAUAAAGUACUACAAUAUCUACUUAAAAUAGAAUCUACAUAUCAAUAGCUGUUAAUAAGUUUAAAGUCUCACCCUCACUCAAUAACUUAUUUAAGCAUUGAAUGUUCAAUCCAAUUGCUAUUAAUUUCGACAAGCCGGUCCUAAUUUACUCUCUCUCGGUUUUCUCUUCCAGUUUCUUCAUUGAGGAGUUAUUUUGGGUCAAUUAUUGACCUGAAAUCACUCCUCUUCAUCUUUUUAUGCCUAUUUCAAUCUAAAUAAGUGAUUUUCACAUAGAUUUAGGUUUUUUCUUUGUGGUUUUAUCAUCUAAGUGUGGUGGUUUGUUGUUCGUCGUCUUGUGCGGCGUUGUUCGAUUUCACGUUUCUUGCGGUGUUCAUUUAAUUCAUAUUGAAAGAUUGAUUAUUCAAUCGAAGAUUUGGGCGUCAACGUUGCAGAUCCGGAUGCUAUGGAUAUUCCGGUCACUUUAAUUUUAUCAUAUAUUUUUUGUUGUGAAAACCACACCAAUAAUAAACUUGAUGCGUGGAGCAAAUUAAUACCAAGUAAUCAAAUCAAGCGGGUAGCAAAUAAUUCAAACAAAAGUAAACGACAAGAGAUAAAAGGAAAGAAGGAGAACACAAGAAUUUGUUUACCCAGUUCGGUCUAAUGAUGACCUAGUCUAGGGGAGAUAGCAGCUCUCUGCUUCACUAUAAUGAUAUGAGUUUCUUUACAAAGAGAUAUUGAAUUACAAGAAUCAGUCUUCAAACCUAAUUCUACCCAAGUCCCAGCCUCUUCCCGUGACCAAGAGACUCAAUCCUAAUGGUGCUUUGUUCAACGUGAAUCAAAACAAUCCCAACCCUAGUGUUUGUUGCCAAGAGAAAUUCUCUAUAAACCCUAUUUUCUACACAGUGUUUUGUUUCUACACACUCUCAGUCUCUCAAAUAUUCAUAUGAUACAAAGCUUAUAUUUAUAGUGGAAAGCAUUCCUCAAAAAUUGGAAACAGGCCCACAAGCUGUUUUAUUUUUCUCAUCUUGCGAGAAAUCGGCCAUCAAGUUUGGAAAAUCGGCCACCGAUUUUUCACGAGACAAAAGUCUCCAAAACCAGGUCAAAAUCGACCACCGUGUGGUGUAACACCCCAUUCCCAAAUAUAAUUUAUUUAAAUGAAAUAAACACACAUCAGAGUAAUAAAUCCAAAUGGGCAUGUCACACUACAUUUUCAAAUUUCUGAAAUAGAAUAUAAAAAAUCUAUUUAUUAAACAUCCAAUGAAAUCAUCAUUUAAUAUGCAGCGGAAUAUUAUCAACGAAACGUCAACAACUGUUUAAACCUCCAAAAUAAUAUCUCAGCAUAAAAAGCCUCAACCAGAAUAAUUCAUCAACCAUAGGGCUACAACAACAUUAACCAAAAUUUGAUACAUAGAAUGAAAGAAAACAAUAAAAUCCCAUCCCACGUAUCAGAGCCCUAGACACUUUGAGCCACCACCUACUACUCAGGAUCACCUGCAAGUUACCCAUAGGAAGGGCAACAUUUCCAAGCAGAAGGGGUGAGAUUCUCAAUCAAUAAAAAUAAAAUAUAAUAACAUCAAUUGAAAAUCUAGCACCUUACAACAUCAAUGAUUAUUCAAUAAGCAUAGGUAUUUCAUAAUCGACAACAAUCAUUCAAAUAUAGAAUUCAAUCAACAAUGCAACUCAUGAUAUGACAUGACACCCCCCUUUAAUACUCCUCAAUAAAUGCAACUAUGCAUGUGGUACCAUAAUUCAGGGCCAUGACCCACACCACUGUCGAAUGGUUAAAGCAUUCUCAGCAGGACCUAAGUCCUCACCGCUCCACACCGCUUUGAACAACUAGUGUUCCACCGCUUUGAACGACAAGGCGUUCCAGAGCCGAAGCUCUCCCACUUUGAUGUUUAUGCAACUACCCCACCUGUGUAUAUCUACAUACAACUCGACCACUACAUAUGUAUCAUAUGACUUACUACUCCACAACUCAAACAAUCCAGACUUACACAAUUAUUUAUAAUUAUGCACAUACAUCAAUCAUCUCCGACAUUCACUAACACCAAUCAAUCCAAUCACUGGCUAGUUUAAAUAGGAUUUGGUCACCUACACCAGGGUUAUAUUAGUUAAAGAGGAAGUUAAAGAACGCUCAAGAAGUCCCCUCAUGCACUAAGCAACAGUUCAGAAAAGGCUGAUUAAGGUUCACUUCGCUUAAGCGACGGCUAGUUCGCUUAAGCGACCAGCUUACAGUAGGUUCUGGGUUCAGUUCGCUUACGGGUCGCUCACGGUUCGCUUGAGCGAACUUUGGACAGAAUGAAAAUGGUUUUUCGCUCACAGGGUCGCUUACCAUUCGCUUAAGCGAAAUCUUGGCAGAACCAAACUUAAUUUUCGCUUACCAGUUCGCUCACGGUUCGCUUAAGCGAACGGGUAAAAUCGCAUUCUGGGCAGCUUGCUUGAAUGCUCGCUUAAGCGACGGAUGCUUCGCUUAAGCGACCACUCAUCUGGGCAGUGCAAAACCUACGGUUUCAGACCUCUUCUCACUCCAAAAACCCCAUUUUAAUCCCCUGAUCACCCAAAAUGUUUUCCAACAGAUGUUUACAGGUCCUAUAUACAACUAGGCAUUACAAAGAAACACAAUUCAGCCAUCAACAACAACAAUUAUAGAAUCAUUCCACCAUCACACAAUAUUUCAUCAAUUCAUACAAUUCAUCCAAAAUUCAAUCAAUUCAUGGAUUACAGCAACAACAUGGAUUAAGAUUUCGUUCUUAACAUUAAAUUCCAAGAAACUAACAUCAUCUUUACUCAUUCCAUCAGAAUCAUCAUCAAACCCUAACUUUCAUCUUAUUUUCCAAAACUAUUCAAUUAGGUCAAUUUCAGAAAUUAUAGAUUAUGAUUAUUGAGAGAUAGUCUCACCCUUACCUUAGUUUUGCAGAAAAUUAGACAGCAAGGAUCGAUUUCUAGGCUCUCCUCUCUAGCUCUUGCUCUUCUUCUCCCUUUUCCCAAAACUUGUCUGUUGUACGUGAAACUGUUUUCUGACUAUUCCUUUUCCUAACUCCCCAAAACUAUAACUCCCCCUAUUACAUUAAACUCCAUUAAUUUUUAUUAAAUUCUAAUUAACUCCCUAAUUUCUAAAAUAAUAUUAAUUUCCAGUUAUUUUAAUUAUUAUUAUAUUAAACUAUAUAAUAAAAUGCACACACCACAUAAAUCACCAAAAAUCAUAUAAAAUCACAUUUGAGACUCCACAUAAUUCAAAAUAAAAUAAAAUAAUACUAGGGCGUUACAUGUGGUACAAAUUGGACACCGAAUUUGACAGACAGGAUGCACAUUUUUGAGUCACUUUUCAACAUUUUUGUAGGCAUUAUGUCGUUAUAUGCUAUUAAUUAACUUUGAUGUUGUGAGUUUAUUAGCAGAUUCAUCCUUUAAGUUUUUAGCGGUGUUGAAUGAUGUAAUCUCGAUUUGAAUGAAUGAAUAUCAUUUUAUUUUUGUAAAAAAAAAAAAAAAAAAAACUAUAUACAUCAUUACUGUAAUUUUUUUUACAACAUGUAUCAAUCAUUUUGUUACAUUUUGUAUUAGUUACUAAAGUAUAUCUACAAAUAGUCUAUGUCGUUAAUUGUGAUCGAAUGCACACAGAUUUUUACAUUAAAAUUUUGCAAACCAUCAAAGUUAAAAAAACAUGCAUAGAACAAACCUUGGGAUAUGUAUUCGAGAUGACGAAAACACUUUUUGUGUUGGAUAAAACUUUGUCCAUCACUGCAAUGUAUAAGCAUACGGGAGAAGUUUUGGGUUUUUUCCAAUCGUUACACUAAUUAAGUGAUAUGUAAUUUGACAAUGUUGACUUUACAUUGUACUCAAAGAUUAUUACAAAUGGUUUCCAUCAUCAUCGUGUUCAUGUUACAUAAUUUGGUCAAGUGAUUUCAGCUUACAGGGGCCUCUUUAAUACUUAUUUCACAAACUCUUAGGACGAGUUUAACAGACGACAAACCAAUGAGGUAGUUCACAUCCUUGUUGGGUUGUCAAAUUAUCAACUAAUCUCACUAUUUAUUCGCAUGUAAUUCGUUGUAUAAGCACUCUUAUUAUUAAUUAAACUAGCGAGUUAACCCGUGCAAUGUAUGAGCGACAUAUGCUACUAUUUUUUAAUCUCCAAAAUUAUAUUCUUUUUUUUGUUUUUUUAUAUAUCACUAGCGAAAAGACAAGCACUCUCGUGCCCGUCUUUCCGCUCUUUUUAUUGCGUUAAUGUUUGAAAAUUAUGAACAAUAUUUUUUUAUGAAAUUUUGAUUUUGAUUAAAACUAUAUAUAUAUAUAUAUAUAUAUAUGUUUGUUGCUUUAAAAUUAUAACAAAUCAAACUAAUCAUGAUUAUCUAUUUCAUUGAAACCAACAAUAUAACAAAAAAAAUAUAAUCUAAACUCUUAUUUUUUUAAUGACACCAACAACGAUCUUUAUUAUAGAAAAAGUUAUUUGAGGGUAUAAUUGAAAUAGUAAAAAAGUAAGUAUAUAAAAAUACUCAUCUAGUUUGUUAGACAUUUUAAAAGAUAAAAGAAAAAAAUUAGACAUAUAUAUAUAUAUAUAUAUAUAUAUAUAUAUAUAUAUAUAUAUAUCGUGUUUCUUACACUUUUAUUUUAAUACAUGAAUUUGCUUUAAUCUAUUUGUUUUGUGUUAUUUGUAUUGAAAGUUAAGGGUAAUUUUGGAAAGAGAAAAAUUCAGCCUAAAAGAGUCUAAAUAUGCUAUUUUCUUUAUAUAUAGUAUAAAUUAACUAACAUUUUAUAAGUUAUAGCCGGCCCUAGUUUUCUAGUGAGAGAAACUCCAACUUCUCUCUAGACUUUCUUUCUCCUUCGUUCAUCGAGGAGGGGUGGUUUUAGGUCAUUUUUUGACCUAGAAUCACCCCUCUACAUCUUUUUUCCCCUUUUCUUUCAAUCUAAAUAAGUGGUUUUCACAUCUAUCAAGUUUUUCGUUUUGUGUUUUUUGUGAUUUCGUCGUCUAAGUGCGGCGUUUGAUUUCGCGUCUUGUCGCGGUGUUUGUUCAGUUCCUAUUGAAAGAUCUACAUCAAUCAAUUACAAAUUCAAGCAAUGAUUUGGAUGUCAACGUUGCAGAUCCGGAAGCAUGGGUAUUUCGGUGAUUUAGGUUUGAUCAUAUUAUUUGUAGGCAUUUUGCUGUUGUAUGCUAUUAACUUGGGUGCUGUGAGUUUGCUCGCAUAUUCACCCUUUACAUUUUUAGCGAUGUUUGUAUCUGAUGUACUCUAUCGAUUUGAAUGAAUGAAUAUCGUUUUGUUUUUGUAAAAUAAAAAGUGUUUUUUUUUUUUUUUUAUAUUUUUUAUUAGUGACAAAUAUUUGACCCAUACAUUUUUUAUGUAUUAAUGAUAAAUAUUUGUUCUAGUUUUCUAAAUUUAUAAUGACAAAUAUAUCUUAUGUGUUUAUCAUUGACAAAUAUUUGACACAUUUUUUUAUAUAUUUAUCAGUGGUAAAAACCUCAUAAAGAACCUAUGUUAAAUACUUGUUCCGUACUUUUUUAAUUGAUCAAUUACAAAUAUUAGUCCCAUGCUUUUUAAUAUUUUUUGUUCAAUUUUUUAAAAUAUUUAUCAAUUAAUUUAGGGUUAACAGGCCUUUACCCCCUACAAUGAUAGGCGAAUACUUGACCCUAGAGCUCUAAAAUGUGUUUUUGUUGGCUAUUCCUCCACUUAAAAAGGAUAGAAAUGUUACCAUCCUUCGUACAAACAAUUCUGUGUCUAGAGAUGUUACAUUUCAUGAAGAGGAAGCUUUUUUCAAACAACCUUAUCUUCAGGGAGAGAAUUUAAGAGAAGAUAAGGAAAUAAAUCAUGAAAUCCUUGCUCUUCCUAUCCUUGAGUUUGCUUGUAUCCUAAGGUUGACAUAACCUUAGAGAACCUUUCAAACCAUGCUCAGGGUGAUUGUUUCAAUCCAUAUAAUGCCUUUUUCAACCUGCAUAUAGAAUUGGCAGCAAGAUUUUUACAAUAUUCUGGCGGUACCUCCAUAUAGAUUUCCUCCUCUAGUUCCCCAUGCAGGAAAGCAUUUUUCACAUCAAAUUGCUGCAAUUCCCAACCAUAAAAGGAAUGGAAAUGCAAUAAUUGAAGCUUAUACUGAUGAUGACCAUGCGGGGUCAAUUACAGACAAGAGGUCCACUACUUGAUAUUGUACCUUUGUUGGAGGAAAUUUAGUAACUUGGAGGAGCAAAAAACCGAAAGUGGUGGCUUGCUCUAGUGUUGAAGCUGAGUUUUGAGUAUAACAUAAGGUAUUUGUGAACUACUUUGGCUGCAAAUUAUUUUAGAAGAUUUGAAGAUAAAAUUGGAUGGACCUAUGAAGUUCUAUUGUGAUAAUAAGUCAGCAAUCAACAUAGCUCAUAAUCCCGUUCAACAUGAUCGAACAAAACACGUUGAGGUGGAUAGGAAUUUUAUCAAAUAUUUUUAUAUUUAUUAGUGACAAAUAUUUAUUUCACGUUUUCGGAUAUAUUAGUGACAAACAUUUGUCCUAUGUUUGUUAUGUAUCAGUUAUUAAUAAAUGUCUUGUGUAUAUUUAUCAUUGAUAAGUAUGUGUCCCGUGUUUUUAUUUUAUUUUAUUUUUUAUAUUCUUCGAUCUUAAAGCAACGAUGAUAGAUCAAGACCUAGAGUGAUAAUUGGUGCCAUUUAACAAAGAGUUUGCAAGAACAUUCCCAAGAUUUUUAUUUGGAUGCAUGAAAUAUGGAUUUAAGGUAUCAUUCUGGUAACCUUUGUGAUGAUGAGAAUCGUGUCCUCCAUUGACACUUCCAGCAAUACUAUCCAUAGACAUGAUGAAUCAACGAAAGGGAUUCACAGAGAAAAGAAAGAAGAGAUAUUUUUACAUUCUUAUGACAUAACUAACUACACACUAACUAUGAUUAAGACUAGAGAUGACUAUAGUUAGGAUGUUACAACUAACUGUUAACUGCCUCAAUAACUUGCAGAGCAACUUACUUAGUGUUCACUAUGUUUUGUUGUUGACAAAAUUCUUAUUUGAUGUUUUAAAAAUUACAAACAUAUUAAAUUUAUUUCAUCUUGUUAUCUACUAACUUGUUCUGUGAUAAUUAUUUCAUGAGAAUGAUCACGACAACAUUCUGGUAUCAUAAGACAAACAAAGCAGUUACGUCAAAAGACAAAUCAGCAAAAAGGCAAAAUUUAGCUUUACAAGAAUAUUUAACUUUUGAAUUAUUAAUAUCAAGAUCAAGACAUUUAUAUGCCUUAUUAAAGGAAGACAUAUAAUGUUCUGUCGAAAAGAAAAAAAAAAGAUAUUUAAUCAUUGUUGAUUGGCAAAAUGAAGAAAGAAAUGUUUUGGGCCUUAAAGAAGAUUUUUUAUCCAUUAAGGAAAAGAAACAAGUCCAUUAAAGAAAAAUAUCUCAUAAAGGCUUUAAGCACAUGUGAAUUAAAUGUGACAUCAUCAAAAGGACAAAAGAAUGACAUAAGCAUGUCACUUCUGACAACUAUCAACAACUCAUUAUAGCCGGAUAACUCUCACGUGGAAGCAUAAAGUAAGCUGGACAUCCAUAACCUUCUGGAUGUGUAAAUUAACAUUCUAGUCGUGUUGAAGAAGAAAAGUGAAAUCAAUUGAAACUUUGGAUAUCUAUAAAAAUGUGCCCAACAACUCUAUUUUCAUAGUUUAUCACCAACACACUCCACAUCUAUAAAUACAUGAAGACAUGAAGAAUCAAAACAAGUGUUUUGAAAGCAAGCAUUCUCUCGAGUGAAAAUCAUCACUAUAUACAAACUCUUCACAAACAAACAAAUUCUAAGUUCUCUCAAUAUAUCAUUUGGAUGAUACUCAUUCAAAUUUGUUUAUUUAAAUCUCAAACAUGUGUUGAGAAUUUCAUUUGAUCCAAACCCACCUCAUCAUACAAAGUGUAUUGUGUUCUCAAGUCUAUUGCUAACAAUAUUUUGAGAAGAAUUGACAACCUUUCUUGUCCAGAAUUAAAAAAUUGUAGAAGCCUACUAAGGUUUAUUUUACAGGAUUUAACGAACUGAUCUGGUGUGAUCAAGAAUUUAUGGUGCUAGUCAUAAGUUUCUGUUAGCAUGAUACUAUAGUGGAUAAUCUUACACAAGGUGUGGGGACUGAAAGUAGCCGAGUUUGGUGAACUAUGAUAAAUCUCAGGUGUUAUUCUUCUUCCCUUUCUCUCUUUAAUACUUAAUAAUCUCUCCAAAAUAUUGUGGUCCUAAUUAAUCACAAUCAAAUUAAUCCAAUGUUUUCUGGUCCUAAAUUGUUUCAUUUAAUAUUAAUUAUACAGAUGCAUUCAGAACAUUCUGAUGCAAGAUAAAACAAUUACAUAAAUAACUAAAGACAAACUCACGUUUAAAAUCAAAUUAUAAUAUUAUUUUAUCAUUCUGUUUUAUUCUCCAGAACAUUCUGGUCCUUGUUAAAAUAGUUUUACAUUUCAGCUUAAUAUCAUUUUUCUCAUUCUUCUUAUAUAUUAAAUAUAUAAUCAUUUAAUCAAAAACAUUAUGGUCCUAGAUAAAAAAGAAUUGUUAUAUAUCAAACACUCUAAUCUAAUUAGACUAACAUUUACCAAGAACCUUCUCUACUAAACAAACUUAUUUAAGUUUCAGGAAUAAUUUUAAAAGGGUCACAAUUCACCUCCUCCUCUUGCGACGUUUCUUGCUACUUCAUGUUCAACAUAGGAUUUUAUAUCACAACCAAGCGACUUUUUCACACCCACACACCCAUUAGUUAUCUAGCUGUAAUAAAAGCAUGUAAUUGAAUGAAUUAAAUGAAAAAGGAGUUAGGGUUUCAAAUAACAACCAUAUAGAUUUAGGGGUGGCCCUGAGGGCAGGCAGGAGGGGCAGUAACCUAGGGCACCAUUUUUUAAGAGGCACCAAAAUUAUUAUUUUUACUUAGUAGUUAGUACUAUAUAGAUAUAUUUCUUUUUAAUUCGUUUUGAUUAAUUAUAUUAAAAAUAUAUUUUUAGAGAACUUUAAUUGUAAAUGAAUCUUUUGUAACAAAAACUGCAAGAAGGAAAAUAUUGAAAUAAAUAAAACAACACAAUUUUAUUGUUUCGUCCAUGACACCAAAAAUCUCAGAACCAGCCCUGAGAAAGACUAUAAUGUUGUGGGGCCGCAUCUUUUCUUUUCUUAACAUGAAUGUGAAGAAAGACGAGAGAUUAUAAAAUUUAGAUAUUUUCUACGCUGCCCUUCUCUCUCUUCAUGUUUGUCUUUUGCAAAAUAACAUCAUUGUAAAAAUUAAAUUUAGUAUCUUAUACUCCCUCCAUUCCUUUUCUUUUAAUGUUUUAGAACUUUAAAUAUAUUCCAAAACUUUUGAUGUUUUAGUGAAUUUAUUAUUGUUUUCUCAAGUUUACCCUUUUCUUCCGAAGCAUAAAGAAUAACCUUCAACCAAGACAUAAACUCAAAAAGAAAAUGUUUAAAUUAAUAAUAAUAUUGAUUUUUAUGUUUGUUUUUUAUUGAACACGUAGAAAAUUGGUUUUCAAACAAACAUAACGUUUGGGAGAGUAUGUAACACUUGAGUUCGAUUCUAGAAUUGUCUAUUUGGAAGGCAGCUCAAUCUUGUAUAAAAAUAUGUCUCACAUUCAACUUGAAAUUAAAUGUCAUAGCUUGGUUAAACUAGAGCCAUGGACAGAUAAAGAGACUAUGUGAUCAAAUGUGGCUAUUUUGAUACAAGUCAUUUUGCCUUUUAAAAAAGAAAAAAUGAAUAGAUUUAAAGCAAUUGGUUAACAAAUCCAAGUCACACCUCAUCAAGGAAGGAAAAGUCAGCAUUUACUUAGCAUUCACAUAUCAAGACUUUUUGUUUAUGUUAGGCAAUUGUCCUACCUCAGGAACAAAGAGAAGAGGCCAAAAAAUAAGGUUAAAUAAUGCAAAGUCUCUGAUUCGAAGUACUUUGACUCUUUUUGUGGAUUUUAGGGAUGUUUGGUGGGUAACCUACACCAUUCAAUCAUUCCCAUCAUAUAAUUAAAUGAAUCUCACUUAAUAAAAUCAAGAAUCAUAUCCUGUUCUUCAUCAAAAUCAUAUUCCAAACCAAAUGAGUGUAUGACAUACGCUACAUAAAUUAUAAUAGAGUCUUGUUAACCAUUGUUCGGACAAUGGUUAAGGAACUUAAAAGUAGUAUGUUUGCAUUGGUUUUAAUAACUUUUAACUUUUAAAAAGUUAAAUUUAUCAGUUUUUAUCAUUUUUCAAUACUAUAUUUAUAUUUUUAUCCUCCAAUACCUCAAGAGCAAUGAUUAGCAUUCUCAUCCGUAAUAAUAUGAUUUACAUUUAAGAAAUUCAAGCCACCUUAGUCAUUAUUAAUCAUAUCCUCGAUUUUGACUUGUAAUAGGAGCUAGAACAGCUAGCGCAACAAUAAAUUUUUUGACAAAUACAUGUCCAUCAACAAGGACAGACAAAAUAUUUAAUUUUGUAAGAAAAAAAACUCAUUCAUAAAAUUAUAAUCAUGUUAAUAUAUGCUCUACGAACACAUGUUAAGAAUUCAAUAAAUAAUAACCAUUUAGACACAUGCUCGGAAACCACAUCAAACCAUAAGACGAGGCAAUGAUAUGCAAAUCACAUUUGGAAUCCUUCAACAACCAUAUAGGUUUUUCACACAUUCGAAGACCGUUAACUCACCUCACAUAAAUACAGGUAAAUCACACUUAAAGGUUAGAGUGUUUACAGGUAGAUCAUCCUCCUCUGCGACUCAUCAAUUGUGUCAUCGAUUUGGUUUACCCUCAGCUUCUUUUUUAUUGAUUGAUUAUAACUUUUUAAUAUAUCAACGACUAUAAUUAUUUACAUUAUAUAUAUAUAUAUAUAUAUAUAUAUAUAUAUAUAUAUAUAUAUAUUUCAAAGUCUAAAUUAGUAAAUGUGCACUUUUUUAUUUGGACAAAAAAGUCAUUCACCUUUAUUAUUUAAAACUAUUACAUUGAGGGUUACUUUUGUAACUUUAUUAUAAAAUAAUGGCUAAAAUAUGGUUUUAGCCCAUGUAAAUAUGUCUCGUUUUAGUUUUAGUCCAUGUAAAAAAAAAUUGUUUUUGGUCCCUGCAAAAUUUUUUGUUUUUGAAAAUAGUUCCUCAGGGACUAUUUUCAAAAACAAAACAUUUUGCAGGGACCUUUUUAAAAAACAAAAAAUUUUGCAGGGACCAAAAACAAAAUUUUCUUUUUACAGGGACUAAAACCAAAACGAGACAUAUUUGCAGGGACUAAAACCAUAUUUUAACCUAAAAUAAUUGUUAACUUGCAUCACUUAGCUAAUUACUUAGAUCCACUUUUGUUAUGAACACAACAAUUACAAACAUUAAACAACUAAAAAAAAGACAAAAUAUUUGUGUUUUUAGUAAAGACAAAAUAUAGUUAACUUGCACCACUUAGCUAACUUAGACUCACUUUUAAUUUUUUUUUUAUUAAUUAAAUGCAAUUGAAAAAAAUAACCUUCUAUGAAAAACAAUUGGAAUAUGGGUAAUUGAAUUUUAUUUUUUUUUCAAAUAAAAAUGUGAGCACUACUAGAAAAAGCUAAGAUACCGACGAAAUUUAGAGACGGAAUUAGAGACGGAAAAAAUCAAUGAGAGAAGAAAAUAAGGUGUUUAAAAUUCAUUAUCUGGUAGAACAGGUCUCGUGCGGUUGUUUCAGCGGGGUUGAUUUAGUCCUCAAUCCGAAGCUUCAUUACACUUGAAGCUUCUUAGUCGUGUUGUGUAGAAAUUAAACCUUAAUAUUUUGACUCAAAGCUCGUCAUGUGUUACUAAUAUCUAUUUCUAUUAAGUAUAUAUUUGUAUAACUGUGCUACAAUCUAUCAAUGGAUAUAAUCUAUCCACCUGUUUAUUUUAUAAAGAUUAAUUAUAUGAUUGUUUUAAUACAAAUAAAGACCUUAAAAGUUAAAAAAGUUAUACUCCAUAUUUCAAUACUCAAAUUUCAUGGUUGUCCAAGUAAGUUGUAACAUAUACUCAAAUUUCAAAAUAACAAUUCGUUAUUCAACAAAUUUGAAAAUGAUGCAAUGAUAAUGACAUAUAAUCAUCUUAACAUCAAAAAUAUAGCACAUGUAGUUGGAAAAAAAAAAAAAAAAAAAACGCAUGUCAAAAGUGUGUACAUUUAAGAUCGAUAAGUCAUUGUAGGAGUAAACCUAGCCACUUGUUGUACAUACAAUAUGAUAUAGAUUUUGAGAAAUGUUAUUUGUACAACUAUUUUGUGACAACUUUCUCUUUCAUACUCACAUUAUAUUCUUACUCUUUCUCAUCCUUUUUCUCUCUCCAUUAUUUUUGACCAAUACCAAAAGAGAAAAAGAAGGUUGUCAUGAAAGUUGUAUCAAAUGGUUAGCUCGAAAGAUUUGUAUGUUACUUUACCACAUGAUUUUUUUUUCGAACAAGUCAAAAUGGAAUAUUAUAUCAUCAAAGAUGGUUCAUCUCGCAUAAGGUAUGCAAAAGAGAAACACCCACCAAAAAAUACAGCUAGAUGUCUGGUGCCAUAAAAGAGCACUCCUGAAGAAAAACAGAAUAAAACAAGGCUACAAUAAAACACCCAUACAAUGUAAAGGGUGCCGCCAACAGUCAUGGUAACUAAAAGCAUAAGUAGACUUGUUUGCCUUUAACCAAGAAAAAGACAUCAAUUUAAUAUUUUCCCAAUAAUUAAUUAUUACACCUCUCUUUAAAUAUAAUAUAUUCUUAAGUAGUUUUUUUGUCUUUGUUAUAUGACCAUUAAUUUGUAUAAUUUUAUCCCAAUUAAUUUAUAUUUUUAAUUAAAUUAAAGAUGCAUCUAGUAUAACUUCUGAAAAAUGGUUAAAGAGUUGAACAUCACGUCCUUAAGGAGCAUGAACAAACUUCUUAAAAAUGGUUAAAGAGUAUGAAUGUCAACAUGUAUCUAUCAACCAAUUUUUUAAUCAAACUAACCUGUUCCAUAUGAACAUAACCUCAGAUAUGGACCAGCUCCAUGCAUGAGUGUGAGUUAGCUUAAAACUUAUGUUAUAUCUAUCAUUCUUUCUAAUAAUUUUAUUGAAUGAAUUCUAUUUUGCCCGUGCAAAAAAAGAAGUAAAAAUGAACCUUCUAGGAGAGCAAGGAAAAAAUUACUGGUUAAUGGUGAUUUUGACUGGUUUCUUAACUAUGAAGUUAUGACCUUGCACCAACGUUAAGGACUAAGUAUUUGAUCUAUUAAAUUAGGGUUACGAAAGCUCUAGUUUUGCUAAAUUAUGAAAAUACUAGUUUUGUUUAUAAUAGUGAUCAGAGGUAUAUAUCAAGACAUGUAUAUUGAUUUUGCUAAAUACUACUAAAUUGGUGAAAUUGGAAUUCCUAAAGUUUAAUAUCCCUAUAUUAGACGAUCAUAUAUCAAGACAUGUAUAUUGAAUUUGCUAACUUUGAAAACAGCAUACAAACCAAUAUAUUAAAAUAAGAGCAGUGUCAACAUUUUCUGGCAAAUAAGCUAACUUAUUCUUUUGUUUACAUUUCAUUUCAAAUUCAUACCCAACUUGGGACGCAUUGGUCCAAAAAGCAUACUCACUAAUUCAAAGGCAAUCCAUUUUUUUAAUAAUAGCUGCAUGUAUCAUAAUACUUUUCACAUUUGUAAACUUAAUUUUCAAAGGCAACCAAGAUGAAUAGUUGAGGUAAAUUGGACAAAGAAAAAACCAUAUACAAAUACGUCUAUUCCUCUCCACCACCACCACCACCACCACCAUCUAAGCCAUACAAAUACGCUUCUCCACCACCACCAGUUUACAAAUACAAGUCCCCACCUCCACCCGUCUACUCACCACCACCACCACCAGUUUACAAGUACAAGUCCCCACCUCCACCACCAGUUUACAAGUACAAGUCCCCACCUCCACCCGUGUACUCACCACCACCACCACCAGUUUACAAGUACAAGUCCCCACGUCCACCCGUUUACUCACCACCUCCACCAGUUUACAACUACAAGUCCCCACCUCCACCCGUCUACUCACCACCUCCCCCGGUUUACACGUACAAGUCACCACCUCCUCCCGUCUAUUCACCACCUCCACCAGUUUACAAGUAUAAGUCUCCUCCUCCUCCUGCUUACUCACCACCUCCACCACAUUAUAUCUACUCUUCACCACCUCCUCCUCCUCCUCCUUACCACCACUAAAUGGUGGUUUACGAUAGUAUCCCACCGUAUACUUCUUCCUAUGUACAACCCACACAAAAUACAUAAUAUUUAAAAUAUUUUUAUAUAAUUCAAUUACAGUGCUUAUAAUAUUAAUCCGAUAAAUAUCUAGUUGGGCAUAGCUUCAAAUAAAAAAAUUUGGUAACACACAUAAAUGAUAAAAUUUACCAGAUAAAAAUUUAGUGACAUCAUAUCCUUUCUUUUUUAAAUUUUAUCAUUGAUGUGUGUGCGUUUAAAUAAAGUGUUGUUGCUUUUGGAAAUAGGUUUAAAUGCGAAACUACAUAUACCUUUUAAAGUUUUAAUUUAAAAAAUUGGAUUGUUAAAAUAUUAUCAUUGGCAAUUUGUAACAAAAAAAAUGAGACCUGAUGCAGAAGGUGAGUCAUGAGGUCAUCCACUAUACAAUAUGAUCACAUUAUGAUCUUAUUAAUUUUGUUUGAUUUAAAAUUUCAAGCGAUUAAUAAUCCUAAUAAACAGUUUUAGCUAGAUUAUAUAAUGUUUAAGGCAAAACCAUUUUCUUAAUGAAAGAUAUUGAUAUAUUUAUGUGUACAUAUACUUUGCAGGGUUUGAGGAAUAUAAUGGAAAUAAUAAAGAGAAGACAGUGCAAAGCAGGAAAGAUGCAUCAAUUCACAAUUAUAUAGCACAAUAAAAACAACAACCUAAGCAGUUUCCACGCACUCUGAUUCAGAAAAUGUCACUCCUUUUUUCUUCAUUUUAUUUAUGAGAUUAUUAUUCUCAUUAUUGUGCUUUGAUGUUUGAAUUUAUACUGUUGUAAAGCACUGUGUGUAAUAUUAUUCAAAUAAAUAGAGAACGAUUCUGAAAUUUGUCAUAUUGUAAAGAAUUGAAUAUAUACGGUGGCAGAGCCAAUAAUUUUAUCGAGUUUGAAUAAAAAAUUUACCGCAGAUUCACAUGCGACAUAAUAUAUAAAUAGUCAUAAAUCGAAAUAAAAUAGGCUCAUCAUUUUAUCGAUAAAAAUUACAAUUUAUUUGAAAUAAGAAAGAUGAAACAUAACCUGUCAAUAAUGUGCUAAAUAAAAUUAGAAGGUAAAUGCCCUUCCCGAGACCUCUUUGCGGUGAAUGUUCGAAUAAUAUCAACAACAUCAAGUGACUUGAAUUUCUCCCACUCGGUGUAACAUAUCAUCAAGUCAUUGAACCACACAAUGUUGAUCUUGUUGGUAACAAUUUUUUCUCACGGGCUUAUAAGAUUAUUUUACCAGCUUAUUGACAGGGCUUGAUAACUGAUGGACUUUCAACUUUUGUUGAUGUUUGUAAUAACUUUGGCGCACCCGCUAUUGUUGAAGAUCCACAAAUUAGAAGUUAAAAUCUGAUUCAUUAUGCUUUGAUGUAGAAAUGAUUGUAAGUUUUUUUGGGUAUGAAGUGAUUGUAUGUCUUUUUUUUUUGUCUAAUAAGCUAUUAUAAAUAGUGAUUCAAAUUUUGUUACCAUAAAUUAAAUGAGCAAUGGAGUAUAUGUAAAUUUUGAUUUAUGCGAGUAUUGAGUAUUUCCGUGAGUAUUGGUUUGGAUGAAUGGUAUAAUAGUUCAUAGUUAGGGAGAAUUAUUCUAAUUAAGCCACUUCAAGAAUUUAUUCUAAAAAUUGAUUAUUGUAAUCAAUUUUAAAUUCCAAUAAUAUUGAUUAUAAUAUUUUAUUAUAUUUAUUAAACUAAUUUUAGUAGUAAUUUUAUGAAUUAUUCCUUUUUAGAAUUUAUAGUAGAAUAGAAAAUAUAAAAUAAAAUAAAACAAUGAUAAGAUUUAGUGACAGCCGCAACCGCAGGUAUAGGUCCGUAAUGUUUUUAAAAUGGUCUACUUGGAAUUACAUACGUUUUGUCCGUAGGUAAAGGUGGAAAAUAUGCAGCGACAUCCAUUUGACAAUGACAGACGGAUUUAGCUACGGAAAUUUAUCCUAGAGUGACGGAUUUUUGUUGUCACUACAAGUUAAAUUUCUUGUAGCGAUACAAAGAAAGUAUCGGUUAAGCCCGGGCAUGUACCCAGACUAGAUGGGUUGUAAAACCGCUCCUGAAAAUAUACAGAAUACAUGCAUGAUUCAAAAACUAUCUAAUUUUUCUGGAAAAAAGGCUAAACUGCAGUUUUGACCUCCUAACUUUGUAAAUGUUGGGAUUUUGGCCCCCUUUUAAAAAAAUGAAAAUUUUCCUCCCCUAUGUUUUAGCCCCUUUGCAAAAGUGACCAUUUGGUCAAUUUUGACCGGGUCAACACGGAGGUGGCACUUCAUUAAUGGUGCGGGCACGCUACAUGUGUAUUUCGCAAAUUUUUUAAAUCAAAAUGCCACUUGUGUAUUUACUUGAAUUAAGAAAAAAAAAACUAUAUAAAGGUCUUGCACGUGUGAAGUCUUUCAGAUUCUAGGGUUAAAAAAUUUCCCAAAUAUUAACAUCAAUGAAAAACCACAAACCCCUAAGUUUCCAAAUCAAAUCUUCAUCCAUAAUCUCCUUCCCAAAUUGUUUCUGAAUUCGAAUAUCCUUCAUAAAUCGAUUGUCAGGUUUUUCUUCAUCUUUGUUUGUUGCGAAAAUGAAAUGGGUUGAAGAUGGAAAGGCGGCGACGAGUACAGGUUCGAAGAAGAAGAAGAAUAAAGAUGCGACAGGGAGUACAGGAACAAAGAAGAAGAAGAAGGAUGCGACAACGACUAAAGGUUCAGAGAAGACGAGAGAUUUGAAUAUGGAAGUUCAAUCAACUCAAGGAAACAUGUUCAAUGGAAAGAUUCCCGACAUGGAUGCUUCAUAGUAAGCGUUUUUUUGUUUUCAUAUGUCUAUUAACUAUAAAGUAAAGCUCAUGUUACAUUAUUUCUGAAUAAAAAAGGGUUGUUGGACCCAGAAACAGUUGAAGAUGAAUGGUUACAUGCCAUUUUUCGUUUUCCGAUCUGCAAACACACAAAACAAAUCGACCUGGAAGAAAGGAUGUAGAGGAAGAAUCGAUUUCAGAUAGGUAAUGUGAAGGAUGGUUGAAGAAGAUGAAGUUUCGAUUAUGGAGAAGAAUGGAUGAAGAAGAGCGAAUGAAGAAGAAAGGUUGAAGAAUUGGGGGUUUUUAAGGUUGGAGAUUUUUACCGUUGGAACUCUCACGUGCCAAUCCUUUAUCUAUUAUUUUUUUUAAUUCAAGUAAUACAUAGGUGGCAUUUUUAUUUUAAAAAAAAUGGCAAAAUACACAUGUGGCGUGCCAACACCAUUAAUGAAGUGCCACCUCCGUGUUGAUCUGGUCAAAAUUGACCAAAAUGUCACUUUUUCAAAGGGGCUAAAACACGGGGGGAGGGGGGGCAAAAUUUUGAUUUUUUUUUUAAUAGGGGGACAAAAUCGCAACAUUGACAAUGUUAGGGGGGACAAAAUCUGCUCCUUUCCGUCCCUUUGGUUUCGAUAAGAGUGGUUAAGUACCAUAUUGAGUGGUUUUAAUCGAGCGAUUAAGCCAUAUCUUUUAGGUGUAUAUACUCGAACAAUUACAUAUUGUGCAAUACGUGAUUGAAUAGUGAUAUGAGCUGUUUUAUUCUGGAGGCGACGCGGUUGUUAGUCUACAUUGCACAAACUUGGGUAGUGCCGCGAAACGUCUUAAAGAGAGCGACCUGGUCGUGACUCAACCUGAUAAUUUAUUCGGUACUAGUUUCUGAUUUGUAAUCUCAACAAAUAUCUCAUGAGCUAUAUUCUUCGGUAGUAGGCUUCAGUUUAUGUCCAACAAUAUAAAUAGGGGGAUUCGAAGAAUCCUAACCGUUGCUUACUUUUCUGUAACCAAAACAGGUAACUUGCUAUGUUGCAAACAGAUAAACAUUGCAAUCUCUAACCUUUAAACUCUUUUAUUUUAUAUCGUCACCUUAAAAUAAGUAACGUGAAUUGUUAGGACGAAAUGACAAUCCAUGUGGAUACGAUACUGUACUUAUCACUUUAUUACUUGGUAAACGAUUUGGUACACUUGCAUAAUCCGCACAUCAAUAAUCUUUGUUUGUUAGAAGUUUCUUGCUUGUAUGCUUGAGCAUUGAAAGUCUCUUGCUUGUGUGGCUGAGCAAUUGUAAUCUUGUAUGAUUAUAGUAAAAAAUCUCUUGUAAGUGACAAGGGUAUUAAACUACUUCGGGAUUGAUACCUUGAAACGCUUACCAGAAGGCCAUCGACAUAUAAAUAGACUUUACACAUCUUGUGCUCCAAUGUGUACCUUUAAUAUAAGUCAUUUUGCCUAUUAAAAAAGCAAAGAUGAAUUGAUUUAAAAGUUAACAAACCCAAGUCACACCUCAUCAAGGAACAAAAAGUCAGCAUUUACUUAGCAUUCAUAUAUCAAGACUUUUGGGUUAGGUUAGGCAAUUGUACCACAUCAGGAACAUUUAGAAGAGGCCAAAAAAUAAGGUUAAUUAAAUAAUGCAAAGGCUCUAAUUCGAACUACUUUGACUCUUUGUGUGGAUUUUAGGUAUGUUUGGUGGGUAACCUAUAUCAUUCAAUCAUUCCCAUCAUAUCAUAUAAUUAAAUAAAUCCCACUUAAUAAAAUUGAGAAUCAUGUUCAUGAUCAAGUUGGUGUAUGCUUAGAACAGUCUCAUGGUAUAAUUAAUUUGUCCCUACUGAACAAAAUCAUAAUUUAGAAACAUUCAUAAAUUAUAAAUAAUAAUACAAUCUUAGUCAUUUAUUAAUCAUAUCCUCAAUUUUGACCUGCAAUAGGAGCUAGCACACAGCUAGCGCAGAAAUAUAUUUUUUCCAAAUUCAUGUCUGUUACUUAUAGUUGUCAAAAAAAAAAAAAAUGUCUAUUACUUAUAGAGACAGAUCAAUUAUUUAUUUUUUACAAGGACAAAAUUCAUACUUAAAAUUAUAAGACUAAAAGUAUAUAAAAUACUUUAAUUAGAGUCUAUCAUUGACUAAGGUAAAGGUUAGAGUUUUUACAGGUAGAACAUUCCAUCAACUGUGGUUUACCCUCGACUUCUUUUUUAUUUAUUUAUUGAUUAUAACUUUUUAAUAUAAAAACAACCAUAUUUUUUAAAUACAAAUAACUAUAAUCAGUUUUCUUAUUUAUUUGCAGCUUAAUUCAGUUGGUUUGAAUAAUGCAUAAUAUAUGCAAGGUCCGUGGUUCAAAUCCCGGCCACCACAAAAAAAAAUGUAUUGUAAAAAAAAUGUAUAAUAUAUAUAUAUAGACACACACUAUAUCUUUUUCAACUUUUUUGGGCUGACUUUUUCUAUUUCUAAAAAUGUCUUCAAUUUUCAAUACAAAAACACAUGUAACAAAUAGAUAAGAACAAACGUAAAUAUUAAAAAAAUGUAACAAACUCGAUAUGAAUAUAUAUAUAUGUGUGUGUGUGUGUGUCUGGUUUUUUCCUUUAUCAUUUAAAAAGUGUAACAAAUAGAUGAGUAUAUUUAUACUUACUUUUUCAUUAUCUCAAUUAUAUCUUUAAACAAUUUUUUUUUCUAUAAUAAAGAUUGUUGUUUUUAUCAUUAAAAAAAAAUUAGAUUAUAUUUUUUUUGUUAUAUUGUUGGUGUCAUUGAAAUAGAUAAUCAUUGUUAGUUUGAUUUGUUAUAACUUAAAGCAACAAACAUUUAUGUUUUGUUAGAAUAAAAAUCAAAAUUUAUUAAAAAAAACAUGCGUUCAUAAAUUGCAAUAAAAAGAAGGGAAAUAGAUGAGUUUGAACAGACUUUUUCAUUACUUGUUUUAACCUUCAUUUAAAAUAUUUUAUUUACAAUUUUAUCAUUUAAUAAUAUUAUUUUAAAUUUUAAUCAAAAAAUUGAAUCCUAUUAAAAUAGGAAAUAUGCCACUACAAUAGAAACAAUAUUAUCAAUAUUAUAUAAGAAGAGGAUAGAUAUUUUGAGCUGAAUUUUUAUAAUUCCAAUUAUAUUCUUAAACAAAUUUUCUUAUAUUAAUGUUAUAUUGUUGGUGGUAUUAAAAAAUAGUAUUUAUGUUAUAUUUGUUAAAUUAUUAUUAUUAUUGAAAAAGAUAACAUGUUUUUCUGAGUUUAUACUUAUAAUUUUGUUACAUACUCUCGUUUCUUGUUUUUUUUUAUUAAAUAUAUAUAAACAACGGAAGUGACCCUUCCCGUAUAAGAUGUGUUAAGGAAGGUCAACUAGAGUUUGUACAAAGACAGCAAAGCCAAAAACAUAGGAGAACUGCCGCAAAACACGAAAGAUAUAAUAAAUAAGGGUUGUUUUUUCUUUCUUUAAAAAAAAAACAAAAAGAAAUAAGGGUAGUGUUAACUUGUGCUUUUAAGACACAAGUUAAGAAUUUAAAAAUGGAAUUAAAUCAUAAAUUAUGUCUUGAAAAGAUAAGAUUUUGAAUUUCUAGAAUAUUGAAUGCACAAUUUUCAACAAAAUAUUUCUAUUUUUAGUUUCUUAACUUGUGCCUUGAGUACAAAAAUUAACAUUUCCUUGCAAAUAAAUGCCCAAACAAAAUAAAUGUAAGUAUACUCUCGUUUCUAGUUUGUUUAAUAUCUAUUUCUAUCAAGUAUAUAUUUGUAUACUUUAUGCUACAAUCCAUCAAUGGAUAUCAUAUAUACAUUCACCUGUUUAUUUUAUAAAGAUUAUGGAACAAUUAUAAACACAAGGAAAAAGUAGAAAACAGCGAGAGAAAGAAAGAGAGAACACAAAAUAAUUUGUUUACCCAGUUCGGUUCAAAUUGACCUAGUCCGAGGCAGAGAGCAGCCCUCCGUUCCACUAUAAUGAUGAGUAACUUUACAAAAGAGAUAUCAAUGAGUUACAAGAAUAAGUCUCCAAACCUAAUUGUACCCAAAGUCUCAAUCUCUUCCCGUGAACAAGAGACUCAAUCCUAAUAGUGUUUCCCAAGGUGAAUCAACAACAACCCUAGUUUCUCCCGCUUAGAGAAAUCUCUCUAAAACCUUGGUUUGUUGUCUGUUUCUAAACCCUUGUUUUCAGCCCCUUCUAUCUCAAGGUUUACAUGUGAUACAAGGUUUAUAUUUAUAGUAAAAGUAAUCGCUAAAAAAUUGGAACAAAUCUCACGCUGAAAAGUACAUUUUAUUUUUAUGCAUCAGUGUAAAAUCGUACUACGAUUUUCCAAAUCGUAUUUCGAUUUUUCCAAAAUGGAAGUGCCAAAUCUGAUCCAAAAAUCGUACUACGAUUUUCCAAAUCAUGCUACAAAUUUGACAGCUUCCAGAUUUUAAUUUUGAGUCACUUUUACAACAAAGACCUUAAAGUUUGUGGUAUUAUAUACUUAAUAUAAUACUCCCAUGGCAACCUGAUUAGCUCCCUUGUUAUUAGAAAGUUACACGCAAUUUCAGGGUUUGGUUGUAUUAUAUCCUGUCCAGCUAAGUUGUAACAUACUCAAAUUUCCAAAUAAAAAUUCGUUAUUCAACAAAUUUGAAAAUGAUGCAGUGAUAAUGACAUAUAAUCAUCUAACACAUGUAAUCAUAUAACCAGUUUGGCUAGGUGAUACUUAUGGUAGUUGGACAAAAAAAAUAUCACAUGUCAAAUGUGUGUACAUUUAAGAUUGAUAAGUCAUUGAAUGAGAAACUUAGCCACUUGUUGUACAUACAAAUAUUUGUACAACUUUUAGAUAAUUUUCUAUUUUAUAUUCACAUUAUAUUUUUACUCUUUUUUUUUCUUUUUUUUCUUUAUUGUUUUUUAUCAAUAAAAAUAGAGAAAAUGAAAAUUAUCAAAAAUAUUGUAUCAAAUGGUUGUUCAAAUAUUAUUGCUCAAAAUAUACAAUAUGAUAUAAUUUUCCAGGAUCGAAAGAUCUAAAUAUGUUCCUUUCCCACAUAAUUAAUUAUUACACCUGUCUUUAAAUAUAAUAUCUUUUUUUUUUUUAAUUUUUAGUAGUUCUCAUGUCUUUGUUAUACGACCGUUAAUUUGUAUAAUUUUAUUUCCAUUAAUUUAUAUUUUUUUUAAUUAAAUCAAAGGUGCAUCUAAUAUACUUUUUUUUUAAGAGGCUAAAAUGAAAUACAUUACCAAAACAAGAUAUUUUUCCUAGCACAAGAUGUACAAAGGAAGAACAAUAGAGUCAAUAGAAUAUGUACAAUCAAGCAGAAAGAAAGCACCAGAGACCUAUAAGCAUGAAACAGAACUAAGUAGUGCCCAAAAUAACUAAUGGACUAAGCAACAAACCAUGAAAAUUAAACGAAAGAGAGACAAGUUUCGCCUUCAACCACGUAAAGGAAAGAACCUUAAUCUAAUAUAACUUCUUAAAAAUAGUUAAAGAGUUGAACAUUACCACCUUAAAGAGUAUGAACAAACUUUUUAAAUAUGGUUAAACAGGAUGAAUGUCACGUAUUUACAGUACAUAUAUCUUUGGUUUUUAUAUGUGUUUAGUCUCUGUAUAUGGGGUCAUUUAAAAAAUUAAUCAUUUAAAAUGGUCUCUACAUUCCUUCAUUAUGACAUUUUGCCCUCCCAAAAAUUAAUCAUUAAAAAUUUGGUCCCCCCUACUCAAUCACUGUCACGUCACUGGAUUAGCUGACGUGGUACAUUGACUCAGCAAAGUUUGAUGUGAAGUGACAAAAAUAGCCCUAACACUCUGUUUGGUAUGAGAGAAUUACAGCAGAGAGAGAUAUUGAAGAGAGAAAGAGAAGAGAAAUAUGGUAUUUCUCUUGUUUGGCAAAGGCAAGAAAGAGGGAGGAGAGAUAAGUUUUGCGUGGGAUCCACGUGUUUUUUGUUCGCCCCUAUAAACGAAGAAAGAAGAAAGAGGAGAGAAAUAUACAUUUACUCCCUUUGCCUUUUAUACCCUUCAAUUUAAGACACAACACACCUUUUUUUUUUCUCAUUACUUUGUUUUUAUUCUUAAUAGGCUUAUCUAAAAAUUAUUUCAAGGACAUUUGUACUUUAAAAAAAAAAAAAUUGAAGAAGCUAAACUAACCCCCUCAAAUUGGCACUAGAGAGAAUCGAACUUGAAACCUUGAGGAGGAGCACACUCCCAGGUCCCAAGCCAAUACCACUAGGCCAACCCAAGUGGGUUUGUACUUUUAAAAAUUAAUCACACUUCUCUCUCUUCUAUUUCUCUUAAUUUUAACCAAACAAUACCUUAAAUCUAUUCUAUUUUUCAUUUUUUUCUCUCUUCUCAUACUCUCUCUCACCUAUUUCUCUCUUCUCAAUUUCUUCUUUCAACCAAACACACCCUAAGUAAUUUCGCUGCCCUCUUAUGGAAGGAGGGGCAUUUACUUUACAAGUAAAUAAAGUAUCUUUUUUAAUUUAAAAUUUCCUCUUUAUGGUUUUCUUAACUAAUGUCCUGGGUAGGGCUAGACAAGGACCCGCGACCCGGCCCAACCCGAAAAAACCGAAGAAAAAAAACCGAGCUGAGUGGGUUAAAGCAGGUCCGCGGGUCAAACGUGUCAUAAAUGCGGGUUCACAAGGGUAUACAUGGGCAGAGGCGGGUAACGGACCUUCACCUGCGGGUACCCGAACCCGCCAGUAUUGGAUAAGUAAAAACGACGUCGUUUUGAAGAGUGGGGAGACCACUAACCCUAGAUCUAACCCAUUCAUUUCAUUUCUUCUAAAAAAUUCUCUCAUUCACCUCACACUCUUUCACCUUCCUCUUCAAACCCUAGUGCCGCCGCCGCAUCUAACCACCACCACCACACCAUCAAAUCCUCCUACCAACAUGAAUCACCACUUUCCAACUUGAUUCCCUUUGUUUUACGCCGUUCUCUGUCAAUCCACGCAGAAAAAUGGAGGCAGAUCCUGAAACUCUCUCUCACUCUCAGUAGCUAACACCACUGUAGAACCGUAAAUCGCCGUCGUUUUUGUUUCAUGAAUCACGUCUCUGCUCUGCAUAUGCUUCAGAUCUAAAGGUUAGAUAUUUUGUUUUUAAUCUUUGUAAUUUUUUAUUUUUAUUUAGGGUUUAUGAGUGUCUCACCACAUGCUUUUGUUUUUGUUUGAUGAUUCACAUCCAUGCUCCGCGUAUGCUUCAAAUCUGAAGGUUGGUUUUUGUUACAUUUUUCAUAUUUUGUGCUUUGAUUUUUUCAAUUCUUGCUUCUAACAUUUUUUUUUUGUUUCAAUCUCAUCUCUGCUGCUUAUGCAUUUGCUGAAGAUUUUUUUUUUGUUUCAAUCUCAUUUUCUCAGACCGGCUUAGGAAACUUCCAUAUCACUGAAUAUUUUUCCAGAUCCGAGAGGUAAUCUUCCUUCUUGACAUCUAGAUCUGAGAGGUAAUGAUUUAUCUUAAUAUAUUUAGUUUUGUAUUUGUUGAGUUUAUCUAUGUCUUUGAUGUAUAUUUUGUUGAGUUUAUGCAUGAUUAUUAAUGUCUAUAGCUUCUGACUUGAUUAUGUUUAUGCAUACUUUGUUGAUUCUUAUACUUCUUCCUUGGAGUUCAUUUUUUCUUUGUUUCUUUCUUAUCCUAAUGGUUUGUUGUUUAUCUAUUUAUUUUGUUUGUAGUAUUCUAAUGGUCCAUUAAUUAUCUUGUUUGUAUAGACACAUGAAAACUGAUACUGCUAGUGUGAAUCCUUUGGCUCAAAUUCCAAUUCUAGUGCAAGGCCAAGGACCUGAACAUGCUAAGGUAGUGCUAAAACUAAAGAAAAGAAAACCUGCUAGACCUCCUUCAAUGGUUUGGAGACAUUUUAUGAAGAAAAAAGACACUGCCUUUUGUAACUAUUGCUUCACUUCUUUUGUUUCAAAUGCUUCCAACCAUCGAACUAACAACAUGCUUAAACACAUGAUGAUUUGUCCAAAAACAUGAAGGUAGUUUUUUUAUUACUCUGAGUUAUGUUGAUUUAGUAAUUUUAUUGUAACUUUGUAUUUGAUUUAGUCUAUUUUAACUCUAUUUUGGUAGAUGUCUUUGAUGUUAGUUUGCUAGUGUUAUAUUUUGUGGCUUUGAUUUAUUAGUACUAAUGUAUAUUUUUUAUAUUGUUUUUCACAGGUUAACAAUAUUCUUACUUGCUAUGAUGGUAUCUCUUGAUCUAUUGUGAAUCAAGAUAUACCAAGGAGGUGUUAUUUUUUGUUAUUCAGAUCCAGUUUUAGUAUUAUUAUAUUCAAGACCACUAUAUUUAGUUUUUUAUUUAUUAAGGAUAUGUAAAUUGUUAAACUUAUUUUUAUUGGUUGUGUAAGUUAAAUUAAGGCUCGAUAUCAAAUGGGAAAAUGAGACAUCAUCAUCCCCCUUUAACAAGCUUCUUAAAGGAAAAAAUUUAACAAAAUUAUGACAAUAUGAUCUAAGUUAAAUAAACAUACAAAAUGGUUUAAUACAAGAGAAAAUGAAACACUACAAAAUUUGUUGGGGCAGAAAUUCUAAAUGGCACAUUAAAAAUGAACAUAAAAAAUGGUCCAUUACAGUGAAAUUAAAAAUAAAUCGCAACAAAAUUAAUUGGGCCAGAAAUGGUUGAAUGACCCAUUAAUUGGUCCAACCCGUUUGAACCCAACCGUUUAACCCGUAACCCGAUUCACCCGAACCCAACCAAUCCGACUCCAUUAUUUGGGUAGAAAUGGGUGUGUAUUCUACACCCGCAGGUUGGGCUGGAGUAGAGGUUUGGACCCGAACCCGCCCGAUGUCCACCCCUAGUCCCGGGGCACUGGUUAACAUAAACCUAAAACAAAAAUAGAAAAUAAUGACCUAAGUUUUCUAAUAAUUGAUAUUUUAUUAGCUUAAAACUUUUGUUAUAUCGAUCAUUCCUUUCCACUCUUUGUUCUUGGUUGUGUUUUAAUGAAAAAAAAGAAGUAAAAAUGAACCUUCUAUGAGAGCAAGGAAAAAAUUACUGGUUAAGCCUUAUGACCUUGCACCAACUCUAAGGACAUUAAUUAUGUUAUAUAGCAAGAUAUCCUCUCAUAAAUUGGUGAAAUUGGAAUUCCUAAAGUUUAGUUUCCCUAUAUUAGACGAUCAUAUAUCAAGACAUGGAUAUUAUUUUGCUAACUUUGAAAACAGCAUACAAACCAAAAUAGUACGUAUUAAAAUAAGAGCACCGUCAACAUUUUCUAGCUAAUAAGCUAACUUACUUUAUUCUUUUGUUUACAUUUCAUUUCAAAUUCAUGCCCAACUUGGGACGCAUUGGUCCAAAAAGCAUACUCAUUUAUUCAAUGGGAAAAACUUUUUUUAAUGGGUCUUGCUGACCAUUGCUCGAUGGCAAUGGUUAAGGAAGGCAAAAGUAGCAUGUUUGUAUUGAUUUCAACAACAUUUUGACUUUUAAAAAAUUAAAUUUAUCACUUUUCACCAUUUACCAAUGCUAUAUUUCUAUUUUUAUCCACUUAUCCAAUGCGCCAAACGCAAUGAUUAGCGUUCUCAUUUUUUAAUAAUAGCUGCAAUGUUACAUAAUCGUUUUCACAUCUGUAUACUUAGUUUGUCUUAAAAAGACAGUCACAUUGAAUAUUUAAUUAAAAUUUUAUUUUUAUUCAAUUAUACACUAUAAUUGAUAUUAAGCGCCAUUAAAAAAAUUAUUAAGUGGAUAACAAAUUAUUAUUCACUAUAAUUUUACUAUAAUUAUUAUUCUUCACUUUGAAUUACCAAGGUAAUUUAAUAAAAUUAAUAUUCUAUGUGACGUAUUUGUAAUUACUUCCUAAUUCACGUGAAAUGAUUUACUUUGCUAGUUAUUAGAAUUUUAAUUUAUUAUAAUAUUUUUCUUUUUGCUGUUGGAUAAUAGGUGAAUUAUAAAAUGUGUCAAAUCAUAGUACACCAACCAAGAUGAAUUGUUGAGGUAAAAUGGAUAAAGAAAAAACUAUAUAAAGGGUACUACUAUCUUUCAUAAGAGCAACAACAAAACACACUUUAGGAAAAUAUGAGGUUCCAAAUGGCCUCCAUUACUCUUACUAUUGCAUUCACGAUAAUCUCUCUUAGCCUGCCAUCCCAAAUUUCAGCAAACAAUUACGUCUAUUCAUCUCCACCACCACCAUCUAAGCCAUACAAAUACGCUUCCCCACCACCACCAGUUUACAAGUAUAAAUCACCACCCCCACCUGUCUACUCACCACCUCCACCUGUCUACUCACCACCACCACCAGUUUACAAGUACAAGUCACCCCCUCCACCUGUCUACUCACCACCUCCACCAGUUUACAAGUACAAGUCCCCACCUCCACCCGUCUACUCACCACCUCCCCCGGUUUAUAAGUACAAGUCACCACCUCCUCCCGUCUAUUCACCACCUCCACCAGUUUACAAGUAUAAGUCUCCUCCUCCUCCUGCAUACUCACCACCUCCACCACAUUAUAUCUACUCUUCACCACCUCCUCCUUACCACCACUAAAUGGUGGUUUACGAUAGUAUCCCACGGUAUACUUCUUAUUACAUACAACCCACACAAAAUACUUUUAUAUAAUUCAAUUACAGUGGUUAUAAUAUUAAUCUGAUAAAUAUCUAGUUAGACAUAGCUUCAAAUAAAAAAAUAUUUGGUAACACAUAUAAAUGAUAAAAUUUAGCAGAUAAAAAUUUAAUGAUAUCAUUUAAUAUCUUUUCUUCUUAAAAUUUUAUCAUUUAUGUGUGCACGCCCAAAUAAAGUGUCGUGGCUUUUGAAAAGUUUCUUAUAAACCUUGUGGAAAUAGGUUUAAAUGUGAAAUUACAUAUACUUUUUAAAGUUUUAAUUUAAAAAAUUCGAUUGUUCAAUCUUUUAAAAUAUUAUUAUUGGCAAUUUGAAACAAUAAAGUUGAGACCUGAUGCAGAAGGUGAGUGCAUGAGGUCAACCACUAUAGAUUAUGAUCAUAUUAUAGAACUUAGCUAGAAAAGAAAAAAUAUAGUUAUAUGCUUCUUAUUAAUUUUGUUUGAUUUAAAAUUUCAAGCGAUUAAUAAUCCUAAUAAACAGUUUUAGCUAGAUUGAAUAAUGUUUAAGGCAAAACCAUUUUCUUAAUGAAAGAUAUUGAUAUAUUUAUGUGUGCAUAUACUUUGCAGGGUUUGAGGAAUAUAAUUGAAAUAAAGAGAAGACAGUGCAAAGCAGGAAAGAUGUCACUCUGAUUCAGAAAAUGUCACUCUAUUAUUUUUCAUUUGUUUGUUUUAUGAGAUUAUAUUCUCAUUAUUGUGCUUGAUGUUUGAAUUUAUACUGUUGUAAAGCACUCUGUGUAAUAUUAUUCAAAUAAAUAGAGAACGAUUCUGAAAUUUGUCAUAUUGUAAAGAAUUGGAUAUACCUAAUAUUUGAAUGCAUUUUCGAUCCCUUAACUUUUAAAAAAUUGUGAUUUAUAGAAAUAUAGUCUUUUAACCCUUUAUUUUUAGUAAAAUAUGUUCUUUUGUCCCUCUAUCUUUAGGGAAAUAUGCUAUUUUGAUUUCUUAUUUUUACAAAAAGUAGUAAUUUUGCUUGCUGUUUUAGAACACGUGGUAUCUUCUCAACAGUUUUGCUGCAUUUUGUAAAUUAAAGGUAAAAUAAUUUUUUUUUUUAUUAGAGGAUCAAAAUCGCAACUUUUUAAAAGUUAAAUCAUCAAAAAUACAUUUAAGCCUAUACAUAAUACAUUAUAUGCAAACUUCAAAAACUAUCUAAUUUGAUGGCGGUAUAUGUCAAUCACUUUAUAUCCUAAUCAUCCUCUAUUUCAUGUUGGAUCUGUCUAACUUUUUGAUGAUAUGGAUAGUGGGUCCAAUCAAGGUGAUUCAAUAUCCAACGGAAACGUCUAAACACGUUUUGACUUCCAACAUAAGGCAUUGCCCCUAACUUCGGUUAACAAUAUUGGGUUUCAGUAAUAACAAAGAGACGGCUAGAGUUGUUUAAUAAUAUUUUAAUAGCAUUACGUUACAAAAGGUUAUUGGAGAAUGUAUAUAUAAAAUCUAAUAAACAACUAAAUUAGUAAUAUAAAUAUCCAAUAGUUUAAACUCAAUCCUUUAUUAUCUAAUUUCUUUUCUCAAAUUCACGACUCAUCAACAAGAAGAAUUAUGAGUUUGUCAAAUCAAAUAGGAGGACGAACGAAGCGGAAGCUGGUGGGCAUGUAACGUCUGAGGCUAACGAGGAUUGAGAGUGGUCGCUGGUGCACAAGUUAAGAGGAUGAGCUGCUCCUGACAUCUUCUAGUCAAACCGAAUCACAUUGGAAUGAGAGGAAUCCUGAGACCGUGCAGAUAUGAACUGCAUGAUUGAAGAAAGACUUAUAAAUUUUUUUGGCACUAUCUAUAUCAACAAGAUGCAUCUUCUUUUUUAUAAUUCAUUCCAUAAGAACUCCACAGUUAAGCAUGUUUGACAUGGAGCAAUUUUAGGAUGGAUGACCUUUUAGAAAGUUUUCCAGAAAACGUGUGAGUUUGGACAAAACACACUGAAAAGACUCAUGUUGGUUUUGGGGUCAGUCGGUCAGCAAUACUUAAAAUCGCCUCAAUAUUAUAAGAAACAUAAUAAAUAAUAUAAAGUUCUAACACUGCCCCUCAAAUGAAAGAUGGAAUGAUAUUGAAGUGAAAACUCGCGCUAUAUUGAGUGAAAUUUUAUAAACUUUCAGUCUUUAUUUCUGUCAAUGUUAGUUUUUUUGGUCAUCUAACUCAAAUUUGAAAAUUUUCCUGUUAUCUUGAACAGUUUCUAGUUCACUUUGUUAAGUUACUACAACUAAUAAAAAUACACUGAAUUUUCAAUCUAGAGACAUAAUUCAGUUUAUUUUGAUGAGUAGCAAAUUUUUAUUCUUUUUGAAAUCAUAAAAUCCUGAUCCUUCACUUUUACUCAAAUUAUAUAUGUCCGUUGUCUUAAGAUAGAUGGACAUUUAUAUGAAAGUCUUGGUUUGAUUCAAGUUGAGUAAAAUAUGGUCAAAUUUGGGGAUUAAAAAUACAUAGUAUUUAUAUUUUGCUUAUGUCAUAUAAGCUGCUAUGAUCUAUUUCCUCUCACUUUUAUAGGUCUUGGUGUUGAAUAAGAAACUAAGAUUUUAAAUUGUAGUUGAUUCGCGGAAUGAGCAAAGUGAUCCUAGUGAGCUAGUUUCAAAGGGUUGUGAACUACAAAGUUUGAUGGGCGAACCAGAGGUGAGGUCAAAGAAAGGAAUUGAAGAGGGUUUCAUGGAAGAAGCAAGUGAACAUUCGAUAGGCAAACAACAUUUCUCCUAGCCAAGUAAGGCGGUGUUAGUGACCCUUUGUGUUGUGAAUUCGAUGAAAAAUCACACCAAUAACAACUUGAUGUGUGGAGCAAGGGAUAAUUAAGCAACCAAAAUCAAAGCGUAUGAAAGUUAUAAAUACAAGCCAAAAGUAGAAAACAACGGCGAGAAGAACACAAAGAAGAAGAAGAACACAAAGAAACUUGUUGACCCAGUUCGGUCCAAUCUGACCUAGUCUGGGGGAGAGAGCAGCCCUCCAAUCCACUAUAUGAUGAGUUUCGUUACAAAGAGAAAUCAAUGGGUUACAAGAAUAAGUCUCCCGAUUAAUUCUACUCAAAGUCCCAAUCUCUUCCCGUAACCAAGAGACUCCAAUCCUAAUAGUGUUUCCCAAGGUGAAUCAACCCACAAACCCUAGUGUUUGCUCCUAAGAGACAAACUCUAUACAAACCCUAGUUUUGUUGUUGCUUUUCUAAACCCUUGUUUCAGCCCCCUCUAUCUCAAAGUUUGCUUUGAUACAAGGUCUAUAUUUAUAGUAAAAGUAUAACUCAUAAAUUUGGAACAAAUACCACACUGAAGAUUCGUUUUUUUUUUCUCCUUCAGUGAAAGAAUAUUUGCAUCAAAAAUAUAAUAUUCCCUUUCAAAAUAUAUUUGCAUCAAAUCGUUCUUCAUACGAUACAAAAAUAUAUUUAUUGUCCAUAAAUAUAUUUUCAGCACAAUAUAUAUUUGAAACAAAUCUUUUAUAUUUUUAGCAACAAUAUUCUCCAUCCAUCAAUUUUUGAGUCAUACUACAACACUUUGGAUGAGCUCGCUUUUCCCUCCACCUGAAGAAACUUAAGAUCGCUAGACGAGCAAAUUUUUCUAGGAAAAUAUGCACUUUUUUUACUUAUAUAUAAAUAGAUGUAAUACACAAUUCAGAGAUAUCUUACGCAUCUUAAACUUGUUGUUAGAGAGAACGGAGAGGAGAACAUAGAUUCAUCAUUGCAGAAUUUAUCAAUUCUUUUAUUUCAGGCUCUAGGUGCUUGUUUCAAACCAUAUAAGGCUUUGCUCAAUCUGAACACUCUAUCUUUCGUCCCUUUGAUUGUGAAACUAGGUGGUUGAGUGACAUACACAGUCUCUUCUAAUGUACCAUUCAGAAAUGCAAACUUUACUAGUUGCUAAUACUAUAACCAAUCUGAUAGUUUCAUGUCUUGCAUCUGGUGAGAAAACUUUAGUGUAAUCAAAACCUUCCUUCUAAAUAAACCUCUAGCCAAAAGCCUUGCUUCGUGAUUCACAAUCUUCCCUUCUUGAUUAAAUUUUAACUUGAAAACCAAUUUUAUAUCUAUUGCCUUUUUUCCAUCUCGAAGCUUUAUCAGUUCACAAGUCUGACUCUUCUCAAUAGAUUUUAGUUCACCUAUCAUAGCUUCCUUUAAUGCCUUAUCACAUAGUGCAGCUAUGUAAUCUAAUGGCUCGAUGUCUGCUAGCAUUGCAAAAUGCACCAAUUAACCAUCACUAGUUCAUCAUCACCAGUUACCUGACAGUCUUCUGAACUUCUUGGAAUUUGUCUGUUUCUUUGUGGUCUGGCUAUAGUGGUUGACUCUUCAUCUAUGAUUUCUUCAUCAUUAGCAACUUCAUUUAUGGUGAGCUCAUCAGAUUCUCUAUUAUCUUCAAUGAUAACCUCCUUCUCAGAGACACUGCACUUAUUUGCAGUACAAUCCCAAUAUUCAUCUAUUUAAGAUGAAUAUUGGGAUUACACUAAAGUUUUCAGGGAUAUGCUUAUAGCAUAUUGAGCCAAAUACCUUCAAAUGACUGACAUAUGGUUUUCUACCUGACCAAACCUCUUCAGGCACUUGAUUCUUCAAUUUCUUAGUGGGACAUCUAUUUAAGAUGUAAGCUGCAAUAUUCCCUACUUUACCCCAAAAUUCAUGAGGUAGCUUCUUCUCUAUCAGCAUAAUCCUAGCCAUAUCAAGUAAACUCUUAUUCCUCCUUUCAGCAAUACCAUUGCGUUGAGGAGUGUAAGGAGUUGUCACUUCAUGAACUAUACCCUGACUUGUGCAGUAAGAUUCAAAAUAUCUAGAAGUAUAUUCACCACCUCCAUCUGUUCUGAGAAUAUUCACCACCUUCAAAUCUUACAAAGAAUAUGAGAUGGUAGAAUUAUGAGAAUUUUCUCCAUGAUUGCUUUAUCAGAAAGAGUCUCACAACAUAGCUUCAUCUGAUUUGUGAUUGUUUGAAUUGAUUAGAAAUAUUCCUCUAUGUUCUUUUCUUUCUUCAUCUUCAGCAAUUCAUAUUGUCUUCUCAAUGAUUGCAAUCUUAUCUUCUUCACCUUAUCAUCCCCACUGAAGUAUUUCACAAGUGUAUCCCAAGCUUCCUUAAAGCUUUUUGCAUAUGCAAUCUUUUCAAAUACCUUGUUAUCCACGCAUUGAUGAAUAUAAAAGAGAGUCUUGAAAUCUUUCUUGUUCUUGGCUUCUUUAUGCGCAUUCCUUUGAAUUUAUGUGGGAUUUGCAGGAAGUGCUUCAACUUCAUUGUUGACAAUCUCAAGAACAUCUUGAAACCCAAAGAUCACCUUCAUCUGUUUCACCCAUCUUUGCCAAUUCUUCCCAUCAAGAACUGGUAAAUGUGCAGAGAUGUUUCCAUUGGAAUUCAUGGUUAACUCUCUUCUUCUUGGAUCAAAAAAUGAUUAUGCUCUGGAUACCAAUUUGUUGGUGAACAAAUUGAUCUAGGGUUUAUGUGUUUUGUGUGAUUGAAGGAUAAGAAACAGUUUUAGAGAAUGAAAAAGAGAGAAAGAGAUUGGAGAAUUAAAACUGAAUGCAUUGGCUUUAUUAAAUGAGGAACCAAGUAUAUAUACAACAUGUUCUAGCUAUAGCUUGCAUUACAAGUAAAUGCUAAUUGUCUAACUAACUUUCUAAAAACAAGGUAAAGUAGUUACUUAGGUAGCAAGGUAACUAACCCUAAAUCAAACUAUGAGUUUUGAAUUACAAAUUCAACACUCACAAGGGCAUGGUGGCGGAAACUCUAACCCUAGGAGAGCAAGAAAUUUCUUGAGAGGUUUUGAUUUUGUCUAAAAAAAUUUAUAUAAUCUCUUGGAUGUUGAACUCUAGGACGUUACAUAUCUUAUUUACCGAAACCAUUUGAUUAUGAUAUGUGCCAAAAAUAUUUAUAACCAAAUGCAAUAAAGUAAAUACAAAAUAUACAAUAAAUUACACUAGAAAAUAUUCAAUAAAUUACACUACAAGUUAAUAAUAAUGUUAAUUUGCAGACACUAAUAUACGUUUUGUUCCGUUCUGCUUAAUUUGCUCUAUCCAAGAAAAUAAUGAAGUUGAGAUAUAUUCAUAUGAGUGUCUGAUGUGUUGGUCUAUGGUUAUUUAGAUUUUAGACUAUUUUGCAAAGCAUAAGAAAUAAAUAAAAACAAACUAAAAGUCUGAUAUUAUAAAAAUCUGGUUUUUAAAAAAGGCUAAAAGUAUAUUAUUUUAUAAUUUUAUGUUUUAAAGUGUUGGUUGUAAAUACCAAAGUAAGAAAAAACUCAUAAACAUCACAUACAAACCCGCAUAUUUAAACCGCAUAACCUACGAUUAAGCAAUCCACCUUAUGUGAACCAAAACGAAAAUGGUGUGAAACAUAUUGGUCUUUAUCCACCUUGGGCCGCGAGUUAAACUAGUUGGUUUGCAGCCCCGGGCCAUAUUCACAACUCCUAUUUUUGUAUAGUUUUUAUUUGAAACAUUAGAAAAUUAAGCGUCAAACCAACAUAAUAUUGAGAGAGUUGGUAACAUGACUCUUCCUCAUAAAAAAAAAAAAAAUUGAAUUUCAUUCUUAAAAUCGUCUAUUUGAAAUUGAGCGAACUUAACCCGUUCAAAGAUCAUAUGUCUUCCUAUCAAGCUAGGAAGGUACCUUGAAAUGUUGUUAAUUAUAAUUAUGAUUAAGAUAUGCUAGAAGAAAAAAUUGAGGGCCAAGGGCAAACUGGCUCAUUUAAUAGAUAAAUAGACUUUAAAGCAAUUGGUAUACAAAUCCAAGUCACACCUCAGCAAGGAAGUUAAAGUCAGCCUUUAAUUGUUAGCAUUCACAUAUAUAGUAAAGACUUUUGGUUUAAAUUAGGCAAUUGUACCACAUCAAGAACAUUUAGAAGAUGCCAAAAAAUAAGACUAAAUAAUACAAAGGCUUUGAUGAUUCGAACUAUUUUGACUCUUUGUGUAGAUUUUAGGUAUGUUUGGUGGGUAACGUACAACAUUCAAUCAUUCCCAUCAAAUAAUUAAAUGAAUCUCACACUUAAUAUAAAUUUAAGAAUCAUAUCUUGUUCAUGAUCAUAUACAAUCUAUAGUGGUGUAUGCCUAUAAUAGUGUCAUGGUAGGUAUCAUAUUAGCUUUGUCGCUACUGAAGUAAAAUAAUUGUUUGACCUAAAAUAUUACCACUGUCGCUCUGUAAAAAAUAUAAUAUAGAAACAAUAUUCUUGUGAGGUGAGGAUUACCCCCACUUAUAAAUACAUUGUCAGGUCAUGUUCUAUCUGAUAUGGGACGCUUAACAUCUUAGAAAUCGUGGUUUGGGCCUAACACAACAUCACAAAACGGACUUGUGAGGUGAUGAUUGCCCCCACUUAUAAACAUAUUGUCAGACCAUAUCUUAUCCGAUGUGGGACUCUUACGUACACAAAAUUAGCAUAUUACAUAGGCUACAUAAUUUUUUAAUACAUGUAAAAUUAGCAUAUUGCAUACAUCUAGAACUAUGUUUACAUUUCAACAACGUUUAUUUAUUUUCUUACUGCAAGUGACGGAAACAGAAAAAAAAAAAAAAAAAAAAAGUUUAAGUAUAGGAUGCUCUAUUGCGGAUGGUCUUAGUCUUCCCAAGAAUCAUCAUAUUUUUUAUAAUAUCUCCACCAAGUAUGUCUUUAUAUACUUGUGUUAGUACAAUCAAUCAAUGUCGUAAUUUUUUUUUUUCUAACAGUCGACAUUGUCUAUCCAUUUAAAUAUUUUUUUUCAAUACCAAAAAAAAAAAUGAUCUUUCCUAAAAAAGACCUUAAAUUUUUUUUAGAGAAAAUAGCUUAUAGCUUUUCAUUAUUAAUCAAUGUCAAAAUACUAAGAGGUACAUCAUUAAAAACUUGGGAACUAGGUAAGAAUAAAGCCUCUCUAGCAAGAGUAUGAGCGACCUCAUUCGCUUGUCUCCAACUAAACUCCAUCUUAAAGUUUUCAGAAACAUUGUUGUUGCCUUUGGUAAAAUAAUCUACAACUAACUUCGCAUCCAUCUCAAAAUCUACAUUUGUAAGUUGUAGUUCGUGUACCCAUUGAAUUGCAUAGAGUAGACCUAAUACUUCCCCAAUCUCUGGCUUACAUAUGGGAUUAGACCACAUCAUCUUUGCCUUCCUGAAAUUACCAGCAGCAUCCCGUAUACACAGCCCAACACUACUAAAAAAAACAAAAAUUAGUGAGGGAUAUUUAGUGAGGGAAAAUAUGAAAUCCCUCUCUAAUUCCCUCACUAAAUUUUACGACCAAGGAAUUUGUGAGGAAUUUCAUUUUUUCCGUCACUAAUUUCCCUCACUAAUUUUGCUUUUUCUAGCAGUGCAAAACCAACACGAUUUGAAUCUUCCGAAAACGCCGCGUCGAUGUUGCAUUUUAGCUUACCAGCUGCACUACACUUCUGCUUCCUCAUAUUUCCUCAUAGUCUGGCAUGUAAACAAUGUGUUGCUUAAUAUAACAAUUUUCUAUAUAUGGCUGCCAGAUUUGCUCCCCUGGUGAUUAGACAGUAAACAAUAAAAAACGUUACACGCAAUUUCAUGGUUGGUUCAAUAUUUUGUUGUCCAGCUAAGUUAUAACAUAGUUUCAAAAAAGACAAUUUGUUAUUCAAAUUUGAAAAUGAUGCAAUGAUAAAGACAUUUUAUCACCUUAUCAUUAAAAAAACACGUGUAAUAAUCACUUAAACACAUGGACAAAUAAAAUCACGUAAGCAAUCUUGAUAUUAAUUAACGAAGGUUGACUCAGUUUAUAAGAAAUUGAUUCAUCUGUACGCCAUAGAUUCAACAUUUAUUGUCAAUGUAAAUAUCUUUUUUGUAAAUGAUAUGUAAAUACUUCUAUAAACAUUAUUUAAAUCUUGAAAUAUGCCUUAACUAUAAUGAAUUUUUGGAGGGUAACCUAUCAAAAUUUAUUUAUAUAAUAAAUAAAAGGUAAAUAUUUUGGCUAGGAAAAACCAAUGGUAGGAAAAAAAAUUACAUGUUGUGAUGUCAUGGAAGUCGAUGUAUGAGUAAACCUAGCUACUUGCUGGAAAUGAAAUAUGUUAAAGAUCUUACACACUGAAAGGAUCAAAUAUAUGUUCCUUUCGCACGAAUAGUUCUCUCUCUUUCUUUUUUCUUAAAUCAUAGCCGUCACAACUUUUAUUCUUUUUGGUGUACAAAAAGAAUUGAUUUAGGAUCAAUUACGAUCCAUAAUCACCCCUUUAAAUUGUUAUUCUUUCUCUUUUAGCAAAGUAAGUGAUUUUCACAUAAUUUUCUUUCCUUUGUUUUUGUGAUUUUGUCGUAUAACACGAUUUUGUUUAUUUUGAUUUCUCGUAUUUAUGCAGUGUUUUUAAUUGUUAGCUUUCACAUAUAGCAAAAACUUUUGAUUUAAGUUAGGCAAUUGUACUACAUCAAGAACAUUUAGAAGAUGCCAAAAAAUAAGACUACACUAUGCAAAGGCUCUGAUUGGAACUAUCUUGACUCUUUGUCUGGAUUUUAGGCAUGUUUGGUGGGUAACCUACACCAUUCAAUCAUUCCCAUCACAUGAUUAUUAAAUGAAUCCCACUUACUAAAAUUGAGAAUCAUAUUAGCUUUGUCGAUACUGAAGUGAAAUAAUUGUUUGACCUCAAAAAAUAACAUCCGUGUAUAAAAGGAUAACAGAGAAACAUUCAUACACAAAAUUAGCAUAUUACUUUCACUAAAAAAAUUUUAGGCUUAAUACAUGCUUUCGUCCCUUAACUUAUUUUUGAAUUUCAUUUUGGUCCCUUAACUUUAAACCGUCUCAAUUUGUUCUCAUAACUUUGCCUCCGUUUACAGAAGGGACCACUUAGGUAAACGGAGGCAAAGUUAUGGGACCAAAUUGAGACGGUUUAAAGUUAAGGGACCAAAAUGAAAUUAAAAAAUAAGUUAAGGGACCAAAGCAUGUAUUAAGCCUUAAAUAAAUUAUACUAAGAGGAUAUUUGUCAAAGAUACAUAUUUUUAUUGAAGAAAAAAAUAAUAUUACAAAGCAUGAAAAAAGCCCAAUAAAUAAAAUGGUUGAACAGUGUUGGGAAAAAUAUUGCAAGAUAAAAUAAUAAAUAUAUUACAACAUCAACAAAACUCGUAAAAUAGUGUGAGAAUAUAGGAAAUUUUUCCAUGACAAUAUAGGAGGUGAACAAAAUAAAUUAUGUUAAAAUUAAAUUAGAAAGUAAUGAAAACUUUGGUAAAAUAAAAAGUAAUAAAAACAAGCAAAUCUCUAAAAAAAAGUAAUAAAAACAAACAAAUCCCUAAAAAAAACAUAUAAAAUAUUUGGACUAUAAAAUUAAAGUAGAUAUGAAUUAUUUGUUGAGAUGUUUAUGUCAAAUAGAAAAAUGAGUUUUCUAAAAAUAAAACAUAAAUGUUAAUUUCAUUGGAACACCAACAAAAUAAAAAUUCAUAGGGAGGUAGUUCUAUUGCAUCAAAUAGAUCUAUUAUGAGAUAAAAAUAAAUGAACAUCAUAAUAUUAUUUUUAGUAAAUGUAAAUUAAUGUAUCACUCAUUUUUUAUAGAUUAGAAAAAUGAUUUUGACAUUCUAUAAUUUAGAGAUUAUUUUUUAAAGACUUUAUUAAAAAGUAUAAUCAAUUUUGUGUUUAUUUUUCAGAAUAACAAUCACUUCUUUGAAAAAAAAUAUAUGUUAAUUUGAUACAAGGCUUAAUAAAUGCUUUGGUCCCUUAUUUUUGAAUUUCAUUUUGGUCCCUUAACUUUAAACCGUCUCAAUUUGGUCCCAUAACUUUACCUCAGUUUACCUAAGUGGUCCAUUCUGUUAGUUUUUUUAACAGAAGGGACCACUUAGGUAAACGGAGGUAAAAUUAUGGGACCAAAUUGAGACAGUUUAAAGUUAAAGGACCAAAAUGAAAUUCAAAAAUAAGUUAAGGGACUAAAGCAUGUAUUAAGCCAAAAAUUUAUUACGUGUUCUGGAUCGAUCAAAAGAUCAAUCCCAUGUUGACACGUGACCUAAAUUUGCACUGCCUUAAAGCUCCGCGCUUGAAGGAGCAUGCCAAUUUUAGUACACCGCGUCACGUUCAAGCACGCCUCGGCGUGAGGUCACCUUACACGUGUUCUCUAACUGUCUCCUGAUCACAUGCUGCAAAACUCGAAGACAUCUCCACGAGUGCGUGUAUAAGGGUGACUUAACUUCACCCUCAAAGUAUGAUUCACUUUUCACAACACUUUCUACAUACUCUUUCAAAGGAAUAAAAAAAACAUUUGUUACAACUAUUUUUAUUUAAAGAAUCAUAGGUGCGGGAUGAAAUAUUAAAAAGUUAUAAUCACUUAAUAAAAUAGAAAUCGAUCCUCACUGAACCGACGUGGACCACGAUUGAUGACCAUAUAUAGUUGAUGAAACCCAGAGAUGGGGGGUGGUUGUCUCCGCCACUGAUAUAGUAACAAAAUAAAGGUUUAAUUGCACUUUUGGCCCCCUAUGUUUCAAGAAGUUGCGAUUUUGACCCCCUAACUAAUUAAAAUACAAAACAUCAUUGAGCUCAGCCACCUCCCAUCUCUGGGCUUCAUCAACUAUACAUGGUCAUCAAUCUUGAUCCACGUCGGUUCAGCGAGGAUCGAUUUCUAUUUUAUUAAGUGAUUAUAACUUUUUAAUAUUUCAUCCCGCACCUAUGAUUCUUUAAAUAAAAAUAGUUGUAACAAAUGUUUUUUUUAUUCCUAAAUUCAAACCUCUGAACUAACGUACACUAAUCUUUUCCCUCAUGAACAAAUAGUACAAUAAUCCUCAAGAAGAAGCUUCUUAGUCUUCCUAAGGCGUGUUGUAGAAAUUAAAUUAACAAUAAUAUUUUCACUCAAAGCUCGUCAUGUUUUUUAUAAUAUCUCCAUCAAGUAUGUAUUUAUAUACUUAUGUCAGUACAAUCAAAUUCGGUCCUCGUGAGCAUAGCUCAGUUGAUAUGGACAAUGCAUAAUAUAUGUAAGGUUUGAAGUUUAAAUUCCGACAACCACAAAAAAAAGAGUACAAUCAAACUCGAAUCUGACAUCUCAUAAUUGUGAUUGCGUGUAUGUAAAUUUAAAAGGUGGUGAUAUUUGUGAGAUCUUUAUUUUUCUUUCUUUUUAUUGGUUUAAAACAAUAAAGAAAAAAAUGAAGAGAAAGAAUAAGAAUAUAAUGCGAAUAUAAAAGAAAAUUGUUGAAAAAUUGUUACAAAAUAAAUGUUAAAAUAUCAUUUCUUAAAUCUAAAACGUUGCUCGUCACUUUUUCUACAUGUCAAAGUUGAAUCUUGUGAAGAAGUGAUUGUCCCAAAAAUAAUAUUUUAUUAGCAACAGUACUAGCAUCAAAUAUUUGUCAACAAAAAUAAAGUACUAGCAUCAAAUAAACUAACGUGCUACAUAUGAACAUAACCUCAAAUAUUGACUAGCUCCAUGCAUAUACUUUUCCCACGUUAAAAAAAAAGCCUAAUCAAAUUUCUAAUAACAAUUCUAAAAUUACUAUACACUCUUUCCAUAGACAUCAUUAUUGAUGAUUGUGGACAUGACCCCACAAUAUUAAUUUUGGUACAUGCAUAUAGCUCGAGAUACAUUUUUAAGAGAAAUAUAAUUUGUAUGAUAAUUUCACGACAAUUUUUAUGAUAAUUUUUUUUUUCUCACACUCAUGUUGUAUUUUUGUUCUCUCAUUUCAUAUUUCUUUGUCUAUUGCUUUUUUCCUAAAAAAAGAAAAAAAAUGAUUCUCCCAAAAAUACUUGUACAAAUAUCCACUCUUAGAAAAAGUAAAAUUAGGAAGAGAAAUUAGUGACGGAAAACAUUAAAUUUCUCACAAAUUCUUAAAUCGUAAAAUUUAGUGACGGAAUUAGUGAGGGAUUUCACGUUUUCCCUCUUAAAAUUUUCCUCACCGUUUUUUACUUUUAGUAGUGAUCAUUGAUAAAUUUUUAAUUCAUCUAUUGAGGAGGAACUAAAUAACCAUUUGUGUAAAUCUUUUCUUUUUUUAUAUCUAACAGGGUGAUUUAUAAGAAGAAGAGUCUGAACAUUUCGAUGAAGAAAAUCUAUAGAAAAGAAUUAAUUUAGUUAAAAGUGAGCCAACUUGGUUUUACUCCAAAAAAAUAUUCUUUAAAAUUUUUGCUCAUUCAAAAUCUAAAAUUGUUGUUUUCAAACGUAUAAUUUAGCAACUGAUUAUUAAGCAUUAGGAAAAAGCCCAUGCGACAGUAAAAAAUUGGACGCUAACAUGUCAAUUAGCGUCAACCUAGUGUGAGGCUCGUGGUUGACAAUAAAAUGCUUGAAGCUAACCAUUUGUGUCUGCAAUCCUGAAGCAAUUUGUAAGUAAUAUCGUAGACCAAUUUAAAUUUUUUAAGCUAAGCAUUAGCGUCUGCAAUAUCGAGGCUACAUCGCGUGCGCUUAGUGUAGGUCAAUUUAAAUUUUUAAAAUUCUGUAAAAGCAUUGACUAAAGGGGUUGGCCAACAAAAUAAAACAUAUUAGAAAUAAUUAACAAUCCAUUAAAGAUAGAAAAAAAAGUAAAAUAUAUAUACAAAGCAAAGCACAUAUUUGAGACAAGCAUCAAAUGUAAUAAAAAAAAUGCUACUAUGUUAUUUAUCCCAAAAAUAAAAUUAAAACAUCUUACAAUCAUGUGCAACAAACUUCUUUCUAUUGCAAUGGAGUCAACAUGUGUUAAACCAAAUAAACCAAAUAUUUAGAUGAUCUCCUAAAUAUUUUCUCUACAUCUAAGAAAAGAAUGUUCCAAAAUCUUGGCUAUAUUAAAGUUGAUAGGGUGGAAAUAUAAAUCUUGUUCAUUUUCGUUUUGGUUUUAAGCACAUCCUCUUUGUUUGAUUUCAACCUACUCAAACAAGCACAAUAAGCUUCAACAUUGUCAAUAAAGAAAGCACACACAAUUACAAAAUAUGUCAUAUAUUAGUCUACAAGAUAUGAUGAUUUUUUUUCGAUGUUGACCAAGCUAAUUACAUUUUAAUAAAAAUAAUUCUAUCAAUGAAAUUAUUAUGACAUCUCUCUUUAUCAACCUAAAAAAGUUUUUCAAAGCAAAGCAGAGGGAGUUCUUCCUACUCAUGUCGAUUAAUCAAGUCAAAAAGCUAAAAAAAAAAAAAAAAAACCAUUACUACAAUAAAGGAGAUUUCACCUCGGUUGAAAUGAAGUUUUCACAUUGCACCGUUCAUGAGGUAAGGUGGUGUGGUAUGUCUAACACUAUUUACAUCGGGCACAUCAGGUUGGUACCCAAUGUGAUAAGUACUUUUCACAUCGUUUUAUCACCGGAUGUGAAAUCCCUUUUAUAAAUUAGAACAUGUGAUUUACAUUUCACAUUAACUUUCACCUCAAGUGAUGUGAAAUCCAUUUUUCUAAAUGGUACAUUUUUAACCAACUUAAAAUGUCUAAUUUUUUAUAACAAAUAUAUAUUUUUAACCGACUUAAAAUAUAAAUUCAUGUGCUCUAUGAAACUGACACUCACUAAAUUGAAUUAAACAACUCCAACAUUGAUACGACAAUCAUCACUAGCAUUUAACUCCACAACCUCAAAUUUAUAGAUCAGAGGGCCUAUAAUACAUGGUAGUUACAAAUUAUCAACAAUUGGACGAGAUUAAAUAUAUACAAUAUUGUUUAAAAUAUAUGAAUUCAAAGUCAUAGUAGCAUAAAAAAUAAGAAGGGGUUAAAUUGGAAGGGUAUUGACUACAAAUUAACAAAUCAGAAAAUCAAUUUGAAAAGAGUAAGAAUACUAAUUUACUUAACACAAAAAAAUAGAUCCAAAGCAUAUUAUGAUGACUAUUGACUAUAAUCCCCAUUACAUAAGAAAUACCCAACAAAUAUCAAAAAGAGAGAUCUAACUUUCUAUCUCCAUUUUGAUUAUAAUGAGUUCACAAACAAAAUUCCCUAAGAAACAAUAGAGACCAUCAGAAAUCAUAAGCAAAAUGUUCUAAAAGAUAACAAACUCUAAAAGCUAAAGAAUAAAAACAUAAAAUUGCAACUAAUAGAGAAAAGAAACGAUUUAAUUCAUAAGAGAAGAGAACAAAGGAGUUGAAAAUAUAAAAUAAAGAUAUUGAUUCAAGAACAAAGACGAUUUUACCUCUGAACAACUUGAACAAAGCAACAAACAACGAAGGGCAAGAACAUAGACAAUUUUGGGUAUGAAAGGUUUGUAUCUGAGUGAAGCAGCGAAUGGUUUGCCUCUGAACGGUGAAACAACGAAGCUCUAAACAUGGAGGACGACUUGGCUCAUAAUGAGUCUAAUUUUUUUAUUUUUUCUGGAUCUGAGUUUUUUUUUCCCAGAACUUUAUGGCUUUGAAGGUUUUUUAAUGAAAGUGUGAAAAGAAAAUAUUGGGAAAAAAAAGGUGAGGGAAAUCUUAAAAUAAAAGUAGGAAAGAAAAGGGAAAUUGAAAAAUAAUGGAUAAUUUUUUUUUUAGCUUCACAGAUAAUCGAUGCUAUUUAAAAAUAAAAUAAAUAGUUUUAGAAUAUAUUGACGCUAAUUAAAUAAUUAAAUUAAAAUAUAAUGAAUUGAAGAAAGCGUUAGAAUUUGUGGAUGCUAAUUAGACGCUGUUAGCAUCAGAAAUUGUCUCACGCUAAAAUUUAUGAAGCUAGAUUGCAAUUUUUUUGUAAUAUGUGAAAGGGUACCAUAGAAGUUCCCUUUUUAUUAUCUUUGGUGGAAACUCCCAACAAAUUUGAAAUAAUGUUACCCGAGAGGGAUACAUAGAACCUGUAAAAAUUUGCUUUUGGACGCAUUCACCACAUGUCCCGAAGCCUCGGAAUAAGAGUCAAAUAUUCUCAUAAGGCAGCAUACAUUCUUAUUUGGUACGUUUACAAAAAAAAUUAGAAUAUCGUCUGUGCAUAUGUUGGCCAGCUUGCCGAGCAAGAGUAAUCGAACGACUAAGAACCUCUUUUGCCAAACAAAAAUAAAAGAGGGGAUAGAAGGUCCCCCUGACGAACACCCCGCCCGCACACAAGAGAAGAAGCCCAUCGCUUUACCAUUCACCAGAAUAAAAAGACGCGCAGAGUGCAAAAUAUAGAAGAAAACCUGCAGGAGAAAGCCAGGCUAAAACCAAACUGAUGGAGCACAGCUAGCAAGAAAUUCCAAUCUAAAGUAUCAAAUGCCUUUCUGAUAUCAAGCUUGAGCGCUAAAUUACCCCCAUAUUGAUUACGAUUCAGAAGGUUAAUAGCCUCAGAAGCUAUAGUAAUACAUUCUGAAAUGUAUCGAUCACGAAUAAAGCCACGCUACUCCAAUCAGAUUAGGUAGAAGCUCUCCAAGUCUCCCCUAUUAUAUAAAUCCUUAACCUACUUAUUUUCUCUUAUUUCCAAAUCUGCCCUCCAAGUCUCAAUAUUCUAUUCUAAUAUAUUUCUAUAACAUAUAAGAAAUAUAUCUCUAUAACAAAUAUAUUUCUAUAACACAUAUAUUUCUACACCAAAUAAGAAAUAUAUUUCUACACCAGAUAACAUAUAUAUUUCUACACCAAAUAACAAAUAUUUUACACCAGAUAACAUAUAUAUUUUUACACCAAAUAACAUAUAUAUUUCUACACACCAGAUAACAUAUAUAUUUCUAUACCAAAUAACAUAUAUAUUAUACUAAUAAAUACCAACAUAUAACAUAACAAAAUAUCACUCAUCAAAAUAAAUCGACUAAAUUAUAAAAAGACAUCUAAACUCAAUAAAAUAAAUAAAUAAUAAAAUAGGACGUUACAGGAUCUGGGUUUUAUUUUUUUCUUUUCAGAACUUUAUGCUUUUGAAGGGUUUUUAAUGAAAGUGUGAAAAGAAAAUAUUGGAAAAAAAAAAAGGUGAGGGAAAUCUUAAAAUAAAAGUGGGAAAGAAAAGGGAAAUUGAAAAAUAAUGGAUAAUUUUUUUUUUAGCUUCACAGAUAAUCGAUGCUAUUUAAAAAUAAAAUAAAUAGUUUUAGAAUAUAUUGACGCUAAUUAAAUAAUUAAAUUAAAAUAUAAUGAAUUGAAGAAAGCGUUAGAAUUUGUGGAUGCUAAUUAGACGCUGUUAGCAUCAGAAAUUGUCUCACGCUAAAAUUUCUGAAGCUAGAUUGCAAUUUUCUUGUAGUGAUAUGUGAAAGGGUAAUGGUAUUUUUAUUACCUUUGGUGUAAGCUAGAUAUCCUCCGCAUGCAAUUGGAAAAACUAAUUCCUCAAACCUUCUGAGAAUCAAAUGAACGGAAAACUCUCCAUUAAAGACAAUGAUAUUUGAACAAUCAUAUACCUUCAAUACAUUGAUAUGAUAUUGAGUAGCCCAUUUUAGCAAGUAAGUUGUAAUAUAAUUAUAAUAAUAGUAAUAGCAGAAGACAAAAAUAAUGAUUUUAAUUGUGAUAAAUUAGUUGCAUUAUGUGUUAGAAAUGAUAAAAUUGAUAAAAUACUAAUUCUUGAUAAUUUAUCAAUAUAAAAUUCUAAAUUUUUAUUUUAUCGUGCAAAACAAUAGACUAUUAAAAGGUUAGAUUAACUCUAAUAUUUAGAUUUCUUAAUUUAUUUAUUAGUGGAUAAAACAGAAAAAUGUUCUGAAAAUUAUUGAGGCAGCUGUGUGAGAAAACAUAUGAUACAUGUAUAAUUUUUCAAAGUUUGUUAAGGAGAAAGGACAGAUUAAUUUGAUCAAAUACCCAAUAAUUAAUUCAUCAAUGACUACGCGUAUAUUGAAUUUUACUUACUUUGAAAUAGCUUACAAAACAAAAAUAACAAAAUAAUUUUUUUGAAAGAGAUAUAAUAAAAUAAUUAUUGGUCCAUACUUACUAUAAAGAAAAUAAGAGCAGUGUCAACAUUUUCCAGCUAAUAUGCUCACUUACUUUAUUCCUUUCUUUACAUUUCUUUCAUGAAUAGCCAACUUGAUUCGAAUUGGUCCAAAAAACAUGCUCACUUAUUCAAAGGCAGGCCAUUAUUUUUUAAUGAAAUUAUAUGCUUGUAUUUUGAUAUAAACUUUUUUUAUAAACAUUCUGCUAAAGAAAACUAGGUAAAUUGUAAUAAGGACACCAACCAAGAUGAAUAGUUAAGGUAAAAUGUGUAAAGAAAAAACUAUAUAAAGGGUGAUGCUAUCUUUCAUAAUAGCAACAACAAAACACACUUUGGGAAAAUAUGGGGUCUCAAAUGGCCUCUAUUACUCUCACUAUUGCAUUGGCAAUAAUCUCUCUUAGCUUCCCAUCUCAAAUUUCAGCAAACAAUUACAUCUAUUCAUCUCCACCACCACCAAAGCCUUACUACUACCACUCUCCACCACCACCAGUGCACUCCCCACCUCCUCCUUACCAUUACAGUUCACCACCACCGCCACCAAAGAAGGAAUACAAAUACCCUUCUCCUCCACCACCAGUAUACAAGUACAAAUCACCUCCUCCACCGGUAUAUAAGUAUCAAUCUCCCCCACCACCAGUUUACAAGUACAAGUCACCUCCUCCCCCAGUUUACAAGUACAAAUCUCCACCCCCACCACCCAAGAAACCAUACAAGUAUUCAUCACCACCACCACCAGUUUACAAGUAUAAGUCUCCUCCUCCACCUGUUUACUCACCACCUCCACCAGUUUACAAGUAUAAAUCUCCUCCUCCACCAGUUUACUCACCACCUCCACCAUACAAGUAUUCAUCUCCACCACCUCCUCCGUACAAGUACUCAUCACCACCACCACCAGUCUACAAGUAUAAGUCACCUCCUCCUCCUUACAAGUACUCAUCUCCCCCUCCACCUCCAAAGAAACCAUACAAGUACCCAUCUCCACCACCCCCAGUUUACAAGUAUAAAUCUCCUCCUCCACCUGUCUACUCACCACCACCAAUUUACAAGUAUAAGUCACCUCCUCCACCUGUCUACUCACCACCUCCACCAGUCUACAAGUAUAAAUCACCCCCUCCACCUGUCUACUCACCACCUCCACCAGUUUACAAAUAUAAGUCACCUCCCCCACCUGUCUACUCACCACCACCACCAGUUUACAAAUAUAAGUCACCUCCCCCACCUGUCUACUCACCACCUCCACCUGUNNNNNNNNNNNNNNNNNNNNNNNNNNNNNNNNNNNNNNNNNNNNNNNNNNNNNNNNNNNNNNNNNNNNNNNNNNNNNNNNNNNNNNNNNNNNNNNNNNNNNNNNNNNNNNNNNNNNNNNNNNNNNNNNNNNNNNNNNNNNNNNNNNNNNNNNNNNNNNNNNNNNNNNNNNNNNNNNNNNNNNNNNNNNNNNNNNNNNNNNNNNNNNNNNNNNNNNNNNNNNNNNNNNNNNNNNNNNNNNNNNNNNNNNNNNNNNNNNNNNNNNNNNNNNNNNNNNNNNNNNNNNNNNNNNNNNNNNNNNNNNNNNNNNNNNNNNNNNNNNNNNNNNNNNNNNNNNNNNNNNNNNNNNNNNNNNNNNNNNNNNNNNNNNNNNNNNNNNNNNNNNNNNNNNNNNNNNNNNNNNNNNNNNNNNNNNNNNNNNNNNNNNNNNNNNNNNNNNNNNNNNNNNNNNNNNNNNNNNNNNNNNNNNNNNNNNNNNNNNNNNNNNNNNNNNNNNNNNNNNNNNNNNNNNNNNNNNNNNNNNNNNNNNNNNNNNNNNNNNNNNNNNNNNNNNNNNNNNNNNNNNNNNNNNNNNNNNNNNNNNNNNNNNNNNNNNNNNNNNNNNNNNNNNNNNNNNNNNNNNNNNNNNNNNNNNNNNNNNNNNNNNNNNNNNNNNNNNNNNNNNNNNNNNNNNNNNNNNNNNNNNNNNNNNNNNNNNNNNNNNNNNNNNNNNNNNNNNNNNNNNNNNNNNNNNNNNNNNNNNNNNNNNNNNNNNNNNNNNNNNNNNNNNNNNNNNNNNNNNNNNNNNNNNNNNNNNNNNNNNNNNNNNNNNNNNNNNNNNNNNNNNNNNNNNNNNNNNNNNNNNNNNNNNNNNNNNNNNNNNNNNNNNNNNNNNNNNNNNNNNNNNNNNNNNNNNNNNNNNNNNNNNNNNNNNNNNNNNNNNNNNNNNNNNNNNNNNNNNNNNNNNNNNNNNNNNNNNNNNNNNNNNNNNNNNNNNNNNNNNNNNNNNNNNNNNNNNNNNNNNNNNNNNNNNNNNNNNNNNNNNNNNNNNNNNNNNNNNNNNNNNNNNNNNNNNNNNNNNNNNNNNNNNNNNNNNNNNNNNNNNNNNNNNNNNNNNNNNNNNNNNNNNNNNNNNNNNNNNNNNNNNNNNNNNNNNNNNNNNNNNNNNNNNNNNNNNNNNNNNNNNNNNNNNNNNNNNNNNNNNNNNNNNNNNNNNNNNNNNNNNNNNNNNNNNNNNNNNNNNNNNNNNNNNNNNNNNNNNNNNNNNNNNNNNNNNNNNNNNNNNNNNNNNNNNNNNNNNNNNNNNNNNNNNNNNNNNNNNNNNNNNNNNNNNNNNNNNNNNNNNNNNNNNNNNNNNNNNNNNNNNNNNNNNNNNNNNNNNNNNNNNNNNNNNNNNNNNNNNNNNNNNNNNNNNNNNNNNNNNNNNNNNNNNNNNNNNNNNNNNUAUAAGUCACCUCCCCCACCUGUCUACUCACCACCUCCACCAGUAUACAAGUAUAAGUCUCCUCCCCCACCUGUCUACUCACCACCUCCACCAGUAUACAAGUAUAAGUCCCCUCCUCCACCUGUUUCCUCACCACCUCCACCACAUUAUGUUUACUCUUCCCCUCCUCCUCCAGUCUAUUCCCCUCCUCCACCACAUUACAUUUAUUCAUCACCCCCUCCUCCUUACCACUACUAGAUAGUGGUUUACGAUAGUAUCAAAUGGUAUGCUUCUUCCUAUGUACAACCCACACAAAACACUUCAUAAAUAAAACAUUUUAAGACAAGUAUAUACAUUU